rnacentral:lncRNA from 1 species
UUUUCCCAAAACAAAAACCCAUUUGUGAAAUUAGAGCAACCCAAUGAUCAAAAUUCUCCAAGGAAAGCACUAAAUCAAUACAACUAAACUAAUCCCAAGUUCAAAUACAUAUUACAAGCCAAAGGGUUAAAAAAGAAAGAAGAAAUUUAACCUUGGAUGACCAAAUCGAAUCGCUGGAAGUGACACCGUGCCAAGCACGGGACACGAGGAGAGAUAGUGCCACGCUGCGUGCGUCGAGGUUCUUAAAUAUCAUCAACAUUAUGUCUCUACCCAAAACCUCAAGUGGGUCCUGUGAUAAUUCAACUUCUUAUUCUUCGACUUCUUCUUCAUCACCUCAAAUAAAACGUCCCCGUUUUGCAGUUUUUCUUCCAUUUCUUGCAGCUCCAUUCAGUGAUACUGAGACAGAGACAGUGAGUGAGUGACACGAAGAGGAUGGGGAACAGAGCUCGUCCUUCUUCAGGUGUGCUCAGCAGUGAUGAUGAAUGUAGGCAACUGGACACGUCGUCUUGUAAUUUUCCUUUAUUCGGGAUAUUGACCACUGUUCUCCUCAGUUUUGGUAAAGUACAAAUAAGAAUAACAAUUUGUACCAUUUUCAUUUGAAUCCCUGCCCUAGGGUCUUGUGACAGAAACGCAGAGACAAAAACUUAUAUGGUGGACGCACCACCUCAGUAGAAUGAUCUAUUAUUUGAUAAUAUUAUAGAUCUUACUAUAAAAUUGAUUUGAUUAUCAAGUGAUAAAAUUCUAAUUAUUUUACAUAUUUAUAUUUUUAUAAAAAAAUUGUGUGAAGUUAUUUCAUGAACUAUUGAGUUUAUGAGAUAUUUUUAUAAUAAAAUUUACUUAUACUUUCAAAUUUAAUAUAUUUUACUUUAACACUACUAUGAAUCCCAUUGUAAGACUUAUUACUCUACCGCAUAAUAGAACAUUGUCUCAAUCAUCUUAACAUACAAAGGGCUAAGGUGGUGUAACAAUCUCUCACAAGUCCUCAACAUUCUCAUAAGGACCUGUAUGAAAAUGCUUGCAGAUUAUGUCCUUCCUCUUAAUUUCAUCAAAAUAUCAGAUUGUGCGUAAGGAUGGCAAAUUGAUGGGUCGGAUUUGACUUUUCUAGCCCAUGCGCAAAUUCAUGUUAAGGAAAAUAUAAAGGCUGAGUUGAGCUUCCACAUAUUUUUUAAUUUUUUAAAAUUAUUAUAAAUUUAUAAUAAAUUAAUAAUAACAUUCAAUUAAAGAAAUUAACCAUUUAAAAUAAAUUAAUAAAUAAAAAAUGAAGUAAAUAAAAGUUUUAAAUUUUUAAUACUAAAUUAUCUAAUUUAAAAAUCCUUUAAUUAAUUAAAACUUAAGAUAGAGUUUAAUAUUAUAAUAUUAUAUUUUUUAAUCAUCAUUUAAUUUAUGAAUUAGGGAUUUAAAUUUUCAAUUCUUUUUUAUUUUCUAUUUUAAUUUAUAAGUUAUAUUAAAAAAAAGAAUCAAAUCUGAUAUAAACUUUUUUUUUCUUAAACUCUUAUAAAAAACCCUUGUGCAGGCUCUCAUGAGAAAUGCUAGGUUGCCGAACCUAAUUAUACCCGCAACAUUAAUUUAUAAUGUAAAAAUAUAUUACUAGGGCUAGAGGUGCUUGAUCUAAUAUAUAUCAACAGAUCUUAUUUUAUUGACCACUUGAAUCAUAGAAUAAUAAAAACUGAAUAUUAAUUUAAAUUUUAACCACAACUUAACCUUUUUAGAAAAUUAAAAAAAAAUGAAAAAAAUCUAUAAAUUGGGUUCCGGAAAAAUAAGAGUAAAAAAUAUUAAUUUAAACUUUGUCUGUACCCCAAUUUUUUUUAAAAAUAAAAAGAUUAAAAAAAUAGUCUAUAAAUAUGUUUCUGUUGAGGGAAGCAGCCACGUGGGUCAUGCACAAGAGCAAAAAAACUUCUCAGUAAAGUCCAUUGCAUAUCCAAAAACACUUUGUAACUAUUUUAUUCCGCAAAAUAACGAAGUACCAAUUACCACUUAUGACAUUUUACAACAAAGGACUUCCGAUGAGAAGCCUCAUUUUAAUAAAAGGGAAAAAGAAAAGUCAAUUGAUAAACGGCAGUAAACACUACAUUGGAGUAUGUGUUUCUUCCUGUCUUUCACUUUAGUCAAGCUUUCUCAUUGGAAAGUUAUUCUAUAUUUCUAUGUCUAUUUGGCGAACCGGCAGCACUUCAUUCUAGACACAUAGAAGCAGGUGUCCUGUACCACCAACCCUGUGGCCAUCAGGAACACUGGAGUAGCAGUAGAGGAUAUUCGACAUUUCCCAGCCCCAGUCCUUCUUCCUAGAGACAAGCAUAUGCGGCCAGCAGCGGUUUAUUCUAACAUAGUGCUCCCUAAUCUUUCCUUCACCAACAACACUGGUAACUAUAGAGUAACAGCAUUCAUGCCCACCCCAUACCUUGUCACCAGGAUCUGCAGUUUGACUCCCAUCUUCAUGAAAGUAACGGUGCAUUAGGGGCUAGUACCCUUCCAGUAGGGGUCGAGAUUAAGCCAAUACUCUGGUACCACCUGAAGGCAAAAUGGCAUUCAAAGGCAUUCAUCCGAUCAAUUGAUCAUUUCAGUUUCCAACAAAAUAGUAGAAAGCUGCACAGUAAAGUAAAGGACACACAACAAAUGCCUUGGAUGCAUGCUAAGAAAUGUUUGAAUAUAGGAUUACCAGGAUUAUCAUUUACUUGUGACCAGUCCAGGGAAUAGUUACAUGAGUGAGUGCCUGAAUUAUGAGCAAUGCCUUACAAAUAGGCAGAUUAUAAUUCAUGAGUUUCGUUCCUCAUGGUCCGAAAUUUCAUUACCAAGGCUACACAUGAUCAAACUUUUAAAGCGUCAAAACAUUAAUGUUUUAUAUGUUCACAUUUCAAACUCAUGCAAGUUCUAGUAAUUUUGGCAGCACAUCAAGGCCAGACUGAAAUCAAGAGGCGAGUCACCACUCACCAGACCUUACCAAUAAUUCAUAACGUAUAAGAAGCACUGUACUAAAUUACAUACCUCGUUAAAAUGAAACUCCCAAACAUGAUCACAAAGGUCUUCUUUCAUGAUACGAGUCUAAGAAAAUUUAAAAAAAAGAAUAGUUGGUGAUAGCUUGCUCAAACAUGCAUAUGGAGAGUGAGUGAUUCAAAAGAGAGACAGGAGAACAAAGGGAGAUUGAUCAGCACUCACGCGUUUUCCAUCCGUGACAGACAAUGAAUAUGCGGCCAGCUUUCAUAACCCCUGGACUACAGCUGAACGAGGUAUGUGCGCUUCCCCCAACCACAGUUCCUCGCACUAAAAUAGACAGGAAACUCAAGUGAAUUAUCUUUACUCAGUUACUCUUCAAAGUAGAAGCAUGACCCAUUAAGUUACCUGGAGAACUGAAAAAAAUAAAAAUAAAAAUAAAAGGUAGAUAUUCUCUUCCGGGUAGGUUUCAAAUCAAGCAGAGAAAAUAACUGAAGUUAAGUUAAAAAUAUAUUUAUCUUCACAAAUCAUGCAAUCAGAACGAAUAAGCAACUUAGGCCAUAAGGCAGUAAAAACGUGCAUUGGCAUUCACAGUUCAGUUUGGUUUUAUAUAAAAAUAUACCCCAAUCCUUUAAAUAAACCAAUAAUUUACCCAAGGUCUAGUUUCAAUCAUAAGAAAGAGCUUCCUAGGGCCCAGGAUUUUGAAAAAUAAAAUAUACCAACAAUAUACCUCAACUAAGUUACUUUACAUAGAUAUAUCCUUAAGGGGUGAACAAAGACAAAUAGAUACUAGACAAAAAAUAUUCAGCUUAAAUCAAGAAUACUCAGACGAAUUCAAGUUGGUCAAGAAAGCCAAGUCGAGUAGUAAAUUGAGUCAAAAAUAAGUUGAGUAUUCAUAUAAUGCUCCUGGCGGACAAGAAAUCCUGUAAGCUGGAUUUAGAUCCAGUACUGAGCUUGGCUGUGCUCAUCUCUUCAUAAUCAUCUACCACACAUGCAUGGAUAGCAAUUUUAGGUGAAGAUUUAAUUAAUUUUAUAUUCUUAUUGUUGAGAAGUCAAUAUUAGCCCAAAUAAGUCCACACCUAAAUUAAUUUGAUGUCAUUGCUUACAUCAAUUUAGUUAGGUGAAAAUUAGGUAUUUUUCCCAUGUUUAAUUUCAAUGGUUUAAAUUAGUUUGUGGUUAUUUUAAUGAGUGGUUUAGAUUGUUUCUUGUAACCUAUAAAUACCUCAUUUGUAUUUGAGUUUUAUUAUUCAACAAUAAAAAGCUUUAUUAUAAGCAUUUGAAAGCUUUCUUAAGAGUUCUUCUCUUUUUGCAAUUUUGUGAGAUUAUUCUAAAGAGAGUUUUUCUUCUUCUUGAUCAAUUAGAGUUUUUACUCUAUUUUGAUUCAACAUUUGGUAUCAGAGCAUUGGUUGUAAAGUCUCUUGAAAUUCCGAGUAUGCUCUGUGGUUGCAGUUUUGACUGAUCUUCCACAUCAGAAAAGAUUUCUUGAGAUUAUUGCUGGGGUUAUCACAAACCUUGAGAGGGAGCUUCUUUGUGUCAAGAGUAGUGUAUUAUUCUGCACGGUAGUCACUCAAGAUUGUUCGGUGUAGUCAAAGUCUUGUCGAUACGAUGGGUGAUCUUCAAGUUGUUGGAGGAAUCAAGAAGCUCAACAACCAAAACUAUAACACGUGGGCAACGUGUAUAGAGUCUUACCUUCAAGGUCAAGACUUGUGGGAGGUUGUCGGUGGUAGUGAAGUUACACAACCGGCAGCGGAAGAUGCUAACGGCGUCUUGCGGAAGUGGAAAAUUAAAGCAGGCAAAGCAAUGUUUGCUUUAAAGACCACAAUAGAAGAAGAAAUGUUGGAGCACAUUCGGGAUGCUAAAUCACCGAAGGAAGCGUGGGACACCUUCACUACACUCUUUUCGAAGAGGAACGAUACAAAAUUGCAACUUCUCGAGAAUGAACUUCUAUCAAUGGCGCAACGCGACAUGGCGAUUGCCCAAUACUUUCACAAGGUGAAGUCGAUAUGCCGCGAAAUUUCAGAAUUAGAUCCGACAGCCGCUAUUGGGGAAGCCAGGAUAAAAAGAAUAAUUGUCCAUGGCUUGAGACCCGAAUACCGAAGCUUUGUAGCCGCUGUACAAGGAUGGCCGACACAACCAUCACUUGUUGAGUUUGAAAAUUUGCUGACAGGCCAAGAAGCUAUGGCCAAGAAAAUUGGAGGAGUCUCACUAAAGGGUGAAGAAGAAGCGCUUUACACCAACCAAAGCAGAGGUGGUUUAAGACAGCACAACAAAGGCGGAUCUAGAAAGACUAGUGAACAGACAAAAAGUCAUCAGGGAGGGAAUGGCUCUCGUCUAGGGGGAGCUUCGAAGAAUCGCGACAGUAAUAGAAAGUUCAUUGUUGAAUGUUACAAUUGCGGGAAGAAGGGCCACAUGAAGAGAGAUUGUUGGUCCAAAAGAAGUCUACCGAAAGCAAUAUUGUUACUUCUAGUUCUAAAGAAGAUAGUGAAGAUAGCUGGGAUGCCGAAGCAUUACUCGCUAUGGAGGAAGAAGAAUUAGCUCUCACGGUAACAACACCAGAAAAGAUUAACUACGAGAAUGAUUGGAUCGUAGACUCAGGCUGCUCAAAUCACAUGACGGGUGAUAGACAGAAGUUGCAAAACUGUUCUGAGUACAAGGGAAAUCGUGUGGUGGUAACAGCUGACAACUCAAGGUUACCGAUAGCUCACAUCGGUAAAGCGAUCGUUACACCUCGAUAUAGUCCCAACCAAGUGCCACUUCAAGAUGUCUACCAUGUUCCAGGAAUGAAGAAAAAUUUGCUAUCCGUAGCUCAAUUGACAUCAUUAGGGCACUAUGUCUUGUUUGGUCCACAAAAUGUGAAGGUAUUCCGAGACCUAAAGAUCUCAGAAAAGCCUACGAUGGAGGGACGGCGAUUGGAGUCAGUUUAUGUGAUGUCAGCUGAGUCUGCAUACGUAGACAAGACAAGAAGGAAUGAGACGGCAGAUCUAUGGCACAUGCGGCUAGGUCAUGUUAGUUAUUCCAAGCUAAGUGUGAUGGUGAAGAAGUCGAUGCUUAAGGGACUUCCUCAACUUGACGUGAGAACAAAUACUGUUUGCGCGGGAUGUCAAUAUGGUAAAGCACAUCAAUUGCCAUACGAGGAGUCGAAGUUUAAAGCAAAGAAACCAUUAGAGUUAAUUCACUCUGAUGUGUUUGGACCCGUUAAGCAACCAUCAAUUGGCGGAAUGCGGUAUAUGGUUACGUUCAUUGAUGAUUUCUCCAGAUAUGUAUGGGCUUUCUUCAUGAAAGAAAAAUCUGAAGCAUUCUCAAAGUUCAAAGAGUUCAAAGAGAUAGUCGAAGGAGAAGUGGAGCAAAAGAUUCGUUGCUUGCGCACAGACAACGGGGGUGAGUAUAGCUCGAGAGAGUUUUCUCAAUACCUACGGGAAUGCCAAAUACGUCAUCAGUAUACUUGUGCCAAUACGCCACAACAAAAUGGUGUAGCAGAGAGGAAGAAUCGGCACCUUGCUGAAAUUUGCCGGAGUAUGCUACAUGCGAAGAAUGUACCUGGAAUAUUUUGGGCCGAAGGUAUGAGAACUGCAGCUCAUGUCAUCAACAAGCUUCCUCAACCAAGGUUGGAGUUUGUUUCACCCUUUGAGAAAUUGUGGAACAAGAAACCUAUAGUUAGCUAUCUUCGAGUAUUCGGCUGUGUAUGCUAUGUAUUUGUUCCUGACCAUCUACGUAGCAAGAUCGAUAAGAAAGCAGUCAGAUGUAUCUUUGUGGGAUACGACAAUCAGCGAAAAGGGUGGAAGUGUUGUGAUCCAGUAGAUGGAAGGUGCUACACAUCACGAGAUGUGGUGUUUGAUGAAGCAUCCUCAUGGUGGACCUCAGAAAAAGAAGUGCUGCCAGACUCGAAAGAAUUCGAAGACAUGCUACAACAAAAGAUGGGGGAGCAUACUGUCCAAAUUCAUCUAAGCUCAGCUGGGGAUCUAUGCGAUAGUGAUAGCGAACGAAGAGUAACUCUAAAUCCUUGGCAAUCUGGGGUGUAUCGACAACCAGAUGAAGAAGGUGUGCCUAGUGAAACNNNNNNNNNNNNNNNNNNNNNNNNNNNNNNNNNNNNNNNNNNNNNNNNNNNNNNNNNNNNNNNNNNNNNNNNNNNNNNNNNNNNNNNNNNNNNNNNNNNNNNNNNNNNNNNNNNNNNNNNNNNNNNNNNNNNNNNNNNNNNNNNNNNNNNNNNNNNNNNNNNNNNNNNNNNNNNNNNNNNNNNNNNNNNNNNNNNNNNNNNNNNNNNNNNNNNNNNNNNNNNNNNNNNNNNNNNNNNNNNNNNNNNNNNNNNNNNNNNNNNNNNNNNNNNNNNNNNNNNNNNNNNNNNNNNNNNNNNNNNNNNNNNNNNNNNNNNNNNNNNNNNNNNNNNNNNNNNNNNNNNNNNNNNNNNNNNNNNNNNNNNNNNNNNNNNNNNNNNNNNNNNNNNNNNNNNNNNNNNNNNNNNNNNNNNNNNNNNNNNNNNNNNNNNNNNNNNNNNNNNNNNNNNNNNNNNNNNNNNNNNNNNNNNNNNNNNNNNNNNNNNNNNNNNNNNNNNNNNNNNNNNNNNNNNNNNNNNNNNNNNNNNNNNNNNNNNNNNNNNNNNNNNNNNNNNNNNNNNNNNNNNNNNNNNNNNNNNNNNNNNNNNNNNNNNNNNNNNNNNNNNNNNNNNNNNNNNNNNNNNNNNNNNNNNNNNNNNNNNNNNNNNNNNNNNNNNNNNNNNNNNNNNNNNNNNNNNNNNNNNNNNNNNNNNNNNNNNNNNNNNNNNNNNNNNNNNNNNNNNNNNNNNNNNNNNNNNNNNNNNNNNNNNNNNNNNNNNNNNNNNNNNNNNNNNNNNNNNNNNNNNNNNNNNNNNNNNNNNNNNNNNNNNNNNNNNNNNNNNNNNNNNNNNNNNNNNNNNNNNNNNNNNNNNNNNNNNNNNNNNNNNNNNNNNNNNNNNNNNNNNNNNNNNNNNNNNNNNNNNNNNNNNNNNNNNNNNNNNNNNNNNNNNNNNNNNNNNNNNNNNNNNNNNNNNNNNNNNNNNNNNNNNNNNNNNNNNNNNNNNNNNNNNNNNNNNNNNNNNNNNNNNNNNNNNNNNNNNNNNNNNNNNNNNNNNNNNNNNNNNNNNNNNNNNNNNNNNNNNNNNNNNNNNNNNNNNNNNNNNNNNNNNNNNNNNNNNNNNNNNNNNNNNNNNNNNNNNNNNNNNNNNNNGCUGUGUAUGCUAUGUAUUUGUUCCUGACCAUCUACGUAGCAAGAUCGAUAAGAAAGCAGUCAGAUGUAUCUUUGUGGGAUACGACAAUCAGCGAAAAGGGUGGAAGUGUUGUGAUCCAGUAAAUGGAAGGUGCUACACAUCACGAGAUGUGGUGUUUGAUGAAGCAUCCUCAUGGUGGACCUCAGAAAAAGAAGUACUGCCAGACUCGAAAGAAUUCGGAGACAUGCUACAACAAAAGAUGGAGGAGCAUACUGUCCAAAUUCAUCUAAGCUCAGCUGGAGAUCUAUGCGAUAGUGAUAGCGAACGAAGAGUAACUCUAAAUCCUUGGCAAUCUGGGGUGUAUCGACAACCAGAUGAAGAAGGUGUGCCUAGUGAAACAGAAGAAUCAACUCCAUUACGAAGGUCAACAAGAACCCGAAGGCCAAAUCCCAAAUACGCUAAUGCAGCCAUAGUUGAAGAAGCAACUGGAAUAGAACCUGAGACGUUCGAAGAAGCGUCACAGAGUUCUGAGUGGAUGACAGCUAUGAAAGACGAGAUCACUGCACUUGAGCAAAAUCAGACCUGGGAACUCGUGCCAAAGCCAAAAGAUGUGAAACCCAUAUCCUGCAGAUGGGUUUACAAAAUAAAGCACCGUCCAGAUGGGUCAAUCGAGAGGUACAAGGCUCGAUUGGUAGCUCGUGGUUUCUCUCAACAAUAUGGACUAGAUUAUGACGAAACGUUUAGUCCAGUGGCAAAACUUACAACCGUCCGAGUCUUACUUGCACUUGCAGCCAACAAAAGCUGGAACUUGUGGCAGAUGGACGUGAAGAAUGCCUUUCUCCAUGGAGAGCUGGAUAGAGAGAUCUACAUGAUUCAACCGAUGGGUUUCCAGAACCGAGGUCAUCCUGAGUAUGUGUGUAAGCUGCGAAAGGCUCUUUACGGACUAAAACAAGCACCCAGGGCGUGGUAUGGCAAGAUUGCUGAAUUUCUAACUCAAAGUGGGUAUUCAGUAACAUCUGCAGACUCCAGCUUGUUUGCUAAAGCUAAUGGAGAAAGGAUAGCUAUUGUGCUCGUGUACGUAGAUGAUCUAAUCAUCACUGGAGAUGAUGUUGAAGAAAUUUUCCGAACAAAGGAGAACUUGUCAGUUCGUUUUCAAAUGAAAGAACUUGGACAACUUAAGCAUUUCCUUGGGCUAGAGGUUGAUCAGACGAAAGAAGGGAUAUUUCUUUGUCAACAGAAAUAUGCCAAAGAUUUGUUGAAGAAGUUUGGGAUGCUAGAAUGUAAGUCGAUCUCAACGCCGAUGGAACCAAAUGCCAAGAUGUAUGCACAUGAAGGCAAAGACCUGGAAGAUGCAUCGAUGUAUCGACAAUUAGUGGGUAGUCUAAUCUACUUAACCUUGACUCGACCUGACAUUUCUUAUGCAGUUGGCGUGAUGAGUCGAUACAUGCAAAAUCCGAAGAAGUCUCAUUUAGAAGCGGUUCGGCGAGUACUCAGAUAUGUGAAGAGUACAAUAGACUAUGGUCUUCUAUACAAGAAAGGUGGAAAUUGCAAACUAGUUGGCUACUGUGAUGCUGACUAUGCAGGAGAUCACGAUACUCGCAGAUCAACUACUGGGUAUAUGUUUACCCUUGGAUCUGGAACGAUUUCUUGGUGUAGCAAGAGACAACCGACUGUGUCCAUGUCAACUACGGAAGCAGAGUAUCGAGCAGCAGCAAUGGCAGCUCAAGAAAGCACGUGGCUGAUACAACUAAUGAAUAAUCUACAUCAACCAAUAGAUUAUACAGUUCUGUUGUACUGUGACAACCAAUCGGCAAUUCGGCUAGCGGAGAAUCCUGUUUUUCAUGCAAGAACUAAACAUGUGGAAGUGCAUUACCACUUUGUUAGGGAAAAAGUUCUGCAAGAAGAGAUUGAGAUGAGGCAAGUUAAGACAGAUGAACAAACUGCUGACUUGUUUACAAAAAGCUUGAGUGUUGGAAAGUUUGAACAUUUCCGUCGUCAGCUUGGCGUGAUUCAAAGAAUGGGGGCUAACAUUGAGGGGGAGUGUUGAGAAGUCAAUAUUAGCCCAAAUAAGUCCACACCUAAAUUAAUUUGAUGUCAUUGCUUACAUCAAUUUAGUUAGGUGAAAAUUAGGUAUUUUUCCCAUGUUUAAUUUCAAUGGUGAAGUCAAUAUUAGCCAAAUAAGUCCACACCUAAAUUAAUUUGAUGUCAUUGCUUACAUCAAUUUAGUUAGGUGAAAAUUAGGUAUUUUUCCCAUGUUUAAUUUCAAUGGUUUAAAUUAGUUUGUGGUUAUUUUAAUGAGUGGUUUAGAUUGUUUCUUGUAAUCUAUAAAUACCUCAUUUGUAUUUGAGUUUUAUAAUUCAACAAUCAAAGCUUUAUUAUAAGCAUUUGAAAGUUUUCUUUAGAGUUCUUCUCUUUUGCAAUUUUGUGAGAUUAUUCUAAAGAGAGUUUUUCUUCUUCUUGAUCAAUUAGAGUUUUUACUCUAUUUUGAUUCAACACUUAUCUUUCUAAAAGAUUAACAAAAAUCUCAGCUCAGCGCUGAAUAAAAAUUCCUGUAAACUAGGAACAUAAAACUCAAUAAUGACAUGGAAAGCUUAUAUUCAAAUUCAAUUGUAUUCAUGAUAUGAUUAUUUCAAACAACCAACCAAAAAUACUUAAAACAAAAACCCAAUUGUGAAACUAAAAAAACCCAACUCUCAUAUUCUCCGAAGAAUGCACUAAAUUAAUUAAUUAAAUUUUUUAAAAAAGAAACAAACCUAAAUUCAGGUACGAGGCAAAAAGAUUGGGGAAAAAAAAGAAAGAAUAGGAAAGGAAAUGAACCUUGGGAGUCCAAAGCGUGUCGCUUGAAGCGACGCCGUUCCAAGCACGGGAUACAAGGAGAGUCAGUGCUACGCUGUGUGCUUUUAGGUUUUGAAGUAUCAUCAACAUUAUGUCUCUACCAAAAGCAUCCAGUGCGUCCUGCAAUAAUUCUUCAGUUUCUUCUUCUUUUAGUUUUUCUUUUCUUUCCUCUCGCUUUCUCUCCUUUAUCAGUUUCAUCUUCGUCUUCUUCUUCUUCAGUAAAACGACAUCAUUUUCCUGUUCUUCUCUUUUUCGCAGUUCCAUUCUGUGUGGUAGCAGCUAUUACUACAGAGCAAGCGAAUGAAAGGAAUGACCAGAAGCUGCGAAAAAUGAGGUAAUUGUAAUAACUCCGAAAAACAUCAAAAUAUAAAAAUAUGUUAAUGCUAAAGGACCUGUCUAUGGUACAGGUUCUGUAACAAACAUCUCCCGUCAUCCCACCAUCCGAUUUUCUAUUGUUUAGUUUCUCACUCCACAUCCAACCACAUCCAACGGCUGAUGCUGCAGUCUGUACCUUACAGAUUCUGUAAGCUAGUCGAGUCCAAUGCUAAAAUGCCCAUAUUUAAUUUUUUUAAAAUCAUUUACAGUAUGUAGAAAUAUACGACCGACAAAUUUAUUAUUUUUUAAAUAUAAUAAAUUUUACGUGGCUCAAACUCAUUCUCUCGUAGAUAUUAUUGAACUACAGGCCUACAAGUUAAAAAGUUAAUACUUUUUUACUUAUUAUUUUAUUCAAUUUUUUUAUCACUUGAUUUAUUAUUCAACUUUAUUAUGAAGAUUGAUAAUAAAGUUGAGAAUAUUUUUUAUUUACGAUAUUUUAACCUUUUUAGAGUAUGAUUAUGUAAAACGAGCGGUCGGGGGUGUUAUCGGUAUUAUAAAAGAAAUAAAUAUCUAUUUAAAAAAAAAAAGCGGUGGGAGGUCACGUGGUUUAGAUACUGUUCUGUAAUGAUGAUAGUUAAUACUGGUCCGAUAAUGCAUUCUUGCCACGAGCCCCAGAGCAAAGUCAUCCUUCAAUUGAAGGACGAAAAUCGGGCGUUUGGGCUCUGGCUCAAAUACGUGGCAAGAUGCUGAGUGAUUGCUUGGCAAAACAACAAGUUGAUGACUUGGUUGUUUAUUGUGAUAUUAGAGGUGGCAAAACCGAUGACAAAGUGGUUUUCGUGCCAUGUAAAAUUUAGAGUGAUUUAGAUAUUUAUUUAAUAAUUAUGUUAAAAUAUUAAAAUAUUUAUUUAAUAAUUAUGUUAAAAUAUUAAAAUUUUAAGUUUGAUAUGAAAAAUAACAAUUGACACAACGUAACUUAUUAAUUAAUAAUUGUGUCGCGAGAUACCUUAUAAUCUAUUUAAUUAACACUCAUUUAACAUGAUUUAUAUCAAUCAUUUUUGCUCCUAUUUAAUAAAAAUUUUACAAUUUUUAUAUAUCUAAAUAGUAUUAUAUAUUGAUAUCAUAAAAAAUAUACAUAUUUAUUGAUAUAUUACAUAUUUACACCAUUCAGGUUUUAAAAGCAUCUAGAAUUUUAUGAAAUGGAACACCACAUAAAUGUUUAUCCUUCGUAAGUAAUUGUUUCGUUAACUGAGUAGAUAGGUCAAGAAUAUAGGAUAACGAUUCUCUCUUGAUCUGAUCUCCUCCUGAGAAAAAAUACAUGUAGGUGAUUGGUAGUUAAUAAAUUAAAAAAUUAAAAAAUUAAAUUCUACCCAUACACUAUUACUUAAAGACAAAUGGAACAAGAUUUUUAAAAGCUCAUGAGAGCUCAGAUCAGGAGAGGAUCUUUAUCCCAAGAAUAUAAACCUAACUCGAGAAGCCAAAAAAUUGUGUUAAAAAGGGUACGGCCUAUUUAAUUAUCGUGUCAAAUUUAAUAAUCUAAAUCUACUUUUUUGUGUUGUGUUCAUGUUUGCUAAAUGGAUUGUAUCAAAUUUUGUUAGUACUAUUUAUAGUAUAUUAGAUAUUUAAAUAAGAUUUGCUUCUAAAACGAGAAUUAUAAAGUUCAGGUGUCUAUUACAUAUGUGUCAUGUAAGGCACCGUCCGACGCAAUGUAGCUGGACCCGUCAUGUAAAUAUAUUAAUCUUUCUAGCAUAUCUCUCUUCUCCCCCCUCUUACUUGUAUAAAAAGAAUUAAUGUCGUUAAUACCAACAGGUGAAUACAAAUGUGCCAAAAAAAAUUUCUUUAUUUUUUCAUAGAGAUAUAAUUUCAUUCCAACAAUAACAUAAUAGUAUAACAACUAGUCCAUAACAGACUUGGAGAUCAAUCUAUAGAUAAUCUGAUAGAAUAAAUAGUUGAACAAACUUUUUACUUUCAUAGUUCACACUAACGAAUAAUGAGAACACAAUGCAUCAGAGACUCUAUUAAAGAGCAUCUCUUAAUCAUGCAUCCAACAUGCUCAAGCUCUAUCGGGAACAUCUCCAAUACCAUGUCUAGAUCAAGUAGUAUGUAUAGUUUCAGGUUUAUGUGCUUUUUUUUUUUUUUUUUCGAUUCCACCCUAUGUGGUGGUUGUGUUCAUUUGGUUGUGUUUCGUGUUGCUGAUGUGUUCAUCUUUCAGAUUUUGUACUUGAAUGGGUAAGAUUUGGCAAAUAGGUGACCAUGAAUCAUUUUCUAAUGUGGAUUUGUUACAUUGCUGGUUGUAUUUUGAACCUAAAUUAAAUCUAUUUAAUUAGUCUUCUGGGAGUAAAUUUAUGAUUUACCUAGCAAGAACAAAAAUUCCUUAGCGACAUCUAAAUUGAUCGUGUACAUAUUAAAAGGAUGUGUAUAAAUCAUUACAUGAUACUUUAGUAUGCUGAUAUUUUUCCUAGCACGUCAGUAUGAGAAAUCAAUUAUUUGUUUAUCUGUUGACUGCAAUGAAUUUAUCUGUACAUUAGUGACACACACACACACAUAUAUAUGUAAUCAUUUUCAGGUGUGGAUGCCUUCAUUUGUUUUAAUGCGAACACGGUUUUAAGCUAUGCGGUUUUAUAACGUUAUGCACUAACUUUAUUGAACUACGCCCGUACUAAAGAAGGAUUAUAUAUAUGUGUAAUAUAUAUACGUAUACAUAAAGUUCAUGCAAACUAAGGUUUUUAUUUAAGCAAUUCACAUUUUAACAAUAAAUGCUCUUCACUCUUGUUUGCUGGUGUAAUUGGAUGGAUGGUUUUGCUUCAAUAUUCUCUGUCUCGCUCUUUCGUUUAUAGUUUUUACCAACUAAUUGAGAGGAAACAAAAACUGUUUGCCGAACGGCCGAACAUGUCCACCGUAUAUAUACUGGGAUCUGUGUAAGUUACAUAAGUAUUAACAACUGAUCGUGUUUUUAAUUACUUUUGUUUAUUAAUAACUUGUAAUGAGAAAUCUAAUUGCACUGAUAAUUUGAGUAAAUUUCAUAUAUUUUCUUUACAUUUUAAAAGUGAAAAACUAAUUUAACACUAUUGGACCAAAAAUAUUAUGGGUCCAACUAAAAUUCAAAUAAAUAUUGUCUAAACAAAGCCGAAGAUGAGUUCUUAGGAUCCAAAGAGAACACAUAUUUAAAAUAUGUGAUUCUUCCUGUUUUUUCGUUUGGUCGAGCUUUCUCAUUGGAAAGUUAUGCUAUAUCUUGAAAGUAUUUGGCAAACCCAGCAGUACUUCAUUCUUGAAGCACACAAGCAGGGGUCCUGUACCACCAACGUAUGAUUUACUCGUGACUAGUCAAGGGAAUAGUACAUGAGUGAGUGCCUGAAUUAUGAGCCUUGCCUUACAGAUAGACAAAUUAUAAUCAUGAGUUUUGUUCCUCAGGGUUUUGAAAUCUCAUUACCAAGGGUACAAGUGAUCAAACUUUUAACCCGUCAAAACAUUAACGUAUAAGUAUUAUACGUUCGCUUUUCAAGCUCAUGCAAGUUCCAGUAAUUUGGCACUACAUCAAUGGGCAGACUGAAAUCAAGAGGUGAGUCUCCACUCACCAGACUCUCUUAAUAAUGUAUAACAAGCACCAUACUAAAAUUAGAUACCUUAUUAAAAUGAAACUCCCAAACAUGAUCACAAAGGUCUUCUUUUGUGAUAUGAGUCUACUAGAAUCAUUAAUUGAUCAAAAUUGUAUAAAGGUUGUAUAAAGGUUUAAAAAAAAGAAAUAUCUCAUUAAUUGAUCAAAAUUACUAAGUUCAUCUAUUAGUCAAAAUUAGAAUGAUAAAAAAUCAUUAAAUAAUAAAUAUUCUUAAUUUAUCUGUUAUUGUUUAUAGUAGUUGUAGUACAUAUAUUAAUUAAAAUUUAUUAUGACCGUAAUUUUCAAUAUUUCACAAAUCCCCCUCUCUGUUUCUUUUCUUUUAUUGUGCGUUUUGGUUAUUUUUUAGGGAGAUAGGCCCCCUGAUGCGACUUACAAUUACAGGUGACAUGUCUAAUCUUGCUCACAAUUAGUAGAGACUAGAGAGUCUACGGUCAAAAUUCUUUUUUUUUUUUUAAAAAAAAAGAGUAAUUUGAUUUUUCAGCCACUUUCCUUUUUUGUUAUCAACUAGUCAUAACUCACAAGCGUGACAAUCACUAAAUUCAGGGUGUGUUUGGAAUUGAUGUUGGACAGAUAUAACUUAAAAGUUAUAACAGUAAAGUAUUUGGUAAACACUAUCUGUUGUAACCUGAAAGUUAUGUUAAUAUGAUUUUUCACUUAUAUAAUAGAGAAUCUAUUAUAUCUUCAAUAAUUUUGUCAAAAUUAUUAUUUAAAAUUAAUAUUUAUUACAUAUUAUUAAUUUUUGUUUCAUAGUUACAACUUUUUUUUCACAGCAAUUGUAGCUUAAAAGUUACAACACCUCAAUUCCAAACACACCCCGAAAGUGACUUCCUCACAGCCGGCAACUAUCCACUUGCCAUUAGUUGAAUGCGGGAGUGGAAUCGUGUCUUUUGAAAGUUAAAAUAAAGUUAGAAGGAAACAAAUUGUCAAUGUGGGUUCUUAGAUCAAUUUUAGGACAACCACAUGAUUUUGUUGAUGGAAUAAAUGUCAUUAACGUGUUUAUUUUUUAGAUUUAGAAAAAAUAUCAUGUGUUUAUUUUGGGAUUUAAAAAAAAAAGAAGAAUGAGAAUUAUUAAUAAUAUUUACUUGCUAAAAAUACAAAGAAAUAUAAAUAAAUUUUAAGUGAGUCUCAUAAAUUUAGGAAUGAGUAAGAAUUUCAUUUAGAUGGAAGAGGCGGGAAUAAGAAUGGAGAAAUGAGAAUAAAGAGUAAAAAUCGUUCAUCUUUAUUGAAAAUUACAACUUUCUUUUUACUCCAUUUUGGUAACUUACAAUCAUCUAUUCUAAUUUUAAAAUAAAGUAAACACAUCAAGUUUGGAAUACUGUUGAUUUUGAUCUCGGUUCUUGCAGUUGAAAUAAACAAUUUAUUCUUCUACAUUUUGAUUCCAAUUCAUUUUUAUUCCAAUUCAUUUUUAUUCUUGCCUAUUAGGAUUCAUAGUUAAUAAAUGCACUACUAAUAUAUUGUCAAAGAGACUCUAUUUUUUAGUUUCAUUCUAAUUCAUCUCAAAUCUCUCUCAUAUUGAAUACUUUGUUGAAAUUUAUUAAAGAUAUUUAAAAAAAAAUUUAUCGACAACUCUAGCUGCCAUCUAUAUAAAUAUAUUAAUUUUUUUUCUAAUUAGUGCUUCUUAAAAAGAAUCUACCUCAGCCAACCCAAUCAAUUUUUUCUCCCUCAGCCUUCCAUAGGAUUUGAAUUCGGGUAAUUAAUAAAGUAAAAUUACUUAAAAAUCACUCGGCUAAGUCUUUGAGGUAGUUUAAUCUUAGAUAAAUAUUAAGGACUUAUCAAUUAUCCUAUUAAAAUUAGUAUGUAUAAGCAUAUGGCUAAGGCAAACCAAAUCAAGUACAGUUGACGUUAUAUGUGAUAGAUUAAAUGAUUUAUAGAAGUGAGUCAUCUGUGAUAUAUAUCAUACAACCUAAUUCAUUUGAAUUUGUGAAUAUUGAAUUUGAAAGCAUAUAUUUUGGUAGUCUAUUUUAGAGUAAUUAAUUUUAAUUAAAAAUAACUGUUAUAGUAUUAUCUCAAAACGUCACCUAAAUUGUAAUUUUAAUUGAUAAAAUCUCACGACUAAGGUUAAGAGAUUUAGAGAUUUUACCUAAAAGUAUAAUGGUAGGUAUUGGCGUUUGCCUUGCCCGCUUUAUCAUGGUCCAAAAAUCGCCUUUUGGGCCAUGGAGCGGCUCAUGUGCUUGCUUUGCACAAUCUCUAGGAAUCCAAACUUGAUUUUGUUUUUGGUUUACACAUAUUUCCAUGGAAUUCGGCAGAGAGCAGAUGAUUAGGCUAAUUCGGAGUUGGAAUUCCUUUCUGUUCAGUAGUGGGACCAAACAGGGAGGGAGAACGGGCUGAGCUUGGACAAGCCCAGGCUCAAGUCUGAGCUCAUAAAAGCCCUUCCAAAUUUGGAGGGGCUGAACAGAAGUUGGCCCAUCAUGUGUUUGAGCUUCCUCAACCAUUUCAUUUAGAGAGUGCCUAAGUUACAUCUAUUGUAACUUAUUGCUUUUGUCUUAUUUCCUUUUGGCUAAUAUCAUAUAGAUCCUUUAAUUUUUUUCUAUUUCCAAUUUUUAUAGUUAUGGAUGCAUUUGUCUUCUUCCAUCUCUCAUACAUCUAUUUUUUAUUCUUUCUAGGAUUUUAUUUAUUUCCUUGAACAAUAACAAAUGAUUGUCAAAUUCAUAUAAGUCUACAAAUUCAUAAUAGACAUCUGGUUCUAAAUUUAUUAUUCCUAUCCUUUCUUGUUCUAAUAAAUCUAUUUUUUGGUUUAUUAAAUUUAUAUAUGUAUUUACUAUGUUUUCCCAUCCUAAAAACAAAUGAUCUAUACUACUUGCCAAUUCUUGUAUUGUAUUAACAGCUUGAUUCAUAGCGUUUCUAUUUUAUACCAAUAUAUUAAAAAUUUUAUAAAUUCAUCUAUAAAUUUUAUUUUCUUUUCUAUUAAAAUUUCACCACCUACUGUAUCUAUAAAUCUUUCUCUAAACUCCUGGGUUAGUUCAAGUUCUAUAUUUCUUAUAUUAUUUUUAUCAGUUUUAAUUGCUUUUAUUAAAUUUUUUAUAUCUUCUUUAUCAUAUACCUUUAAUGUAUGCAAACUGUCUACUAUAGUUCUUAUAGGAUCCAUGGAGUCCGUGGCUCUGAUACCAUUUCGUCGUUAUUAAAAUUUAAAUCAAAUAAUCAAAAUUUCAAAAUUACUAAAUUUACAAAAUUACAAAAUUAAUUCGUGCGUUAUUAAAAUUACAAAAUUAACUUACUAAUGCGAAGAAUGAUUCAUAUGAAUAAAUAAACACAUAUGAUCAACAAAUUAUUGUUCAUUCAGAAACAUAGAGAACAUAUAUUUUUAUGUAACUUAAAUAUUAAUAAUAGAAAAGUGCGUGGCGUUGUUACACCCCUAGGUACAGCUAUUAAAAUAGCACUUUGGACCAAUAGCCCGCAACCCAAAGAGGUUUCCAGCCUAUAUACUUUUCAUAUUUCUUAAGUUAUAUUUCAAAUUCUUCAUUAUCUGAAUUAUAGGUAUAUGAAGGUCCAGCUUCAUAAUCUUUAUGUUUCAAAUAUGCUUUUGCUAUAUCAAUUCCUUCAUCUAUUGUUGGCAUAAUUAUAUUAUGUUUUAGAUUGUCUAUUUCAAUGUUUUCUAUAAUUUUCCGUUUUAUUUCUUGAGGUAAAUUAAGUGAGUGUACUGCUAAUAAGUCUUCUAUUCUAACGAGUUCCUAUUUACUGAACAGAUAUGAACUCUAUUUAUAUGAUCCUAUAUUAAAAUCUAUUAUCAUCAUGUACUCAUUGUAUGUUAUUUUAGUGGUUGGAUUUAUUAUGUAUUCUUUAGAUUCUCCUAAAUAAAACUUGUGAUCCAUGUUAUAAACAAAAAGUUUGUUUCAGUUUGAAAGUUUUUCAGUUUAAAAGUUUUGCUCUUACUCCAUAAAUUAUCCCACCAACAACCAUCAACAAACUUCCACCAAGAGAUAAAAGUCGAGUAUUAUUACCUGAUUUAUCCUUUCUCCUUUACCUUCUGAUCUCCUUCCAGUAACCUGCAGCCUGUUUGUCCUGUGCCCUUACAGCGUCCUGCCUCAGCGGGAUCUGUGGACUCAGAUGGAUUUACUGUAUGGAUUUCGAUCGUCUUGAUAAAGAAGUGUUGGAUAAGUUUAGGUUUCUCUUCUUUUUCUUUGAUGGUUUUUGUUUUUGGUUGAUGAUGUUUUGAUUUAGGAUUUCGAGCAAGCAAGUGUUUAGUGAUCCAUCGUUAAUAAUUUCAGAGAAAAAAUGAAGGAUGUCUGAAAACGUCUGAGUGAGAGUGUGUGUUUCUCCUCAUUCUUUUUAUUUAUAUGAAAGAGAUUCUAUUACAUUAUUGGUCUAUGACCUCAUUGCUUACGUAUCUAUUACAUUAUUGGUUUUCAGCUUACAUCAUUAUUUCAUAUUUUAUUAUUACAAUUCUUGACUUCUUGUCUUCUUCUUUUCUUUUAGCAUUUUAGUUGUCUGCCACGAGCAUCUUCUUUUUAUCUUGUCUGCUACGAGCAUCUUCUUUUUAUCUUGUCUGCCAUGAGCUGCUUUUAUUUGUCGAGCAUCUUUAUUUCCAUAAGCUGACAAGCUUGCUGUAUGGUUUCAUGGCUACUAGGGAAUCUCAUGGUGCUGAUUUCAUUGAUGAGAUCUAAAAGAAUAUUUGAAGGUGUAUGGCUAUCCUCUGAGGUUACAAGGAUAUAAUUCUGAAAUCGGAUAAUUGUUCUAUAGUUUCUUUUAUAAAGGUCUUUGGCAAUACUCCAUAUCGCCUUUAUUCCCCGGGCUCUGCGGGUUCUGAUCCAUGAUUUGGUUAUUUGAGGAAUAUUUGUAUAUUCAGUUCCUACUUCUAUUUGGAAAUUUUUUGUAAGGUGCCCCACAGAGAUCAUGUAAAACGCUUGAUAUUCAACAUUUUGGUGGUAUUUUGGGCUAAUAGUGUAAAAUUUUAGGUAUAUAGGCCUUUUUUGGGCAAAUUUUGAAACUUCUUUGACUAAUAAUUCAUCUAAACUGACUAUUUCUCUUAAAUCUGUAUCUGGAUAUACUAACCCAUACUGUGCUAUUCUUCCAAUGAGGAGAGGAUCUGCUCCUUUUAUAGCUAUCAUCCUGGGGUAUAUAUUUUUUUCAGGUGCCUUGAAAAUGGUAUUAUUGUGGGAACAUGUAGAGUACACCCAUGUGGAAAACUAUUUAUAUUCUUCUUCUUUUGGAUUUAGGGUAAUAAGUUUUUUUUCUUCUUCUGAGGAAGUGCUGUUUAUUCUGAUGAACUUUUUUGUAGAAGUCUUUUUAGGAGAUUCGACUUCAAUGGACAAGGUUCAGUUGAAGGAUGGGUCACAGACUGGUUCUUGUUGUGGGAGAGGUCCACUACUGCUUCCUAUUUUUAUUGGGUUAGUAUUUAUUGAAAGCCCUUUUGUUAAGUCGUUUAUGUAUGACUCUAACAAAUGUAUUCCCUUCUCAUGAGCCUCUGUGGCUUCUUUCAUGUAAUUUAUAGUAUCUAGCAUGUCUGAUGCUUCUGCUUUGAGCCUUUGUAUUUCUGUGUUUAUCACAGAUAUGGUUUUAUUUACUUCUGUAUUCAGUCUCCGAAUUCUAUGUUCCUGCUUCGAAAAUCUGCAAGAAAAUUAUUAGUUCCUUUUAAAAUUAUAAUAUGACAAAUACGCUUGCCAUCUAUGUAAUCUCUUGUAGUGAGGUUCAUUUGGCAAAAUUUUACUAAUAAGCCAAUUUACCUAAGAAUUGUCUGUUUCUAUAAUAAAUUAUUUCUAGAGUAAAAAUAAUGAGAACUUUUUUAUUCCUUUGUAUAUUGCAAGGAGUUCUUUUUCAUGACCUUGGUAAUUGACUUGUACUGGGUUAAAUGUUCCACUAGUAUAUCGGCAAAUUUCAUUUAUAUCAGUUUUAAGUACUGCUCCCCAAUGUAAAUCAGAUGCAUCAGUUUGUACUACUAACUUAUCAUUUUCUUCUGGUAACCUUAAUGAUGGGAGGUUUUUACAUUCUUCUUUUAGGCAGUGUUUACUUUCUGGAGUGGGAGUGUGGAGUGUGGAUUCCUCACACUCCAGUGUUUACUUACCUUAAAAAAGGGGGGAGUGGGAGUGGGAAUCCGUGGGUCCCACCCAAAUUUGGAGUGGGGAGUGGGAUUCCCACUCCCAUUGGGGGAGGUGGGAGUGGGAAUCCACUCCCCCCUCUUCCCAUUUUAUCCUUAUAAAAUUAAAAUAAAUAAAUAAUAUUUAAUAAAAUAAAUAAUAUUUCAUAAAAUAAAUAAUAUCAUAUUUAUUAAAAAUAAUAAUUAUAUCAUAUUUAUUUUAUUAAAUUUAAUAAAAUAAAAAUAAAUUUAUAAAUAUAAUAAAAUAUUUAUUUUAUUUUCCAAAUAUAUUUUUUAUUAAUUUUUUAAUUACAAAUUAUAAUUCUGUACAUAAGGAUAAAAUUGUAAUUUAAAACAAUUUACUCCUAAUCUAAGACAAAGUAAACAAAUAAUUGGGAUUCUAAUUGACAAUCCAUACUUUCAUUUAAUCUAAGUAAACACCAUACUCUCACUCCCACUCCACACUCCUAAUCCAAGGAUUCCCACUCCUCAGGAUUCUCACUCCAAUCCAAAAAGUAAACGCAGCAUUACAUUCUUUACAGUUUCCAUAUGUUCUUCACUCCAUCCUUUAGUAUUAUUUUUUCUGAGUAAUUUUUGAAGUAUAUUUCUCUUUUUUGCUAAGUCUUUUAUAAAUCCUUCUGCAUAAUUUAAACAACCUAAAAAUUUUUGUAUUUGUUGUUUAUUUUCCAAUUUAUCUGGGAAUUCUGUAAUCUUUUUUUCUAUAUGGCUCUAGAGUCUAAUUCCUUUUUUGUCAAGAACCAUUUCUAAAAAUUCUAUCUUCUUGUGUUCUACGACUGCUUUUCUUUCUGACAAAACUAUACCUUCUCUGAUACAUAUAUUAACAAAUUCUCUUAAAUGGUUUCUAUGGUCUUCUAAUGUUUCUGAUGCUAUUAAUAUGUCAUUAACAUAGACUAUGAUAUAUUUAUAAUCUCUAAAUAUUUUAUCCAUUCGACUUUGAAAGAUUUGAGGGGCAUUUUUUAGUCUAAAGGGCAUUACUAUCCAUUCAUAAUGUCCUUGUGGGGUGCUAAAGGCUGUAUAAGGAAUACUGUGUUCUUCCAUUUUUAUUUGCUAAAAUCCUGAUUUACAAUCAAAUUUUGAGUAGUAUGUUUUAUUUUUUACAAGAUUUAUUAAUACUUCUUUAUUUGGAAGAAAAUAUUCAUCAAACUUCGUAUAUUUAUUUAAUUCCUUAUAAUUUAUAACCAUUCUUGGUUUUCCUCUUACUUGUUUUGAUCUUUUCCUAACCAUAAAGGCUGGGCUAUUAUGAAGGCUAUUACUAGUUCUUAUUAGUUUUAAAUUUAAUAACUCUUUUAUUUGGAUCUUAAACUCUUCUCUAUCUUCUUCUGUAUACAUCAUAGAUUUAAGCCUUAUUAUUCUAUUUCAAUUAAUUCUAUUUUUGUUCUAGGAUGGUCUGGUUUCCAUAAUGCUAAUCAGUUAUCUUUAUAGACUUGUUCAAGCUGUGAUUUUAUUGUUUCUAGUUGUAUAUUAUAACUAUGUCCUUUCAAGAUUAAAUAAUUUUUUCAUAAAUAAUAUUAUCACCAUGCUGGGCUGGCUGAACUCGGUAGGGUUUAAAUUCACGAGGGAUGUGAAGGACAUGAUUACAAGGGGUUUUUAAGGUGAUCAUAUAAGGAGUUUGUUGAUAGUACUGGAAUUGUUGUAGGAAGGCAUUUCCUAGGAGGAUAUCACAAUCCAUAUGGUCAUAUUGAAAUAUUUAAUUAAUACGUACUAUUUUACUUCCUAAAUGUAUUUCAAAAUUUAUCAAAGAUUGAUUUACUUGUUGUUUAUCUCUUGUUAUUCUAAUGAUUUUUAACUUUCUAUUAGGUUUCCAUUGGUUUGAUAAAAAGGGUUUCAUAAUUAUUAUUUCACUACUAGUGUCUAUUAAGGCACAUGUAUCUAUAUCUUUUUCUGUUAUGUUUAUUUGUGUAUAAACGGACAUAGGGUAUUUUAUAUAAGCUUGUUUUAACAUGUUUCACACACUGUUCUUUGACCUUCUAUUUGUAAGGUUAUUUUAUGUUUUUCAAUUUUAUAGUAUUCUAAAUCAUUUAAAAAACUAUUUCCUAGCACUAUAUGUUUUUCUGGGUCUGUGGUCAUGAAUAAGUCUAUAUAACAAGAUACUAUUAUUCUAAAUCCUUCUGUAAUUAUAGGGACUUUAACUUCUUGUUUACAAAUAUGUUUAUUACCUUAAAAUCAGUGUAUUCAUAUGGAAUUUCUUUUUCUUUUAUUAAGAGUCCUUUUAUUUUUAGUGUGGUUCAUAUAAUUAUGGCUCGUUCCAGUGUCUACUAGUAUAUGUAUUUUUGUCGUAUAUUAUAUUCCAUUAAAGUAUUGUCCAAGUAUUUUUACUACAUUAUUAGUUGUUAUUGAUCUAGUUAUUUGUUUAUCCAUACUAGUUAUUUAUUUAUCAGUGCUUAAUCUUCUAGAUGAACUUCCUCUUACUAAAGUCCUUCCUGCAAAACUUAUAGGAAUGAUGGAGUUUUCAUUAUUAUCAUUUAAAAAUUACUUUCUAUCAUCUAUGUUCAGUUCAUAAUUUAUAGGAAUUUUGUAGUCUUGGAUUGUGGGUUCUAUAAGGGUUGCUAUCUCUUCACUUUCUUUAUUUAUUUCUAUAUAAGGUUUAUUUCCAUAUAUUUCUCCAUAGUUCGAAUUACAAAAACUAUAUAAUGCAGAAUAAUGUAUUGUCAUUAAUCUAUUUCCUUCUUUCAUUAAGUUCUUUUUUAGUAGUUUAAAGUGUAAGCUUAGCGUCUCAUCUAUAUUUUUAUCUUUUAUGUGUACACAAUAUCUAGGAUGACAUGUAAAUAAUAGUUUAGUGUAACAUAAAUUUCCUUCUAUUGUUCCUAAAUGUCCUAUACUGGGAUCAUGAAACCUUUUAUCAUGUAGUGAUAAGACUAUAGGACUAUCUAUUCCUUCUUUGAAAAAGGAUUUUACUAAUAUUUGAAUUUAUGCUAGAUAUACAUAUUGAAUUUUUUCUUUUGUUGAUUCAUUUUUUAUUUUUCUUAAUGCUAAAUCUAUAGAUCUUUUAUUUAUUAAACUAAAUCUAAUAUUUCUUUCAGCUUGUGUAAUUGUUACAGCCUUUUCUUGUUCAUAAUAUUCAUGUAAUAUUAUCCGUUUUCUUUUGAAUAUAUCUCUAAGUCUAUGUAAUAUCCCAUAUUUCGGUUUUUCCAUAUUUAUUUUCAAAAGUUUAUUAUAUUUUUCUUUAUUAAAAGUGGCAACAAGACUAUAUCCACUUUUAUUUUCUUCUUUUUCUAUUUCUUCAAUUUCUUCUAUCUCUUCUUUCUCUAUUAUUUCCUUUUUAUUCUGACUCAUAUUCUGAUCCUUUUUCCACAUAAACUUCUUUUCCUUCAUAAUCUAAUAUAUCACUUAUUUCUUCUAAGUCAUUUCUUAUGUUUUCAAAAUCUUCUCUUAAGAGUCUAACCUUCUUUUUUGUACAAUCUGUGCUAAUCUGUCAUAUUUCUCCACAAUUCCAACAUUUACACUUGGAUUUAUCUAAUUUGUUUCUUUGAUUUUUAUACUUUCUUUUAUAAUACUUUCUUUUAUAAUACUUUCUUUCUGGUUUCUUGUAUUUUCUUUUAAAGUUAUUGUAUUUUUUAUAUUUUUUCUCUUUUUUAUAUAACUUUCUCUUUCGUUUAUAAGGUGUAUAACAACCCCAUUGGGUUGGCAUUUCUGUCUUUUCACAACAUAUUUCUCCUAUAUUUUUACUCUUUUUCAUUAGAUUUCUUUGAAUGCAUAUUUCACUUAAUCUUAUAUUUAAAAAUCUUAUUCUAGAUCCUAAAGUAUCUGGAAGUUUAUUAGUAACACUAUAUUUCUUAUAUUUAUUAAUAAAUAUCCAUUCAAGGGAUAUGGUAACUUGGAAUAAUAUAAAUUUUUAUAGAUACUUUGGUCUUCUUGACUGUAGAAUUGUUCAUAAUAAUAUUUAUUAAAUUCACAAGUAUAUUCUUUUACAAAACACAUGUUACAAAUAGUUAAAUUCAUUAAUUUCAUUCUUGCAUUUAAUUUUUCAUUUCUUGUUUCUAUUUCAGUAUUUUGUAUCCAAUCUUCACCUAAAAAUUCACUAGCGAUAUAUUCAAUUAAUCUUUCAAUUCCUAACCCUUUAUCUCUAGCUAAAGCUGUUUUAGUUGAAUCUUUUAUCAAUUUUUGUGUAUCUCCGCUUAGUCCUUUCCACCAGUUGAAUACAUUUCCUGAAAAACUGGCUAUUAGGAUGUCAGCGAAUAAAUUUAUCUUUUCUGCUUCAGAUUCUACAUUCGAAUCAUCCUUAGAACCAUUGUAUAUAAAAAAUAACUUCAUUUGCAUUCCCUAUUCAAUUAUAGCUUUUCGAGGUUCUAUUUUGCAAUCUAAAUCUAAAAAUGUUCCUGCAUUGCUUAUUGGCGUUAAUUUAUCAUUAUUAGGCUUAUAUUCUUUUUUCCAAGGGGUAUUUUUAACGGGUGGUACAUAUUUAAAAAAGGGUCUAUUUUUCUUUUUGUUCGUUGUAUACCUAUGACUUGGUUCUCUUAUAUUAGGCUUCAUUUCUGGUCCUCCAGCAGUAUUCAUUUUUAUGUGAUAUUCUUUUUCAAAAUCUUCUAAGUCACUAAGGUUUAUCUCACUAAAAUUUUCAGUUAAUUCUUCUAAUGUAUCUUCCAUUAGUCUGAAUCACUUGGAGUUGUUUCUUUUAUCUCUAAUUUUUCUUUUCCUUUUUCUUUUUUCUUUAAUUCUGCCUUUAAUUCUUCUGUUUCUUUUAAUAUUUUUGGAUAUUGAGUUUCCAUAAACCAAGUAUCAUAGUUGCCUGUUUGUGGUUUUUGUAUGGGUUUCUUAAAACUUGUUCCAAUUAUUCCUGAUUUUAGUAUUUCAAAUUUUUCUAAUUUUUUAUUUUUCUUUUGACUCAUCUGAAUUAUAGACAUUUCUAUUUUUAUUUUUCCUAUUUCUUGUUUUAUAUCUUUUAUUUCUUCUUUGAGAUUUAAAAGUAUUUCUUUUAAUUCUAUUAAUGUAGUUUCCAUAAAGUCUAAGGGUGUCUAUAGAUAUUUUAAUUUCUUGAUUGUAUGUUACGUUACACGUAACUUAGUUUUGGCCUUUCAUUUAUUAGUUUUUAAUGUUUGCAAUAAUUCCUUCAAAUUAACGUCCCCCCUUUUGGUCUUUUUCCGUCUUAACUCAACUCAUUUGGUGAUGUGUCAUUAGCUCUAUUGAAUGGUAAAAUUUUAUUUACUUAUAUAAGUCCUUAUGUUCUUAUCCUAUUAGUAUAACCUUUGAGUCUCAAUUAUUAUUGGACUCAAUUUGCCUUCCAAUUAAACUGGAUAAGAGUAAAUUUUGAAAUACAAGUGUGCAACCCAAGAGGAGGGGGGGAGUGAAUUGGGAUUUUAAAAAUUAUUUGAUUCUAAAACAAAUUAUCAUGCAAAUCUAAAAUGAAUUUAAUGGAAUAAAAAUUAAAUCAAUUAUAAUAUAAAAAGAUAAGGGAAGAGAGAUUCAAACACGAAGAUUUUUAUGUGGUUCAGCCAACAUCACCUACGUCUACGCCUCCAAGUUUUCCGGGCUUGAGGAUUUCACUAAGCAAACCUCAAAGGCUUCAAAUGCUUACACUUGACUUCCAAGGUGUCAAUGAACCUUUACAACAAGAGAUUAUCUCCAAUUUCUUAACUUAAGUGUAUUCCAACACUUACAAUCACUCAAAGUAAAAGAUUAAAAAUUAUUUUUCUCUCACACAAUAUUUAAUAUUACAAAUCAAUGCCCAAUGUGUGAAUAAAUGAAGCAAGAAUGUGUUUUAAAGCUCUAUGAAGAUUGUAUUCUCGAAUAUAAGCUCAAUGGUCGUGUUGUGAUCAAUCUUGUUUGAAUUUGAAUGAGCUUAUUUAUAGUUGGAGCUGAAAAACUAGCCGUUAUAGACUGUCUGCUCGUAAACGGUUGCCUUCUCAGCAUUUUGUGUUUUUCGUUUCUGUUAACCAGUUAGAGCUUAAGCAAUUCGUUACUCUCUUGAUUUAAUCGGUUAGCCGUUAAAAAUAAACGGUUCACCGUUUAUUUACAGAAUCAUAGUUUUAGCCAGAUAUUGCAGAGAAUCAUUUUUUAAUUUCAACUUUAACAAUUACCCAACUUUUAUAAAUAUAAUUGAAAUGAUUAUAAGGCUUUCGUUUAUUAAUGAAUAGGUCCAACAUUUUAAUAAAAAAUAUUUAAAGUUUGUUAUCGUCAAAAUCAAUAUUAUUAACAUAUACAUGUUAACAUUCUCCCUCUUUUUAAUGAUGACAAAUUUCAUUCAAUAUUUUGCUCUCCCUUAAUAUAUGCUCCCCCUAAAUGUAUGGCCAAUUGUAAAAAAAUAUCCAAUAAACAGAUUUUUGCUCAAGGAAACGUUUUGAAAAAGAAUUCAUUUCAAAAAGCGUUUUAAAAGUAAAAUGCAUUUUAAAAGUGAAUUUUAUUUUUAUUUCAUUAUCUCCCCCUUUAUCAAUAUACACAAAAUGCAGGAGCAUAACAUGAUCUCUCCACCUUCAUCAUCAAAAAGAAAAGAGGGAAAAGAAAUCUGUAAAGUAUAGAGGUGAGAAAGAAGUUACCCAACUUUGGCGAGCAAAAAAAAAUUGGCAGAGUUUCCCCUUAAAAUGGAACAAAUCCACUAAUACAAAAUGAGAUUAAAAACACUUCCAAAUAUAUUAACAAUAACUUCAUCAUCCAAUAGACCAACAAAUCCAUCAUCUAAUAUCAAAUCAGCCAACAUCAAAUCAUCCAACAUCAAGAACAUCACAAAAACAAUCCAUCAUCAAAAUCAUAGAGAAGUAGCAAUGUAUACCCAAAUAUAAAUAGCAACAAACAAACAAACAAAACAUGAAAUGUAUGUGCAAAGAUGAGACUCAGAAACUAUGAAGGUGGUGAAGAUGUGCUCCCUGGAUCAUAACCGAAAUAACGAAGAAGAGUGCGCUGUCCAGCUAUAAGUUCAAGCUGCUGAUCAAUGCUCUGCUGCUGGAAGGUCUGAAACUCCGAACGAAGCUGCUGAUGGUCGUGGGAGAAGGUGUCCCAUCUAUCGAUAAUCAGCUGCUGCCUCUCCGAAAUCCGGCGAACAUCAUCCGCCAACUGUUGCAAGGAGGCCGAAGCAGGGGGCUGAACUGAAGCAGGAGGCUACUCGGGAGCUGGAAAUGGCUCAAAAACGGAGGGCCUCUUAGGAACAACAGAGGGCUCGGGAGCAGAAGGCUGUGCUGGAGCUGGAGCUUGAGGUGGCAUCGAAGUGGAUGGAAUAUCAGCAUCCAUCUCACGCUCCUCAGAGUCAGAGUCAGCUAGAGGUUGGAGGACAGAACGGCGACGUAGAGGAGGUGGAUGAGCUCCUAAUCGAAAAUCUGGAAGUUGAUAAGAAGGAUAGAUAUCGUUGAGCAUCCGAUCGUCCUCAGGAGCAAUCAAAGUAUCCCGAUUUUUGGAGUUUUUAGUCUUUAUCCACUUGCCAUUCUUCUAGAAAAAUCGAUACUAGUCAUGUCCUCUGGACCAAUCCGUCUAGUCUCCGUAUAACCGGCAUCUAGAAGAGGCACCUCAAAGCGUCGCAGUAUCUUAGUAAUGAUACUGCCAUAUGGAAGCAAGCGGUGGUUAAUCGCGGGAGUACUCAACAUGUGCCUCACAAUAACAUAGCCGAGGUUAACGAGUCGUCCUGAAAUGAGGCUAUCUAAUAAGCCAACGUCUAACCUCGUAACCUUAUUCGAGUGACCCUUCCUAGGUGUCACUAUAUGCUGUAAAAUUGUGUAAAGUAUGCGAACUUGCAGAGGUAAAAGUUGAGAUUUAAAAGGUAAGUGACAAGUCUCAUAACUCAGAUCUUCACGCUGACAAAUAUUACGAACUCCAUCAUUAUGACAAAAACCAUCAAAGGAAAGAGCUUUCUUAGAUGUACAAAUUUUAUGACCAUCACUAGAUAUACCUAGAAAGCCAUUAAGAUCUUCAUCAUCAAAUUCAAUAUGAACACCGCCAACUUGAGUAACUAUCCUAUCUAGGCGAGUUGCAGAGAUUUCUAUGUUCGAAUAGAAAACUCGCACUUAAUUUGGAUAUACUCGUUCAUCAAAAUCAAUGGCGGACUCCCAAGGUUGAAGUAUAUUUCUAACACUUUUACCACACACAAUUAAGGUUCUAAAGUCUUCUAUGUCAACAUAAAACGAAUCAAGUACCUUUCUGCCAUUGAAGCGGUCCUCGAAACGCUUGGCCAAUGAAGGUGUGGGAAAAUAAAUUCUUGCGAAUUCAGAGACUGCCUGUGGUGGUAUGGGAUUCUGUUGAGGCGUAUCUUUCCUCCUUCGAGUUCUCCGAGAUGACUCAGCCAUGGUAAAGAACAUAGAGAAUGAGGGAUUUUGAGAACAGUGACUUUGGACGAAAAAUAACUGCUGUACCGUACAUCCGCCUUGGCCGUACAGCAGAAUUGAAAUGAUUAUAAGGCUUUCGUUUAUUAAAAGAUUUGAAUCGGUAAAAAUGAUAUAAAGAUGAUGUGAAAAGAUGUUUUAGGUGUGAUUUGGCAAGGAAAUCAAGAAAAAUGGAGGUUUGACGAUAGAGAAAGCUUCGGCUGCGCAACAAUGGCUGAAACAAUAAGAGGGCAAAUGAGAAGAGAGAGGAAACCCUUGGAACAGUUUUUAUGUCGCAAGAAAAUGGUUAACCGUUUAUUUAAACAGUUAGAGAGUAACUUUCCAGAGACUAAUGAAUGGGAAACGGUGAAAGGUUAUCCUUUUAACGGUAAAGGAGUAAUUUUCCAGAGAGCUCUCUGCUUUAAACGGUUUAUCGAUUUCGUCAAACAGUAAAAGGGUAAAAGUCAGACAUCAUGAUCUAGUUUCUGGAAUAAAAAUAGUACACCGUUUAUUGGAAACAGUUAUCCGUUUAUUUCAUCUAUAAUUGCGCACAUUUGAUUUAAUUUUUGGCUUACAAAUAAUACAUUCCAAGAUCAUUUAAUUGAUCCAAAAAUGUUUUAUGAGCCAUUUUGAUUCAUGAACAUGUAUUCAAGCAAUUAAUUCAUAUAAACAUUUAAGAAUUAUCAAAAGCAAACAUAUCACUUGAACAUCAUGCUUAAGCAUUUCAUAAAUAUUAAAUGAUCAAAUUAUCACUAAGUCAAUCAAUUCAAUACACUAAAUAACAUUAAUAGAGAAGUUAAUGCAAAAAUUUCAUCUUCCCAAGUUCAUGCCGAAUUUUCAAAAAUUAUUCUUCGCCAAGGGGUUUGGUAAAAAUAUCGACGAGUUAUUUUUCUGUAAAAAUAAAAUCUAAUGCAAUAUCUCCCUUUUGAACAGGAUCUCUUAAGAAAUGAUGUCUUAUUUCUAUAUGCUUGGUUCGAGAGUGUUAAAUGGGAUUUUUUGAAAGAUUUAUAGUACUAGUAUUAUCACACUUAGUAGGAAUUUGUUCUAGGUUAAUACCAUAGUCUCUAAGUGUUUGUUUCAUCCAAAGAGCUUGCGCACAACAACUUCCUGCAGCUAUAUAUUCAGCAUCGGUAGUUGAAAGUGCAACAUAAUUUUGUUUCUUGCUAAACCAUGAAACAAGUGAGUGACCUAGAAUAUAGCAAGUUCCACUAGUGCUUUUCCUAUCAACUUUAUAACCGGCAAAGUCCGCAUCUGAAUAGCAUAUUAAAUCUAUAUGAGUUCCCCUAGGAUACCAAAGGCCGAGAUCUAUAAUUCCACUUAAAUAGCGAAGGAUUCGUUUUACAGCAAGUAAAUGGGAUUCCUUGGGGCAUGAUUGAAAUCUUGCACACAAACAUACACUAAAUAUGAUAUCGGGUCUACUUGCAGUUAAAUAAAGUAAAGAUCUGAUCAUACCUCGAUACAUUUUGAUAUCCACUUCUUUGCCUUUUUCAUCUUUAUCAAGCUUGGUUGUUGUGCUCAUCAGAGUAUUUUUGGUCUUUGAGUCAUCAAUUCUGAAUCUUUUGAGUAGAUCUUUUACAUACUUGGCUUGAUUUAUGAAAAUUCAUUCCUCAUUUUGUUUUAUUUGCAGCCCAAGGAAGUAUUUCAACUCUCCCAUCAUACUUAUUUCAAAUUCAUUACUCAUGCAAGAUGAAAAUUCUUUACACAACAAUUCAUUAGUAUAACCAAAAAUAAUAUCAUCAACAUAAAUUUGAACAACAAAUAUGUCUUUGUUCUUAUGUUUGACAAAGGGAGUAGUAUCCACUUUACCCAUUAAAAAAUUAUUUUCUAACAAGAAAUUCUUAAGCCUAUCAUACCAUGCUCUAGGUGCUUGUUUUAAGCCAUACAAAUCUUUAAAUAACUUAUAAACAUGAUUUAGAAAUUUUUCAUUUUCAAAACCAAGGGAUUGUUUUACAUACACUUCUUUCAUAAUAUAACCAUUUAAGAAAGUACUUUUCGCAUCCAUUUGAAAUAAAAUGAAAUCUUUAUGACAUGCAAAUGCCAAUAACAUUUUAAUUGAUUCUAGUUUAACUACGAGUGCAAAUGUUUCAUCAAAAUCAAUUCUUUCUUCUUGGUUGUAACCUUGAGUCACUAAUCUAGCUUUAUUCCUUACAACCACACCAGAUUCAUCCAUCUUAUUUCUAAAUACCCAUUUAGUACCUAUGACGGAUUGAUGUUCCGGUUUAGGAACUAAUUCCUAUACAUUAUUUUUUUCAAAUUGAUUUAAUUCCUCUUGCAUUGCCAUAAUCCAAGAUUGAUCAUUUUCCGCAUCCGCAAAUGAUUUGGGUUCAAUUUGAGAAAUAAAUGCAUUAUGCUCACAAGUAUUCUUAAUUGAUGAUCUAGUUGUAACACCUCGUGAGGGAUCUCCUAAAAUUACAUCUUUAGAGCGAGAAGAAACAUACCUCCACUAUUUGGGGAGUGAUUAAGAAGUACCUUCAUUUUGCUCUACAUUCAUUUCUUCAUGUUGCUCAUCUUGAUUCCUAUGAGAUGCAUUCUUUUGGUUAUCUUUUGAUGAUUCUUUUUGUAAGUCUUCAUCUACAUCAUUAUCAACAACAACUUUCUCCGUAGAGGAAGGGUUAGAUUCAUCAAAUGUAACAUGCAUCGAUUCUUCUACAACUAGAGUUCUUUUGUUAUAAACUCUAUAAGUUUUGCUUGAGUUUGAAUAUCCAAGAAAAAUACCCACAUCGGAUUUUAGAUCAAAUUUGCCAAGAUUAUCUUUUGUGUUCAAAAUAAAACAUUUGCAUCCAAAAGCUUUGAAAUAACCACUAUUGGGUUUUCUAUUUUUUCAAAGCUCAUAUGGCGUUUUGUUAAGGUUAGGUUUAAUCAACACACGAUUUAAAACAUAACAAGCAGUGUUAACGGCCUUGGCCCAAAAAUACUUAGGCAAUGAAUUUUCAUUCAAUAUAGUCCUAGCCAUUUCUUGAAUAGAUCUAUUCUUUCUCUCAACAACUCCAUUUUGUUGUGGAGUUCUAGGUGAUGAAAAUUGAUGCUCAAUACCAAAAUCAUUACAAAAAAUCUCAAAUGCAUGAUUUUUAAACUCUCCUCAAUGAUCACUCCUAAUGCAUGCAAUACCAUACCAUUUUGAAUUUUGAAUUUUGAAUUUUCUUACAAAGCACUUUAAAGGCAUCAAUAGCAUCAUCCUUAUUAGCUAAGAAUAAUACCCAUGUAUAUCUAGAAUAAUCAUCCACUAUCACAAAUGCAUAAGAUUUGCUAUUUAGACUAGCAUAUCUAGAGGGCCCAAAUAAAUCUAUGUGAAGAAGUUGAAGUGGUUUUGAGUAGAAAUAUGAUUUUUAUUUUUGAAAGAUGUUUUGAUUUGUUUUCCAAAUUGACAAGCUUCACAAAUCUUCGCUUUUUGAAAACCAAUUUUUGGAAGACCUUUAACUAAAUCAUUUUUCGAAAUUUUUGAAAUCAAAUCCAUAUUUGCAUGUCCUAACCUUCUAUUCCAUAACCAACUAUCAUCAUGCAAUGCCGAAAAGCAUUUAUCAAGAGUAGAUGCACAUUCUAUGUCAAUGAUAUAAACAUUACCAUAUCUAUUCCCAAUAAAUAAGAUCUUGUCAUCACAUAAAUUCUCAAUAACACAACUAAAUUUAUCAAAGAUAACUUUAUAACCUUCGUCACAUAAUUGACUAAUACUAAUUAAGUUGUGUUUCAAGUUCUCAACCAAACAUACAUUCUCAAUUAGAGUUGAGGAAACUUUACCAACAUUUCCAAUUCGAAGACUUUUUCCUUUUGAGUUGUCUCUAAAAGAUACGUCUCUAUCAUUUUUAAUUUUGGUGAAGCUUGAGAACCAUGCAUAGUUUCUGGUCAUGUGCCUUGAACAACCACUGUCCAAGUACCAUUUAUUUUUCUUCUUCUUCAAGCCCUACAAGGAAAAUCUCAAGUUUUAGGUAUCCAAAGCUUUUUGGGUCCUUGAGAGUUAGUAGUGAUUCCUUUUGGAACCCAAAUGCAUUUCAUACUAUAACAUACAUUUCUUUUUACUGGACAUCUAUUUUUUAUAUGACCAUCUUAAUUACAAAAAUGACAUACAAUUUGUUUGUUACUAGAUAUACUCUUCACAAAGUAGUUUUUAUAAUAUUUUUGUUUCAAGUUUGGCUUAUAACCAAUACCUCCUUUGUCAAACACACAUUUUUGUGAAUUAAGCAUGUUAUCCAACAUCUUUUGCCCAUUUGUAAAUUUCAAAACAAUCUCAUUCAACUCAUUGCUAUUUUUCUUAAGCAUUUCAUUUUCAUUUUUCAAAUCAUCUAUGUGUGAUUCUAAAUGCUGAUGCUAGGUUUCUCAUUUGAUAAAUGCAAUUUCAUCAUGCAAUGUUUUGUUCUCUACUUCUAGGCAUAUAAUUCUUGCAUUUAGAGAUUCAUUUUCAUUUUUAAGCUUUGUCAUUUCCUUUUUAAGACAUACAUUCUUUUUACCAAUUUUCAUCAACUCAUUAUGCAAUUCUUUAAAAGCAUCAUACAAUUCAUCAUAGGUGGGAUCACUUACCUCAUUGAGAUCAUCACCAUCUCCUAUUGCCAUAAGCACUAGGUUUGAUAUUUCUUGUGACCCUUCUUCAUCACUUGAAUCUUCCUCGCUAUCAUCCCAAGUUGCAACCAUGGCUUUCUUCUUAAGUUUGUUGAUAAGUGGGCACUCCGAUCUUAUAUGGCUAGGCUUCUUGCAUUCAUUGCAUGUGAUUACCUCUUUCUUCUCCCUUUGGUUCUUGAAGUUUCUGAAUUUUCUUUGCUCUCCGGUUUUCUUGAAGAAUUUUCUGAACCUCCUUGCUAGCAUGGCCAACUCUUUAUCAUCCGGUUCACUCUCCCCAUCACUCUCAUAUUUUGAAGCUUUGAGAGCAAUGCUUUUCUUCUUCUCCUCAUGCCCUUUUUCUGUUGCCAAAUCUUCUUUAUAUGAAAUUAGAGAACCAAUUAAAUCAUCAAGAGGUAAAGUAUUUAAAUCUUUGGCCUCUUCAAUAGCAGUUCUUUUAGGUCUCCAUUCUUUUAGAAGUGACCUAAUAAUUUUCUUAACUUUCUCACUAUUUGAGAAGGUCUUCCCCAAGGCACCUAGAGUGUUCACUAUGUCCGUGAAUCUAGUAUACAUAGAAUACACAUUUGUUAUCCAACAUCUUUUGCCCAUUUGUAAAUUUCAAAACAAUCUCAUUCAACUCAUUGCUAUUUUUCUUAAGCAUUUCAUUUUCAUUUUUCAAAUCAUCUAUGUGUGAUUCUAAAUGCUGAUGCUAGGUUUCUCAUUUGAUAAAUGCAAUUUCAUCAUGCAAUGUUUUGUUCUCUACUUCUAGGCAUAUAAUUCUUGCAUUUAGAGAUUCAUUUUCAUUUUUAAGCUUUGUCAUUUCCUUUUUAAGACAUACAUUCUUUUUACCAAUUUUCAUCAACUCAUUAUGCAAUUCUUUAAAAGCAUCAUACAAUUCAUCAUAGGUGGGAUCACUUACCUCAUUGAGAUCAUCACCAUCUCCUAUUGCCAUAAGCACUAGGUUUGAUAUUUCUUGUGACCCUUCUUCAUCACUUGAAUCUUCCUCGCUAUCAUCCCAAGUUGCAACCAUGGCUUUCUUCUUAAGUUUGUUGAUAAGUGGGCACUCCGAUCUUAUAUGGCUAGGCUUCUUGCAUUCAUUGCAUGUGAUUACCUCUUUCUUCUCCCUUUGGUUCUUGAAGUUUCUGAAUUUUCUUUGCUCUCCGGUUUUCUUGAAGAAUUUUCUGAACCUCCUUGCUAGCAUGGCCAACUCUUUAUCAUCCGGUUCACUCUCCCCAUCACUCUCAUAUUUUGAAGCUUUGAGAGCAAUGCUUUUCUUCUUCUCCUCAUGCCCUUUUUCUGUUGCCAAAUCUUCUUUAUAUGAAAUUAGAGAACCAAUUAAAUCAUCAAGAGGUAAAGUAUUUAAAUCUUUGGCCUCUUCAAUAGCAGUUCUUUUAGGUCUCCAUUCUUUUAGAAGUGACCUAAUGAUUUUUUUUAACUUUCUCGUUAUUUGAAAAGGUCUUUCCUAGGGCUCCUAGGGUGUUUACUAUGUCCGUAAAUCUCGUAUACAUAGAGUACACACUCUCAUUUUAUUCCAUUUGGAACAACUGAUAUUGUCGAGUGUACCUACUAAUUUUCGACUUUUUCACUUGAUUUGUGCCUUCAUAGACUACUUCAAGUUUGUGCCAAAUUUCAUUGGCACUUUAACAACUAGAUACUCGAUGAAAUUCUUUCUUAUCAAGUGCACAAAAUAAAGCAUUCAUAGCUUUGGAAUUUAGAGAAGCUUUUCUCUUUUCCAAUUCAUUCCAUUCUCUUGAAGGUUUUGGAAUAUCUUUCCCUACUUCAUUUUUAGCUAGGGGCAAAAACGAACCAUCACAUACAACUUCCCAAAUUUCAUAAUCUAGUGCUUGUAAAUAAAUUCUUAUCCUAGUUUUUCAAUAUGGGUAGUCAUUUCAGUCAAAGAACGGUAGUCUAGUUGUGGACUGUCUUUCCCUAAAGGUUGAGUCAUUUUGGGUUGCCAUGGAUAUUUUACUCUAGAUGGUUAAGUCCUAACAAGAGAACCAAGCUCCGAUACCAAAUAAAAUAUAAGUGUGUAACCCAAGAGAGGGGGUGAAUUGGGAUUCUAAAAAUUAUUUGAUUCUAUAACAAAUUAUCAUGCAAAUCUAAAAUGAAUUUAAUGGAAUAACAAUUAAAUCAAUUACAGUAUAAAAAGAUAAAGGAAGAGAGAUUUAAACACGAAGAUUUUUACGUGGAUCGGCCAACCUCACCUACGUCUACGCCUUCAAGCUUUCCGGACUUGAGGAUUUCACUAAGCAAACCUCCAAGGCUUCAAAUGCUUACACUUGACUUUCAAGGUGUCAAUGAACCUUUACAAUAAGAGAUUAUCCCCAAUCUCUUAACCCAAGUGUAUCCCGACACUUACAAUCACUCAAACUAAAAGAUUAAAAAUAAUUUUUCUCUCACACAAUAUUUAAGAUUACAAAUCAAUGCCCAAUGUGUGAAUAAAUGAAGUAAGAAUGUGUUUUAAAGCUCUAUGAAGAUUGUAUUCUCGAAUAUAAGCUCAAUGGUCGUGUUGUGAUCAACCUUGUUUGAAUUUAAAUGAGCUUAUUUAUAGUUGGAGCUGAAAAACUAGCCGUUAUAGACUGUCUGCUCGCAAACAGUUCGCUGUUAACCAUUAACGGUUAACCGUUUAGGCUGGUCAAAGUUACCGUUGGGCCAAUUUUCUAAUAAACGGUUUGCUGUUUAGGAUUAUCCUUUCGCCGUUAAAUUCCAGAGACCUGCAAGAUAAACUUCACUAAAAGAUUAAAAAUAAUUUUUCUCUCACACAAUAUUUAAGAUUACAAAUCAAUGCCCAAUGUGUGAAUAAAUGAAGUAAGAAUGUGUUUUAAAGCUCUAUGAAGAUUGUAUUCUCGAAUAUAAGCUCAAUGGUCGUGUUGUGAUCAACCUUGUUUGAAUUUAAAUGAGCUUAUUUAUAGUUGGAGCUGAAAAACUAGCCGUUAUAGACUGUCUGCUCGCAAACAGUUCGCUGUUAACCAUUAACGGUUAACCGUUUAGGCUGGUCAAAGUUACCGUUGGGCCAAUUUUCUAAUAAACGGUUUGCUGUUUAGGAUUAUCCUUUCGCCGUUAAAUUCCAGAGACCUGCAAGAUAAACUUCAGCUAUCCGUUUGCAUUAAAAGGUUAAAGAUUUGCCCGAAAUAACCUCUCUAGAAUUUAUCGGUUAACCGUUUGUAAUAAACGGUUCGCCGUUUGUUUCCAGUAACCUAUAGAACAAGUUAGCCUUAUCCGUUUCAGUUAAACUUUUACCGUUUGUUUUCAGUAACAAGAUGAACACAGUUUUCCAUUCUGGAUUUUAAUCAGUUAACCGUUUCAAUAAACAGUUCACAGUUUAAUUCCAGUUGGCUUCUCAGCAUUUUGUGUUUUCCGUUUUUGUUAACCGGUUAGAGCUUAAGCAAUUCGUUACUCUCUGGAUUUAAUCAGUUAACCGUUAAAAAUAAACGGUUCACCGUUUAUUUCCAGAAUCAUAGUUUUAGCCAGAUAUUACAGAGAAUCAUUUUCCAAUUUCAAGUUUAACAGUUAUCCAACUUUUAUAAAUAUAAUUGAAAUGAUUAUAAGGCUUUCGUUUAUUCAUGAAUAGCUCCAACACUUUAAUCAAAAACAUUUAAAGUUUGUUAUCAUCAAAAUCAAUAUUAUGAACAUAUACAUGUUAACAAAUUUCUUCUCCAUUAAUAUGAGUAGAGCAAAUAUCACUAUGAUAUUAUGUGAGGGUAGAUAUUCAGACUGUGCCAUAUUAGAUGUAUUAAAAAUAAUUCCGAUAAAUUUUUUAUUGUAAAUAUUAAUAAAAUUCUGAUGGCAAUAUAUUAACCUAUUUAAAACUUAUUAAAAAAGCCAAAAUAUAAAUAUAUACCACCCUUAAACACGCAUCAUGAAUUUUCUUUACUCAUGUCUAAUUGAUGAUUUAUCAUGACGCACUAUACAAAUAGAUAAAUUUUUUCAAUUUUUUUUUGAAAAAGCAAUCAAGAUUUUAUUCCAUCAACAUAAGAAAGUACAAACAACUUGAAAUAUUAAAUUUGAUUUUGAUUUCCUCUCACCAAUUCAAUCUAAUUAUUGACAACAAAAUAGACCGGUCUGGAUAUCAAAUUUGAUGUUCAUUAAAGCAUCAGUGAUUAAUGUACAAUUAAAAUAAUGAUUGAUUAUUAGCAAAGAUUGAGUAAAUUAAUUAACGUUUAUGUUAAAUGAAAACCAAUCAUUUUAUUGAUAAACAAAGAUGGUGACUUACUACAAUCCCAUAAUCCAAAUCACAAGCAAGAAAUCCAAAUCACAAGCAAGAAAAAGCUCAAGCCAAUUAAACAAGUGAUAAUAGCAAGGCCUAAAGAAGGUACUAACAUUGCAUACGUUCCCGUAACGAAUGCAAUCACCAUUGCUCCCAUGGCAAAUACGGUGAACCAAAUGGAAGCGUGGAGCAGACCCUGAUUGAAAUCUUUAGUUUUUUCAAUUUUAGGAGCCAUCAAGAAGUGAGUAAAGACGGCAGAAAGAGAAAAGACCAUGGCAAUGGAAUCUGCUACUAUAAAUGCUUGAAAAGCUUUAUUUCUCCUUAGGAUUGCAGUUCCAUUUUCGCUUCUGUAACCGCCAGGAAUGGUGAAAGCUGCUUCGAAGGAUACCGUUGCUAUGAGUGCAGCCACUACCAAAUGUGAUGCUCUCGUAUCCUUGUAAUCUUCUUUAGUAACAUACUUUCGUACUUUUCUUAUGCGUAUAACACCUUUUGAAUAUUGUCCUCUGCCAACAUCUUUGGAUAAUUUUUGGAUUUCUUCCUGUAAUUAAUUUACAUUUGAAUAUUAAUUAAUUGCGUAAAAAAAUAAAAUUUAAUAAUUUAGUUGAAGGAACAAAUUAAAUAAUUACCUUGAGCUCAGUAUAGCCAUAAUUAAAAACGUGUCUGACACUAACAUUUUGUUUGUUGACAGCGUCAUAGUUGGCUUGAGUACUCCUAUUCAUAACAUCAUGGAAUUCUUUUGGUCGGACUGCAGCAAGCACAUGGAGAGGAGUGUUUCCCUCGGCAUCCCCCUCAUCUAUAAGACUCCUCGCUAACGGAUUAUUUUCAAGAAGAUUUCUUAGUUGUCCAACAUGAAAACUAACCAUAGCAUAAUGGAGAAAAUUACAUCCCCUGUUAUCGACCAGCUCGUAACAUUUUGGAUUUCCAGAAAUAAUUCGCUCAACCGUUCGGGCAUCCCCUUUGCCCGCUGCCAAAUGAAGAGCUGUCAUCUUUCGAUCUUUGUCAGCAAUGUUCGAAGCGGAUUGAUCAGUUUCUAAUAACAAAUUUAUCGUCCUGUAAUUUCCAUGAUAUGCAACGUAAUGAAUUGGAGUCCACCCAUAUUGAUCUGUUUCUUUGAUCAGAUUCUUCUUUUUCUCAAGUAAUUUCGGUAAUGCAGUAUCAACUGAGAAUACAGAAGAUAAAUCAAAUAAUAAUGAAAUUUUUAAUAAAAGUAAAUAUUCAGAAAGGGCAUAAAUUUGGGGGGCUAUUUAUGUUGGAGAUAUGAGGAAAAAAAUAGAUUUUUUUUUUUUUUUUUUAAUUCCAAACCAGCCAGAGGUCUAGAACAACACCAACACCAAUCACACAAUGAGUGAUGAAUAAUGGCUUCAGAUCGGUAACUUUGUUAUUUAGCAAAAUAAAAACUUGCAAUCAUUUCCCUGAGUUUGCAUCUAGAAAUCACAAUUUUUGCAAAAUUCACUAAGACACGUUUGAAGCACUAUUCUAAAGACCAAUUUGGUAAAUCUAAUUAUCCUAAAAACCAACUUUCCCUAUCUUAGUUAUCCAAAAGACCAAUUUUCACUAUAUUUACAGUUCUAAAGAUUAAUUUUUUAGGAGCAUUUCACAGUAAAAAAAUUAAUUCCUUCAUAACAGCACUUAAUUUCUUCAUAAAUUAAGAGUAUUUUUGUCAGUAAUAAAAAAAUUAAUUCUCCUAAGAAUAUUUAGUCAUUAACUGGAUUAAGUGAAUUAAGUAAAUUAAGUGGGAGAGAGAACGUGGCGAUCGGCUCAGAGGAGAGAGGAAACAGGUCGGGUCAACCCGUUCACGAAACCUGAAUCGGUGCUUCCGAUUCUGGCCACAUCUCCGGCGAUGGAGGGUAUCAACCGAACUCCCAGACGACGCGGUCAUUCCCCUAUCAUCAUUGUUGCUGGAAAACAGCCUAUGACCAGUCCACAAGCCCGUGUUAAGUCAUGGAGGACGAAAACUCAAAUCGGCGAGUUUUUACCUGAUUUCGAUCAUGUCGUCACCUGGGAUUUGUCGUUUAUGGCAGUCACUUCAAUUUCUGACCAUCAAACAGUGGCCGAUUUGUCGCCGAUCAGCCGUUGAAGUUUCACGGCUGUCGAAACUCGAUCGGGCACCAUGGCUACGCGUCGGAGCACACCGCUGCCACCUUUGGAUUCAGAGCGAGCUGAAGUUCCUGUUUUGACUUAUUUGAUCAUCGCCGCUCGAAUUCCGGUCAUCAUUGACCAGCGAGGGCAUUUUGGUAAUUUAGAAUUUUCAAGGGUAAUUUGGUAAUUUAAAAUUUUGGGAUAUUUUAUUAACUCAUGAAUGAGGAUAUGAUGAUAUCUCAUGAGCGUUUUAUUAUUGGUUUUAGACCGAUGGUGUAAUACACUUUUGUUACUUAAUCACGAUAAAAAAUAUGUAUCUAUUUUACGUGUUUCAAAAGUUUAUUUUGAUAUGUACGGGGUAUGGAUUUAUAUGGUCUGUCCAUGUAUUUAUGCAAUGUGUUGUUAUGUGUCAAAUAUGAUUUAUACACAUAUAUAUGUAUGUGUAAAAAUUUAUUGGCAUUAACAUGAAUAUGCAUUAUGUUUUUCGGAAAAUAAGAAAGUGGAUUCGAGCAAAUUGAUUUUGAAGAAAGAAAGAAAGUUUUUCGAUUUUGCUUAGUUUCUUGAAUUCUUUACUCGCUUAGUGGACACUGUAGAUAUAAUAUUUAAGAGAUAAGUGGGUGAAGGAAGUUUACAUGAAAACCAAAGUUAUAAAUGUUAAGUGAGAGUCUUAUUGAAUAGUAAUUGAAUGAAGGUAAUUGAAGUAAGUGAUUUAAAAGGAAAUGUGAAGUUUGAUCAUGGCAAAAGAAAUUUUAAAGAAUUUGUUUUAUAAUAUUUUUAAAAGACUGGCAUGUUAUCCAUUUGCAUUAUAUAUAAACAAGUAUGUAUUUUCAUAUAUGAAAAAUAAAUUUGCUUAUUGAGAUCAUUAUAAUUUAUUGUGAUUUUCAGAAAUUAUGAUUGAUUCAUGAUGAGUGAGGAGAAAAACCGGAAUUGAGAAUAGUAGUUAAAUAAUUCUCUUUGAGGGUAUAAUUAGAUUUAGUUAAUAAUUCACUAAAUUUAAUAAUUCGCUAAUUUAAUAACUCACUAAAUCUAAUAAUUCACUGAAAGGGUAUCAUUAAACUUACCGGCAAAAGAUCUCAUUGCUGCAGCAUGUAAAGCCGUCUUUCCGUUGGGGCCUUCAUGAGAUACUGAUGUGCUGUUUUCUAACAGGGCAAGCACCAUAUCAAAGGACGCUGAUGUGCGGUUUUCCAAAAGGCCACGCAACAUAUCAGAACGGUUCUCAUACUCAGCAGCCAUGUAGAGUGGCGUUUUGCCGUAAUUAUUUGCAGAAUAUGGAUAACCAGGGUCUUCUCUUGUCAGUAUUUUCACCACGUCCACGUUGCCUUGAGACACUGCCUCGUGGAGUGCUGUAUUCUUCUCGUUAUUCACCAUCCUAAUCAUUUGCCUGAAAGGUUCAACCCCGCUCUCUGGCUCUUCAUCUCCACGUUGAGCUAAUUUUGCUCUUUCAAUAAGAACUCUCACUAUCUCAAAAUGGCCGAAUUUUGCUGCAAGGUGAAGUGGAGUAUCGCCUUUGGCAUUAACUUGUAGUAGCAGUGCUGGGCAUUUCUCAAGUAUUUCUUCUACGAACUUCGUUGACACAUUUUCUCUUUCUGAUGAUAUGAUGUUGAUAUGCAGGAUUGUGUUUUUGGCCUUUGCUGUUAACAAUCUCUCAAUUACAUCUCUUUCCAUGUCUUUGAACGGUUCUGAAUUGCCCGCAGAUGCAGCUUUGAAAAAAUUUAGGUCCAUUUGCUGCUUAAUUUCACCAUUGCUGUCCAAUAAUGGAGCUUCCUCAAUCUCAAUGGAAACAGGAUUCAUGUUGGCGAAGUUGAUCUAUUAGAUAACGGUACCCAGUAUCUCGGAGGUACUCAUAGAUCUUCUUCUAACCUGACAUGUAUGUAUAUAUGACUUGAAAAGUGUAGUAUUUUUCACACUUCUUAAAUUCUUGCUUUUUUGACAAGGUAAGUAUCGACAUUAAUUCUUACUCUUUUGACAAACCAAGAAUUAACAUUUUUAACCUUGAUUUCUUCCUCAUGCUCUUUUAGUUAAAUAAAUAAAUAAAUUGAGAUUAGUCAUUCUCGUUGGCAAACUAAUCAAUUUCUCAAUUGUGUGCUUGUAUGUGUAAUUAAUAAUUAAUUAAACUGUGGCGCAAUAUUUUUAAGAACCCAGACAAAAAUAUAUAUAUACCAAUUAAUUAUUAAAGUUGACCAUGGUUUCUUCUAUUGUUUUGUCCUUAACAUUGCAAAAGUCUGCAUAGCCAUAUCCUCAAUCUUUAAAUACUGCAGCCUUCCUUAUCACAUUUCGAUCGGAUUCCAUAUACAGUUCUGCUCUUUUUGUUUGUUGGGUAAAGAAAGUGACUCUCAAAUGACUGCAAACAAUAAAAUAAUAGGGGAAUACUCUAUGAGUACUUCAUUAAUUCUACAAAAGAAAAGUGAUUCAAUGUUGCCUCUUAGCCUUCUUGUUACUUAUUAAAUCACUUCUUAAAAUGAUACUACAUGGAAUGUGUCAUUCAUGUAUUAAUUAUCGACAUUUAUAUGUUUUAUUUGACAGAAAAAUAUCUAAGAGUAUGGUUGGUGCAUUGUAUUACGGGAUAUUAAAAUACUAUUUACAUUAAAUUAAUGAUAAGACUAUGUUUGAAAAAACGAGAAUGGGUUAAAGGGCUGUGCAUUAGCUUACUUUUUUUUUUUGUUGCUUUUGCUUUUGCUUUUGCUUUUGACUUUUCUUUUAACUUUUGCUUUUACUUUAUAAUAAUAAUAAUAAUAAUAAUAAUAAUAAUAACUACUUUUUAAUUUAAUACAAUAUCAUCUAAUUUUUAUUUUUAUUUUUAUUUUUACAUUAUAAUUAUUAAUAUAAAUUAAUAAAUAUAUAAUUUAUUAUAACUAAUAAUAAAUAUGAAUAAUAUUAAUUUAAAAUUAAUAAUAAUAUAAAAUAUUAAAACAAUUUAAAUAUAUUAAUAUAAUAUAAAAUAUUAGUAUAAUGUAAUAUUUAAUUUAAAUUAAUCACAAAACAAAUCGAUACAGUGCAGUAUGACACCAAACAUUGUACAACAUUAAUCAAUACAGUACAGUAUAACACCAAAUAUUAUACAAUAUUUUUAUAAUACGGUACUAAUACAAUACAACAUAAUACAAUACAUUAGUAUUAAAAUAAUAAAAUACAACAUAAUACAAUAUAAUGUACUAAACGCACCCUAAGUGAUUUAUUAAUUAAUUAACUAUUAUUUAUGUAUAUGGAGAUUCUUUACCUUUUUUUUAAUCAAUUAACUAUUAUUUAUGUAUAUGGAGAUUCUUUACCUUAGUUUAACAUAUGUCGUUAUUCUUCCACGAACCUUUAAUUGAUUUACACGAGUAUCACAAUGGUUCCACUGGAACAAUCUUAUUAUGCAGUUCCCAUUCGACAACUUCAAAGUGUUACAAUUGUUUAGUUUAUACAAAAUGUAUUUACACACUCAGUCUCAAGUCCACUAAGGCCGCGAGUUCAAAGUUACAUCUCUUCCUAUACCCUUGAAAGGUUCAGUAUUUUAACAUUGAAAUCAUGGUCCAUUUGUUAGAAAUAUGAGUCAAUAUAGUUUCAUUAAAAGCCUAAAUCAGCCAGAACAGCUGUACACAAUGGCGUUGAACAAUCACUUGAAUACAGUAACUUUAUUAUCUAAAUGCUACACUUUUAUGUGGAGGAGAAUAGAGUUUUUGUGCAUCUAUCUGUUGACUUUUUGCACACGACAUGUUUUUUAGUUAACGUUUGUUUACUCUUUUAAUUGGCAAGAGAAAUGUUAAAUCAAUCAUGGGGUGACAGACCGCUGAGAAAAACAAAGGCAAAACGAUGAAGUUUUUUCAAUGGGGAAAAAAUUACUAACUCAAUCCCUAGGGUCGAGUAUUAACUAGCUCCACUCGCCCGACAACGGACAAAAUACAACCCUUGAAAAUUGGAACUCCAGGAUAAACAAAAGGAAAAGAGCCUUCGGAGAAGCCUAAGAAAUCACUGACAGUAUUUUUUCGAGAAGCAGCUGCCUUGACCUGAAAAAAAAUGUUAAAUCUUCUUUUUCUCUAAGUUAAUUUUUUGGGAAAAAGACAAACACACCCCCAACGUUUAGACAAAGGGACAAAAACUCCCUUGACGUUUUGAAAAAGAUAUUUACACCCUCAUUUACUGACAGAAACAAUAACUUUUAAUGGAAAUAGUAAUUUUAAUAUAUAAUUACCGUUAUACCCUUCUAACACAUAAAAAAAUAAUUGUUAAUUGUCCAAUUUAUCCAUAUAUUAUUAAUAAAAUUAUAAAUAUACCCCCAUUGCCCAAUUCCUCUAUUUAAAUUUUUAUCAAAUUCUCUCUUUAAACCAAAUAAAUUUAAUCCAUUACUCAAGAAUAAAAAUAAAUAAAAUUAGUUAUUAAUGCCAUAAGAAUAACAAUUCUCUAGGCCAUCCUAGGUUGAAAUCAUAAUCUGAUAAUUUGGGAUAAAAUUUAUACUAAUAAACAUUUUUUUUUUUAAUUAGCUAGUGACAAGUUGAAAUUUUUUUUUAUUUUAAUUUUAAGUUGGUGUAUACUAAAGAAAUCUUAAAACAAAAAAAUGAAAUAUUAUCAAUAUGGCUUUAGCCUAAGAAUAUUUAAAAAAUUCUACUAUCCUCGAUUCCCAUCCAAGAAAACGAAGAAUCCACGGAAUGCAUUUAACAAUGAAAUUUUUAUAUUUAAUUUCUUCCAAAAUUGCAAAUUUAUUCAUUACUAACUCUCUUUUUUAAUUAAGAUUUGCUUAAAUUCAUAUAAAUUUCAAGACAUAAAGAUUGCCUUUAAGGAGGCUAACCAAAAAAAAAAAAAAGCGGUAAGUAAGAAACCGUUUAUGAAUAAUAUCUUUAUUUUAUGAAAAAAAAAACAAUUUUCUUUUUAGAAAGACCAGCUCAGCCUGAACAACAACACCCAUCAAAAACCUCAACGGUGAUGAACAAUAGCUUGACAAUAGAAUUCUUUGUUAUUUAAAAAAAAAAGUUACAAUCAUAACCUUGUGGCUGCAGCCGGAAAACCAAAUAGUUGCUUCCUACAACGAAGAAUUUGUUAUCGGACCAACAAAUACGAACUCAGAGAAAAAUCCUCAAGGCGGGUGCAAAGCAUUGUCCUAAAGGGUAAUUUUCACUAUACUACAACAUCGGACGCUGUCAUAUCUUUGUAAUCAUAUUUAGGAUCGUCAAGAUAAUCUUUUGACCAGGCAGGGUUAGAUUAUGAAUUUAUCGUAUUUAUCUGUGUGAACAUAACAAAAAAAAAAAAACAAUUCAAAAGACAUUGCAACAUCAAGAAACUUGCUCAAAAGAAAGUUGGUAAAAAGACAAAUUACUAUUUUAAUAUUGAAUUUUAAAGGGUCCAAACCAGAAUAACUUAACUAUAAAUAUAUUUAAGUUAUUUUAAUAAAGAUUGAUUUAAGGACACGAAAGAAAAAGAUUUAAAAAUAAAAAUACCAUAAAAUUUAAGGGAUAUUGAAUUAUUUUUUGGGCUAACCCGGUCGAGCCACUACUCCACGUGCCAUUGCAUUUGGAUCUGGUCUUAGCAAUUUAGCACUGUCGUCAUGAAUAUAGCACCAUCUUGAUAUUGUCCUCCGCCAACAUCUUUGGAAAAUUCUUCCUCCUGUAAAUUGAGUGUGAAUAUGAAUUAAUUGCAUAAACUAAAAAAAAAAAUAAUAAUAAAGUAAUGAAAAAGAAAGCUGGAUUUAUAAGUUGAAAGAAUUAACAAAUUAAUUACCUUGAGCUCAGGAUAGGAUAGCCAUAUUUCAAAAUGUGUCUAACACUAACAUUUUGCCUAUUGACAGUGUGAUAGUUAGUUCGAGUCUUCCUAAUCAUAUAGAGUUCUCCUUGGCAUCCCCCUCAUUUAUAAGACUCCUCGCUAACGGAUAUUUUAGUUGAGUUUUUAAAUCAUUAAAAAAAAAAUGACUAUUCCAUAAUGAAAAAAGUUCCAUCCCCUGUUAUCGACCAGUUCAUAACAUUCUGGUGUAAGGGAAAGAAUUCUUUCAACUGUUCUGGCAUGCCCUCGGCCCUUUGCCGAAUGAAGAGAUGAAGUUUUUUCAAUGGGGAAAAAAUUACUAACUCAAUCCCUAGGGUCGAGUAUUAACUAGCUCCACUCGCCCGACAACGGACAAAAUACAACCCUUGAAAAUUGGAACUCCAGGAUAAACAAAAGGAAAAGAGCCUUCGGAGAAGCCUAAGAAAUCACUGACAGUAUUUUUUCGAGAAGCAGCUGCCUUGACCUGAAAAAAAAUGUUAAAUCUUCUUUUUCUCUAAGUUAAUUUUUUGGGAAAAAGACAAACACACCCCCAACGUUUAGACAAAGGGACAAAAACUCCCUUGACGUUUUGAAAAAGAUAUUUACACCCUCAUUUACUGACAGAAACAAUAACUUUUAAUGGAAAUAGUAAUUUUAAUAUAUAAUUACCGUUAUACCCUUCUAACACAUAAAAAAAUAAUUGUUAAUUGUCCAAUUUAUCCAUAUAUUAUUAAUAAAAUUAUAAAUAUACCCCCAUUGCCCAAUUCCUCUAUUUAAAUUUUUAUCAAAUUCUCUCUUUAAACCAAAUAAAUUUAAUCCAUUACUCAAGAAUAAAAAUAAAUAAAAUUAGUUAUUAAUGCCAUAAGAAUAACAAUUCUCUAAUCUUAUCUUAAUUGUAUUAAAUAACAUAUCCUAUAGACAUAAAAAUUGAUAAAAUAAAUAAAAUUAGUUAUUAAUGCCAUAAGAAUAACAAUUCUCUACAUGUCAAUCAUUUAAACUUGUAUAAUCAACAAAAUAAAAAAAAAGGCUGGUUACAACAAUAAUUACAAAAAUCUUAUCUUAAUUGUAUUAAGUAACAUAUCCAAUAGACAUAAAAAUUGAUAAUAGAUUAAAUUUAUUUUGCUUGAAGAGAUAAUUUGAUAAAAAUUUAAAGAGAGGAAUUAGGUAAUGAAGGUAUAUUUGUAAUUUUAUUAAUAAUAUAUAAACAAAUUGGACAAUUAAUAAUUUUUUUUAUGUGCUAGAAGGGUAUAAUGGUAAUUAUAUAUUAAAAUUACUAUUUCUAUUAAAAGUAACUAUUUCCGUUAGUGAAUGAGGGUGUAAAUAUCUUUUACGAAAUGUUGGGGAAUUUUUAUCCUUUUACCUAAACAUUGAGGGUGUGUUAGUCAUUUUCUCUAAUUUUUUUAAUGUAUCAACUGAUACAAAAAAAAUAAGUCUCACAAUUAUGAAGCGUAUUCAUAUUAAUAAAUAUACAGAAAGGCACAAAUUUGUUGGGCCAUUUACGUUGGAAAUUUGAGACAAAAUAACUUUUUUGAAAGACCAGCUCAGCCUGAACAACAACACCCAUCAAAAGCCUCAACGGUGAUGAACAAUAGCUUGACAACAAUAUUCUUUCUCAUUUAAAAAAAAAAGUUACAAUCAUAACCUUGUGGCUGCAGCUUAGAUCUCGAUUUAUCAGAAUCACUCUCUAUGUUAAUGACACAUGAGGGAAUGUUAGAACAACAAGCUUUAGCUGAACUAUGGAUGCAAAUCUGGCGUUUGCUGCAAAUUUUGUUCAGUAAGGGAACAAUAAUAAGAAAGGUUUUGGAACAUACAACUCAAGAUCUGGUUUCAAUCAAGAUGCAUCAAGAUCUGAAAAUUCUGGAUACAUGAUGCAAGGAAAUUUUAGAGGGAAUCAAGGUGGAAAUUUCUAUCGAGGAAGGAAAGGUGGAAGAGGAAAUAACAUGCAUGGAGGAAGAUCUUGGAAUCAAGGUGAGAGAACUCAAAUGCCUGGUCAUGUGCCUGGUCAUUUUUCACAGCCAUAUCAACCUAGAUGCCAAGUGUGCUUCAUCAUAGGACACACUGCUGCUACCUGCAAGGAUAGGUUCAACAAGGAUUUCAUUCCAGUCAUAAGGUAUCCACAUCAGAAUCAAGUUUUCAAUCAAGGCUACGGUCAAAGAAAUAUGUCAGCUUAUAUGGCAACACCAGAAGCAGUAAUGGAUGAUGACUAGUACCUGGAUAGUGGAGCAACUCACCACCUAAUCAAUGAUCUCAAUAAUCUCAGCAUCAGUGAGCCUUAUGAAGGUAAUGAAAAGCUUUUAAUUGGUAAUGGACAUGGCCUUACUAUUUCUCAUAUAGGAAGCACUCAUUUAGCAGUUGGAAAUCAUAGAUUAUUGCUCAAAAAUCUUUUAUUUGUGCCACACAUCACCAAAAAUCUUUUAAGCAUUUCUAAGCUCACUUCUGAUAAUUCCUUGAUCAUUGAAUUUUAUGGAAAUACUUGCUUUCUCAAGGACAAGAAGAAGAGGACAGUAUUGCUGGAGGGUGUAGCUAUGAAGGGUCUGUAUAAGCUGAAACUUGAGCCUGGAAGUAAAACUCAUCAAGCUUUAUUUUCAACUGUAAAUAAAGAGUCAUGUUUUGUUCCUAUGUCUAUGGUGCCACAUUGCUCAGAUGGUUUGCAGUCUUGUUCUUUUUCAAAUAUUCAAGCUAAAGUUGUUCAACACUCCUCUCAACAGUGUCUGUUGUCUCAUUCCAGUAGAGUUUCCAGUACUUCAAUAAAUAUCCUACAUAGGCAACUUGGUCAUCCUAGUUCAAAAGUCUUGAAACAUGUACUCACCAGUUGUAAACAUUUGCAGUUAAGCAAUAAAAUUCAAAUUCCUGAUUUUUGUGAUGCCUGCCAAUAUGGCAAAGUUCAUAAACUGCAUUUUGGAGCAACUGAACACAAAACAACCUCACCUCUAGAACUCAUCCAUACUGACUUAUGGGGUCCAGCACCCAUUACUUCUCUCAAUGGUUAUAGAUACUAUAUCAGUUUCAUUGAUGAUUAUAGUAGAUAUGCCUGGGUUUAUCCUUUGAAAACCAAGUCUCAAGCUUUAUCUGUUUUUGCCAUUUUUCGAACUCAAGUUGAAAAACAAUUUGAAACAGUCAUUAAGGUCCUACAGUCAGAUUGGGGGGGGGGGGGGAAUAGUCAGAUUGGGGGGGGGGGUGAAUUCAGAUCCUUUGUGAAUUAUCUUAAAAAACAUGGCAUUUUAUUCAGACAUUCAUGUCCUCACACACAUCACCAGAAUGGGACAGCAGAGAGGAAACAUAGACAUCUUGUUGAGAUGGGUUUGACUCUUCUUGUACAAGCUAAAUUGCCUCUCAGUUUCUGGUGGGAAGCAUUCUCAACUUCUGCUUUUCUCAUCAAUCGAUUGGCAACUUCUGUUCUACCAUCAAAUAAAUCUCCCUAUGAGAUUCUUUUCAAACACAAGCAUGACUAUGAUUUUCUAAAGUGUUUUGGCUGUUCCUGUUUUCCAUACUUGAGAUUCUAUAACAAACACAAAUUCAACUAUCACACUACAAAAUGUUUGUUUAUUGGUUAUAGCUCAUAUCACAAAGGGUAUAAAUGCCUAAGCUCAAAAGGUGUUGUAUAUGUUGUUAGGCAUGUUGUGUUUAAUGAGUCAGAAUUUCCUUUCUCUACUGACUCUCUUUUCUCUAAACAACCUUCUUCCUCUGCUUCUGAAUAUAGAUAUCCUAUGUUUAAGGUAUCUUCAGUGUCAGUUCCACUUCAUGACCCUUCAGGCUCAAGUAACACCAUUAUACAACCAUUUCAGUUGCCUGCAGCUUCAGCUUCUUCCUCCUCAUCUAGUUCUUUAUCACCUUCUUCUCAACCAUUUCAACCAUCUCAAUCAAAUCAUCCACCCUCCCACACCUCUCCUUAUGUAUCCCAAAACACUUCAAAUCAACAACCAUCCUCUACUCAAGUUUCACUGCCAAAUCACCCAAUGAUUACAAGAGCCAAAGCAGGUGUAUUUAAGCCAAAAUUUCAUGCCUAUUCCUCUGUUCUUGGAGAACAAGAGCCUUCCACAGUUUCUCAAGCUCUUUCAGAUUCCAAAUGGAAAGCAGCCAUGCAGGCAGAGUAUAAUGCACUUAUGGAAAAUAAGACUUGGAUUCUUGUACCAGCUUCUCAAGCUACUAAAAUUGUUGGGUGUAAAUGGGUUUUUCGCAUUAAGUAUAAUGCAGAUGGUUCUGUUUCUAAGUAUAAAGCACGGCUGGUGGCAAAAGGGUUUCAUCAAACACCUGAUAUUGACUACUUUGAGACCUUUAGUCCAGUAGUUAAAUAGUCAACUGUGAGAAUUAUCCUUAGUCUUGCUGUGAUGAAGGGCUGGAAAAUAAGACAAAUCGACAUCAACAAUGCUUUCCUUAAUGGAGAGCUCAAUGAAGAUGUCUACAUGUUUCAACCUGAGGGUUUUGUUCAGUCUCCAUCUGGUCAUGUUUGUCAGUUGCAUAAGGCUCUUUACGGUUUGAAACAGGCUCCUAGAGCCUGGUUUGACAGGCUAAGGAAAGCACUGUUGCAGUGGGGGUUUCAGAACUCCAAAGCAGACUCAUCUUUGUUCAUCAAACAUGAACUUGGAGGUAUUGUGGCUGUGUUAGUAUAUGUAGAUGAUAUAUUAAUUACUGGUGAUAACAAUACAGUAAUUGAAACAUUUAUCCAAUACCUUGGAGAUACCUUUGCUUUAAAAGAUCUUGGUGAGUUCAGUUACUUCCUUGGUAUUGAGGUUACACAUGAUGCAAAGGGUAGCUUACAUCUUUCACAGGCAAAAUAUGUAAGAGAUUUGCUUACAAGAACUGAUAUGGAAAAUUGUAGAGAAAGUGAUACUCCAAUGAGUACAGGACAGAAACUAAGAAGAGCAGGGAAUGAUGAUAACUUGAUUUUUAAUGUCACUGAGUAUAGAAGCAUAAUAGGUGCUUUACAGUAUUUGGUACUUACAAGACCAGAACUUGCCUUUUCAGUUAAUAAGUUGAGCCAAUUUCUUGCUGCACCAACUGAGAAACACUGGGUUGCUUGUAAGAAAAUUCUAAGAUACUUAAAGGCAACUGAAGAUUAUGGAUUGAUGUUUAAAGCAGGAGAUGGAAUUAGUCUGACAGCAUAUACAGAUGCAGAUUGGGCGUGUGAUGUGGAUGACAGAAAGUCAGUUGGAGCAUAUUGUGUAUAUCUUGGGCAGAAUCUGGUUUCAUGGUCCUCCAAGAAGCAACAAACUGUAGCAAGGUCUAGCAUAGAGUCAGAGUAUAGAGCAUUGUCAACAGCUUGUGCAGAAAUUGUUUGGAUUCAAGCUUUACUUGGAGAGCUUAAACUGAAGUGUAGCCAAAUACCAAUAAUCUGGUGUGACAACAAUGGUGUAGCUGCACUAGCAACAAAUCCAGUAUAUCAUGCCAAAACCAAGCACAUAGAGUUGGAUGUGCAUUUCAUAAGGGAAAAGGUAACGGGCAAACAAGUGGAGAUCAAGUAUGUACCAAGUGAGUGGAAUAUUGCAGAUGUGCUUACAAAGCCUAUGGCUUACUCUUUUUUUAAUUACUAUAGAGACAAGCUUAAUGUUGUUCCACAACCAUUAAGCUUGAGAAGGGGUGUUGAGAUGCUUAAUCAACAGCAGCAUAUCAAUGGCUGAGAUUCACUUGACUAGGAUUGAUGAGCUGGAUAGCUGAGUUGGACAAAUUAGUUAGAUUGUUAUUGUUUAGCUUAGCUUAACCAAUAGUUAUUUGACAGCUGUUACAGAGGUUGUUACUUCUGUUAAUCAGCAAUAUAAGUUGAUGAAAGCUUGAAUGUAAGUGUGUGAUUCGAGAUUAAUAAAAUUCUCUUAUUCAGUUUGUUUUUCUUUCUUCCUUCGUCACUUUCCUGCUAGCCAAACAGAUUGUAUGCUUAAGGUUUGUGAAUUCUAACUGCUAUAUUAAAAUGGCCGAAUUUUGCCGCAACGUGAAGUGGAGUAUCACCUUUGCCAUUAACUUGUGUUUGUAGUGAUGGGCAUAUCUCAAGUAUUUCCCCUACGAACUUGAUUGACGCAUUUUCUGUUCAUUGGCAUAUGAUGUUGCUAUGCAGGAUCGUGUUCCUGGCCGGUACUGUUAAUAAGCUCUCAAAUAUUUCUCUUGCCAUAUCUUUGUAGGAUUCAGCAUUGCCAUCAGCUGGAAACUCAAGUAAAUUAUCCGUACUCAGUUACUCUUCAAAGUAGAAGCAUGACCGAUUAAGUUACCUGGAGAACUGAAAAUAAAAAAUAAAAAAAGGUAGAUAUUCUUUCCGGUUAGGUUUCAAAUAAAGCAGAGAAAAUAAUUGAAGUUAAGUUAAAAAAAAAANNNNNNNNNNNNNGAGAAUACUCAGACGAAUUCAAGUUGGUCAAGAAAGCCAAGUCGAGUAGUAAAUUGAGUCAAACAAUAAGUCGAGUAUUCAUAUAAUGCUCCUGGUGGACAAGAAAUCCUGUAAGCUGGAUUUAGAUCCAGUACUGAGCUUAGCUGUGCUCAUCUCUUCGUAAACAUCUACCACACAUGCAUGGAUAACAAUUUAAGAUGAAUAUUUAAUUAAUUUUAUAUUCUUAUCUUUCUAAAAGAUUAACAAAAACCUCAGCUCAGCGCUGAAUACAAAUUCCUGUAAACUAGGAACAUAAAACUCGAUGAUCACAUGAAAAGCUUAAAUUCAAAUUCAAUUGUAUUCAUGAUAUGAUUAUUUCAAACAACCAAAAAUACUUAAAACAAAAACCCAAUUGUGAAACUAAAAAAAAACCCAAUUCUCAUAUUCUCCGAAGAAAACACUAAAUUAAUUAAUUAAUUUUAAAAAAGGAAACAAACCUAAAUUCAGGUACCAGGCAAAAAGAUUGGGGAAGAAAAAAGAAUAGGAAAGGAAAUGAACCUUGGGAGUCCAAAGCGUGUCGCUUGAAGCAACGCCGUUCCAAGCACGGGAUACAAGGAGAGUCGGUGCUACGCUGCGUGCCUUUAGGUUUUGAAGUAUCUUCAACAUUAUGUCUCCACCAAAAGCCUCCAGUGGAUCCUGCAAUAAUUCUUCAGUUUCUUCUUCUUUGAGUUGUUCUUUUCUUUCCUCUCGAUUUCUCUUCUUUCACAGUUUCAUCUUCGUCUUCUUCUUCUUCAGUAAAACGACAUCGUUUUCCUGUUCUUCUAUUUCUCGCAGUUCCAUUCUGCGUGGUAGUAGCUAUUACUACAGAGCAAGCGAAUGAAAGGAAUCACCCGAAGCCGCAAUUGCAAUAACUCCAAAAAACAUCAAAAUAUAAAAAUAAGUUAAUGCUAAAAUGCCCAUAUUUAAUUUUUAAAAAAAAUUAUUUACUGUAUGUAGAAAUAUACAAUCGAUAAAUUUACUAUUUUUUAAAUAUAAUAAAUUUUACGUGGCUCAAACUCAUUCUCUUGUAGAUAUUAUUGAACUACAAGCCUUUAAGUUAAAAUGCUAAUACUUUUGAAUUAUUAUUUUACUCGAUUUUUUUAUAUCACUUGAUUUAUUAUUCAACUUUGUUAUGAAGAUUGGGGUCCAACUGUGUUACUACGGUCGUAACAUACCACAUUCUUUUGUCUUUUCCUAAUCCACCGUUAGAUUUAAUUCAGACCAAGGGUAAUGGCUAAGAUGUUUUUGUUGGGUUAUUAAUGUUAUACUCCCUAAUGUUUGCUACAAAAUUACAAAAGUAACAAAGUUUAAAAUAUUAACACAUAAGUCCAUAAAUUUACAAUUUAUUAUUCAAUAAUAUUAAAACAUUUUAAUUAUAUUAUUAAAUAUUAUAUAAAAAAUUAUAACAUAAUAUAAUAUUAUUUAAUUAUAUUAUAAUAAUUAAUAAAUAAAAUUGAUUAUUAUUUAAAAAUUUAAUAUAACUAACAAUAAAUACUUAAAUAAUAUAUAAAGAUCUGCUGUACGGCCAAAAUAAAAUUGAUUAUUAUUUAAAAAUUUAGUAUAACUAACAAUAAAUACUUAAAUAAUAUAUAAAGAUAAAAAUAUAAUAUAAUACUACAUUAUUUAAUUAUAUUAUAAAAAUUAGUAUAUAAAAAUUAAAUAUUUUUAAAUAUUUAAUAUAAAAAUAAUAAAUUAUUAAAUAUUAAUAAAUUUGAAUAAUAUUAAAUUAAAAUUAAUAGCAAUCUAAAUAAUGAUAUAAAUAUUACAAUUUAAUACACAUUAAUGACACACACUGUAAUAUAAUGCAUCUAAUGCAAUACAAUAUAUUGUGUCAAAUGACCCAGUUAAUUUCACUAAUAAAUUAAUUUAUUCUUAUAUUUGAAUUAAUAUGUUUAAAUUAAUAUUCUUUCUUAUUAAUUAAUUAGUUUAAUAUAUAGUAAAACCAUGUAUUAGUUACAAACAAUAUUUUAUGAUAAAUAUGAGUAUGAAUUUGAUCUCUUGUUCUUAAUUUGUAGUUAAUAUUUUUUUCAUAAUACUUAUUCAAUAUAUAGUAAAUAAUUUCAAUAUGCAAUAAAAAUAUAUUAAUCUACCAAUUAAUAAUUUUUUAUUGUUUAAUAAGAAGGUAUCAAAAAGUGUGAGGGAGGGUGGCAACUUUCUUGUCGUUUAUUCUUACAUCUACGAGCUUGAUAAAUAAGUUUAGAAUCUUUUAAAAGAAUUUGAAGGCAAAGUCAUUUUAUACUCCACAUGUAUUUGAGAACCUUUUUUCACAUCUCAUGGUCGAUAAUUUUGAGUUAGUGAUAAAAUUUAGUUGCUAAUUGCUAGAGAUAUGGAAUUGAAACUAGUGGGCAUGUAAAUAAUUCAAUCAUUUUUUAUAUCAUUUUAAUUAAUUAAUUUAGUAAAAAUAUAAAAUUAGUUUUAUCAAGGAUAUAUUUGACAUUUAAGUAGGUGUAUGGAGUAAAUUUUCUUUUUAAAACUUUGAUGAUGGUGUGUGAAUUAAUAAUUAAAAAAUACCCUCACAUUUUGAUUUAAGUUUCAAAAAAUCAAAACAAGUAGGACUAAUGAGUCAAAAUUUAAGAUUAUCGGAUUUUUUGUCUAAUUUUAGCAUAAAAUAGGGAUUCUAGUGUAAUUAAUCUAAAAGGACAAAAAAGUGCGGUAUGUUAUCUCUGUGGUAACAUAGUAGUAUCCCUGAAGAUUGAUAAUAAAGUUGAGAAUAUUUUUUUUUAUUUAGGAUAUUUUGGCCUUUUUAGAGUAUGAUUAUGUAAUAUGAGACAGUCGGGGUGUUAUUGAUCUUUUAAAAGAAAUAAAUAUAUAUUUUAUUAAAAAAAUUGUGGUGGGAGAUCACGUGGUUCAGGUACUGCUCUGUAAUGAUGAUAGUUAAUAAUAGUCCGAUAAUGCAUUCUUGCCACGCCGAGCUCCAAAACAAAAUCAUCCUUCAAUUGAAGGACGAAAAUCGGGCGUUUGGGCUCUGACUCAAAUAUGUGGCAAGAUGCUGAGUGAUUGCUUGGAAAAACAGCAAGUCGAUGACUUUGUUGUUUAUAGAGUCUGAAACGUAGCAAAUGGGGAGCAUCCACGCGUUGCAGGAGAGAGGAAAAGUUAGCUGAUACAAGAUCAAUUUGUACUGAGCUGUUACAUACAGUCUGUAACGUAGCUUGUCUGCUCCAAAUAACAUCAAAAUAUUAAAAAGUACGUUAAUACUAUAAUGCCCCUAUUUAAUUUUUAUAAAAAACUGUUUACAAUAACCAAAAAAUAUACUAUCUGAAAUUUGAAAAAUUCUAUGAUACUAUGAUUAAAAUUACGACAUUAUUAUCAUGAUAAAUAUAAGUUUUGUAAAUUACAUAUAAAAUUAUUAAAUAAAAGAUAAAAUUAGUAUAUUAAUAUAUAAGUGGUAAAUUAGUGUUUUCAAAUUACAAACAAAACAAACACUUAUAAAAUAACAUAAAACUUUGAAAUCAAUAUUAAUCUUUCAUUAAAUAAAAUUAGCUUAUUUAUUUAACUUAAUUAAAUAAAGAACAAAGUGAGUCAUCAAUUAAAAAAAAUUGUAUUGAAAACAAUUAGAAUAAGUUUUAUUGAAUUGAUUUAACUAUAAAUUCUAGAUUCAUUCUAUGACAUUCAUUAUUUUUUUUUAUUUUUUAUCAUAGUAUUGUUUACUACAGAGGUUAAUUAAACAAAUUAUUUUUCUUGAAUGCAUUAAGUCAAAACAAAAUAAAAAGAUAUAUAUAUAUAUAUAUUAUCAAUAAAAUUGUAUCUAAUUUUAUGUUUUAUAUAUAUUUUAUGUAAUUUUAAACUUUGCUUCUUACUUGUAUUUAAAGAUCAUUUGUGGUUGCUAUCAAGAAGAUUUAAAAUGAUGAAAAAUCACCUUAUCCUACGAGCAACUUUGAAAAAUAUGAAAAAGAAUAGUUUUUCAAAAUCCAAUUUUAAAAAUAAGUUUUAUCCUUAAUAAAAUUUCACUUAUAUCAUCAUAUGUAUUACAUAAACCCAAAACUAUCAUUAUUCCAUUUAGAAAAAAUAAAUCAAUAAAAAGUAAUCAUUAUUAUAAUGAGGUUGUAUAUUACAUUUUUAAAUUUUUUUAAUAAUUCUUAUAUUAAUUUACAUGUUUUACCUUACAUUUACAAGUCCUAUAUUUUAUUUAUAUAAUUUAUUUUUUAUCUUACACUUAAUGUUGAUUCAUAAGUUUUAUUUUAUAUUUAUAAGUUUUUAUUUUGUUUACCAAUAACACUCUAAUUUACCACUUAUAUAUUAACUGACUUGUUUUACAUUUCAUUUACAAGUCUUAUAUUUUAUUUACUUAAUUGAUGUUUUAUUUUAAACUUAUUAUUGAUUUACAAGUUUUUAUGUUAUAUUUAUAAGUUUUUGUUUUGUUUACCAUUGAUACACUAAUUUACCACUCAUAUAUUAAUUUUCUUAUUUUACCUUCCAUUUAUAAGUCUUAUAUUCUAUUUACAUAAUCUAUAUUUUAUUUUACAAUUAAUUUUUAUUUUUAUUUUUUAUUUAAAUUUAUAUGUCUUAUGUUUAUUUACAUAAUUUAACGUUUAAAUAUGGUAUCGAUGCUGUGAUUUUAAUCACGGCAUUAUAGAAAGACCUAAUUAGCUAAAAUUCUCGAUAUAGAUACUCGUAGUACAUUCUAAAGGUCGACUAAACAUUAAGUUCGAAAAUUUAUUCCAUUAAUACGUGGGGAGAAAUCUACUGUUAUUUAAAUAGAAUAAAUUUUAUAAGACUUAAACUCAUUCUUUCACAAGCACUAUUGAGUUAUAAGCCUACAAACCAAAAUUCGAUUUAUUAUUCAACUUUGUUAUGAAAAUUGAAAAUAAAGUAGAGAAUUUUUUUAUUUAGAAUAUUUUUACCUUUUUAGAGUAUAAUUAUGUAAAAUGAGUUAGUAGGGGGGUGAUAUUGGUAGUAUACUAGUAUGAAAGGAAUUGAAUAAAUUUUUUUCAAAAAAAGGAAAUCCGGAGCCGCAGGCAGGUCACGUGGUUCAGUUGUGCUAAGUGCUCAGUGGUGAUGACUGAUGAUAUCAUUAACUAGUUUUUUACGAAAGAAAUCGAGCCCAUACUGAUCUGAUAACACUUUCUUGCCACGUCGAGCUCCCAAAAGAAAUCACCAUUUAAUUGAUGAACCACAGACGGCCAGUUGGGUUCUGUUUCAUAUACGUGGCAGAAUCCUAAGUAAUUGCUUGGAAUAAUUAACAUAUGGAAUUAUAGAUUUCUGCACGAGCAGUUAAAUGGCAAGUUGUUGACUUGGUUGUUCAUAUUUAGAGGUGGCAAAAUCGGUGAGCGGAUUAUUAUUAAUUUAAAUCGGUUUAAACAUGAUUUAUUUAAUAAUUACGUUAAAAUAUUAAAUAUGAAAUAAAAAUAAAAAUAAAUGAGUGACAUGACAUCAUCCAUUAAAUAAUUGGACAAUCGUGUCACGAUAUCUAAUAACCUGCUUAAUACUUAUUUACACAACAUAUAUCAAAGAUUUCACACUUAUUUGACAAAAAUUCAAUUUUUAUAUAUUGAUAUUAUGAAAAUAUAUAAGUCUACUAAAAUAUUACAUAUUUAUACUACUCAUGUUGUAAUUCCAUUUAUAAUUUCAUAAAAUAAAAUACCAUAUAAAUGUUCAUCCUUCACAAAAUCAUUAUUUAAUUAACUGGGUAAAUGGUUCAAGAAUUUAAACCUAACCCAAUAGAGAAAAAAAUUAUGUUGACAUAUUUAAUAAUUAUGUUAAAUUUAAUGAUUCAAACCUAUUUUUUCAUAAUAUGUGUUUAUGUCUGUUCAGUAUAUUUCAUCAAAUUUUGUCAGUUCAAUUUAUAAUAUAUUAGAUAUUUAAAUAAGAUUUUCUUCCGAAAAAAAAAAUUAAAGUUCAGGCGUUUGUUUCAUACGUGUUCAUGUAAACCCCCGGCCGAUGCAACGUAGCUGGACUCGUCAUGUAAAUAUAUACCACCAAAUCUUUUUUUUUUUUCCUUUCUGAUACAAAGCAUUACUUUCGUUAAUUCAACGAGUGAAUACAAAUGUGCUCGGUUUUUUUUUUUUUUUUGGACAAAGGAAAUAUAAUUUCAUUCCAACAUAAUAUAAUAAUACAACAGCUAAUCCAUAACAAAUUGAAGAUCAAUCUAUAGAUAAUAUGUUAUAAUAAAUAAUUGAGCCUUGAGGAUCAAUCUAUAGAUAGUCUGUUACAAUAAAUAACGGAACAAACCAUUUACUUUCACAGUUCAUGUUGACGAAGAGGGAGAACACAACGCACCUCAAACACAAUUAAGAUGCAUAUCCACAAUACAUCAUGCAUCCAACAUGCUUGAGCUCUACCCAGAACAUCCCUAAUACUAUGUCUAAAUCAGGUUGUAUGCAUACUUUCAAGUUUAUGUCCGGAAAAUAUGCCCAUUCUGUUUUCUUUCGUUUCAUUUAUCCAUAGAUCUAGGUUUGUGGAUUUUUUGUUCCAACCUAUAUGGUGGCUGUGUUCCCACGCUCUAUGGUGGCUUGUGUUUGUGUUGCUGUGUUGGUUGUCUUUCAGAUUUCAUGUCUACAAGGAUCAGAUUUGAUAAAUAAGAGAACGUAAAAGAUUUUCUAUAGUUGAUCUGUUACAUUGCUGGUUGUAUUUUGAACCUAAAUUUAAUGUUUUUAAUUAGUCUUACGGGAGCAAAUUUAUAAUUGAACUAGCAAGAAUAAAAUUUUCCUGGCGACAUUUGAAUUGAUCGUGUACGACAUUAAAAGACUGUAUCAUUACAUGAUUCUUUAGUAUACUGAUACUAUUCGCACCACAUCAAAAUACGAAAUCAAUGAUUGUUUAUCUGUUGACUGCAAUGGAUUAUUUGUACAUUAAUCCAAAUGUUUGUGUAAUUGUCCGUGAUAGACUCACUAUUAUUUUCUUAUACGUUAAAUGGAUUAAAAGUGAGGGUUUUGUGUGUGUGUGUGUUCAUAUUUCAGCAAUAAAGGUUCUUGUUCUGUCGGUGUAAUUGGAUGGAUGGUUUUGCUUCAGUGUUCUGUCUCUCUCUUUCGUUUAUAGUUUUCACCAAUUAAUUGAGAGAAAACAAAUAUUGUUUGCUAAACGGUUGAGUAAAUCAACUAUAUAUAACUAGGAUCUGUUAAGUUACUUGGGUAUUAACGACUAAUUAUGUUUUUAAUUACUUUUGUUUAUUAAUAACUUUUAACAAAAAAAUCUAAUUGCAUUGAUAAUUUGAGUAAAUGUCAAAUAUUUUCUUUACAUUCAUAAGUGAAAAACUUUUAACAAAAAAUCUAAAUUUUCUCACUUUAAACUUUUAUCCCUCUAAAAAUUUUAUGACUAACCUGAUCGUUGAAGGGUUUACGCCACUAAAGUCGGCCCCACUAAAGCCGGCCCUUUGACUGUUUUUCUUAUGUUUAUAGCGCAUUAUCUAAUUAAGGUUAUCCCGUCACCUAAGGAAUAUAUACCUCUUACUCUUAAGAAAAAAUUCAAAUGAGUGUAAUUGAACUUCGAAAAUAAAAGGCACAACAUGAGAAGCCCACAUCAAGAGUUCAACAAAGUUUGAUCUAAUAAAGAGAAAGUUCAUGAAAUUACCAUUUAAUAAAUUGGGACAAAAUUUUUACGAGUAAAUUGGCGUCGUUUAUGAGGACUUCUAACUAAAAGUCUUGGAACUCUACUGAGAGCAUGGAUGUGAGCUAUGAGCAUUAUGACCUUGUGUUCGAAUACGGUGAGUUCUAGGGUUGAGGAAGCCCAUUCUCAAGGAAGAAGACCAUUGAUGGAUUCAUCAUUUGAUGGCCAGCUACAUGGGCAAGCUUGAUUCCAAAGUAAAGUGGAUUGAUUAGCUUAGAACUUUGAUAGAAUGUUUUAUCAAUUCCAAGCUCAAGUUGAGGAAAGGGAGGACUCAAGCGAUCCUAGUGACGAUGAAGUUGUGAUGAUGAACUUGAUUCGGGCUCCUCUAGAGCAAGGUACAUGGAAGGCUUGGAAGAAAGUGACCUUAGACACAAAGAUCUUGGAGGAUAGGGGCUAGAGAAGUCUUUCUCUCUCUAGGCUUUAUCUCUUUAAAUUUUAUUUUUUUAAAAGUCCAGUGAUUGGCCUGAUCGUUAAAGGGUAUACGUCAUUAAAACUAACUAUUUGAUUGUUUAGGUUAUGUUUGUAGGCAUUGUCUUAUCAAGAUCAUUCUCAUCACUAUUUUUUUUAAUUAGCUAUUAAAAAGUUGAAAGUUUUAUUUUAAUUUUAAUUUUAAGUUGGUGUCAGGCGUAUACUAAAAACAUCUUAAAACAAAAAAAAAAUACUAUCAAUAUGAUUUUAGCGUAAGAAUAUUUUAAAAAAUUCUACAAAAAUAUUAUCAUUUUAUCCCCAUCCAUGAAAACAAAGAAUCCACCGAAUGCAUUUAACAAUGAAAUUUUUAUAUUUAAUUUCUUCCAAAAUUGCAAAAUUAUUUGUUCACCAACUCUCUUUUUUAAUUAAGAUUUGCUUAAAUUUAUAUAAAUUUAGGACAUAAAGAUUGCCUUUAAAGAGGGGAAAAAAAGGAAAGAAAGAAAAUACGGUGACCAAUAAACCGUUUAUGAAUAGUAUGUUUAUUUUAUGAAAAGGAAGCAAUUUAUUUUUAGCGAUUUCUUACAUAUAUAUCUUUUGAUGAAGCCAAACACAUGAAAGAAUAAUCUCAACACAAUUAAACAAGUGACAGUGGGCAUGCCUAAAAAAGGAGCUAACAUAACACUUAUUAGUUCUGAUGGUUGCAAAUUUGCAACAUCCGAUAAGGAGUAGCCUCCUUUAAACUUAAGUCUAGAGUUCGAGCCUUGCUAAAAAGAUGGAGUAUAUCUUUUUCCAGUGACGAUUUCUUAACCCAUGAUUUUCUUUUUCACUGAAAUAUCUUCUGAUGACCAAAAACGCAAAGAAGAAAUAGCUCUAAGCCAAUUAAACAAGUAAUAAUGGCAAGGCCUAAAGAAGGUGCUGACAUUGCAUAUGUGCCCAUAACGAAUGCAAUCACCAUUGCUCCCAUGGAAAUGAUGGCGAACCAAAUGGAAGCAGCGAACAAAUCAUCAUCGAAUUUUUUGAUUACUUCAAGCUCAAGAGAUACUAUAAAGUGAAUAAAGAAGGCAGAAAGAGAAAGGAUCAUGGCAAUGGUAUCUGUUACCAUAAAUGCCUGAAAAGCUGUAUUUCCCCUCAGGAUUGCAGCGCCAUUUUCGCUUUUUUAACCACCAGUAAUAAUGAAAGAUGUUGCGAAGGCCUGUUGCUACGAGUGCAGCCACUACCAGAUGUGACGCUCUAGUAUCCUUGAAAUCAUCUUUAGGAUAAAUAGGCUCUUGCAAUACAUGUGGUUCUCUUAUGGAUACGAGUAUUGUCCUGUGCCAAAAUCUUUGGAUAAUUUUUGAAUUUCUUCCCGCAAUUUACAUUUGAAUAUUAAUUAAUAAAUUAAUAUACAAUUUGAAACCAAAUAAUAAUGUUUGGGGGAAAAACAGAAAAAGUAGCAGAACACCACGUGUCGAUGAACAGAAUAACUCCGGUAUAAUCUGAGGUACCCGGCAUAAUUCGAGGUACCCCACUUAAUUCGAGGUACCUCUCAUAACUCGAGAGUAACUCAAGGUACCCCGCUUAAUUCGAGAGUAACUCAAGGUACCCUGCAUAAUUCGAGGUACCCCACAUAACUCGAGAGUAACUCGAGUUACCCGGAAUAACUCCAGCAUAAUUCGAGGUACUCGGAAUAACUCCAACAUAAUUCGAGGUACCCGGAAUAACUUGAGGUACCAUGCAUAACUCCAGAGUAACUCGAGGUACCCUGCAUAAAUCGGGGUACCCCGAAUAACUCGAGGUACCCAACAGAUCAGAUGCAGAAGAACCCUCUGAAAAAGUCCGCCAUAAGAAAUGUUUCCACAUAAUUCGAGGUACCCGGAAUAACUCGAGGUACCAUGCAUAACUCCAGAGUAACUCGAGGUACCCCGCAUAAAUCGGGGUACCCCAUAUAACUCGAGGUACCCAACAGAUCAUAUGCAGAAAAACUCUCUGAAAAAGUUUGCCACAAGAAAUGUAUUCACCUCUUAAAGGAUAAUGUUUGAUUUUGUCAGAAUUAGAUAUCAAAAUGUCAUACUGAAAAGUAGCGACAGCCGCCUGCUACCUCUGCCAAAAGUGAAGGACAAUGUCCCAAGGACAGUGGUCCUCAGCCGCCUACCAGACAACCACUGCAGAGGUACCCUAGACCACUCUCCAGCGCGCGCCACGUUUCCAAAGGAUAAGAUACGCCGCGAAUGCCUUCUUGAUUCCCAAACAUGCACAUAACAGCCCAAAAAUGAUAAAAAUGUAAAAAGACGUGAAAGACCUGAAAAUGGAUAGCCCAUAGCCAAAAAGAAUAUGCCACGUGGCAACUGAGGUACUCCAUAAAUAAACGUGUCUAGGUUUUAUUCUCCAUAAAGUUCUCAUUCACUCACACUCCACAAAAUAAGUUUUCUUCAACCUUAAACCUUGAUUUAUAGAGGGCUGGCAAGCUCUCUUUACUAUUAAAAAGCUUGAGUUUUCUAACUUGAGCGUCGGAGUGUGAACGCCGGGAGUACCCCGGCUUCACCUCAAAUCUCUAUUUCACUGUUUUGCAUUGGUGAAGCUCGUUUCGAAGACCAUUUUUCUUGGUUUAAACCUUUCAUCAUUGUUACCUUCAGAAGCACUACACACAAAAGCUUGAGUUUGCUAACUUUUGAAUUCAGAAGCAUCACACACAACAAACUAGCGAGGUACCUCGUUUCCCUUAAAAAUAUAAAUUCAUUGUUCUAGAUAGAUUUGCCUUUUCCUACCCCCAAAAUCUGUCGAAAACAAAUAAUAAUAAUAAUAAUAAUAAUAAUAAUAAUUGCCUUGAACUUAGGAUAACAAUAGUCCAACAUUUUGCAACGCUAACAUUUUGCUUGUUGAUGGCCUCAUAGUGGCCUUUACUCUUCCAGAUAAAUCGUCAAAGAUUUCUUUUCGAUGAACAGCAGCAAAAAAAUGGACAGUAGUGUUCCCCUUGGCAUCCCCCUCAUCCAUAAGACUACUUGCUAACAUAUUAUCUACAAGAUUUCUUAAUUCUUCAACUUCAAACCUAAACCCAGCAUAAUGAAGAAAAUUUCAUCCCCAGUUAUCGACCAGUUCAUAACAUUCUGGAUUUCUAGAAAUAAUUGCUUCAACUACUCUGGCAUCCCUUCGGCCCGUGUACCAAAUGAAGAGCUGUCAUCUUUCGAUCUUUGUCAGCAAUCUUUGCUGCAGUUCGAUCAAUCUUUAAUAUUAGCUUAAGUAUCAAGUAAUUUCGAUGAUACGCAGCGUAAUGAAUUGGAGUCCACCAACACUGGUCUAUUCCUUUGAUCAUACUCUUCUUUCCUUCAAAUAACUGUUGAACCGCACAAUCAUUCUCUUUUGAGAGUAUUAAGACAAAAGAUGAAUAAAAUUAUAGCUCAAAUUAAAUUUUUAACAUCCAACCUCAAAUUUAAACUCCAGUGUCCAACUAGAUAUAAUUCCCCUGUGCCAACAGCAAACUUAAUUAAAACAACACUCCAAGAUUACUAGAAACAGAAUGAGCAAAGUUCUUGUAGAAAAAAGAUAUCAAUAUUGAAAUUCCUACUGAAAGGGUAUGAUUAAACUUACAUAAAUCAAUGUGCAUUGUUGCAGCAUGUAAAGCCUGUCUUUCCAUUGGGGCCUUCAUAUAUAUAUGGGACACGGAUGUGCAGCUUUUCAAAAUGGCAACCACCGUAUGAGAAGAGUGCUCAUACUCGGCAGCCAUGCAAAGUGGUAUUUUGUUGUACUUAUUUGCAUAAUAUGGAUAAUUAGGGUCGUCUCACGUCAAUAUUUUCACCACAUCGUCAUUUUAAUGAAAUACUGCCUCGUGAAGAGUUGUAUGCUUCUCUUUAUUCGUCAUCCUAAUCAUCUGCCUGGAGGCUCCUACCCCACUUUCGAGCUCUUCAUCUUCGUGUUGAACUAAUUUUGCUCUUUCAAUAAGAACACUCACUAUAUCACAAUGGUCGAAUUUUGCCGCAACGUGACGUGAUCGAGUAUCGCCUUUGGCAGUAACUUGCAGUAGCAGCCAUGGGCAUAUCUAAACUAUUUCUCCUACAAACCUGGUUGACACAUUUUCUGUCUUCUGCAAUUUGAUGUUGAUAUGCAGGAUUGUGUUCUUGAUCUUGCUGUUAACAGGCUCUCAAUUACCUCUCUUGCCAUAUCUUUGAAGGGCUCCAAAUUGCCCGCAGCUGCAACUUUGAACAAAUUUGGGUCUAUUUGUGGCUGACUGGUCUCACCAUUGUUGUCCAAUAAUGAAGCUUCCUCAAUCUCAAUGGAAACAGAAUUCAUGUCGGCGAAGUUGAUCUAUUAGGCAAGGGUGAAUAGUAUCUCGGAUGCACACAACACUUAAUUUUGAAGUGAAGAAAAAGAGAAGCCAUAAUUCUAUAAAUAGGACAAGUAGUAUAAUUUUGCUUUGGACCUUUUUUUUUUUUCUUCCUUUUGAAGAUAGGGGAUUUACAACCACUCCUUUGGAAAUUUCUGAUGAACAAAAGAUCAAUAGACUAACAAUCGAGUGAUAUUUUAUUAAUAAUAAUUAUAUUUAUGAUUUUAACAAAUUGAUCAUUUAAAAUAUGAUAAAGAAUACAAAAUUGUAUAAAGGUUUUUUUUUUUAAAUCUCAUUAAUUGAUCAAUUUACUAAGUUCAUCUAUUAGUCAAAAUUAGAAUGAUAAAAAAUCAUUAUAUAAUAAAGAUUCUUAAUUUAUCUGUUAUUGUUUAUAGCAGUUGUAGUACAUAUAUUAAUUAAAAUUUAUUAUGACUGUAAUUUUCAAUAUUUCAAAAAUCCCCCUCUCUAUUUCUUUUCUUUUAUUGUGCGUUUUGGUUAUUUUUUAGGGAGAUAGGCCCCUGAUGCAACUUACAGUUACAGUUGACAUGCCUAGUAACGAGAGAAUCUUGCUCACAAUCAGUAGAGACUAGAGAGUCUAUGGUCAAAAUUCUUUUUUUUUUUAAAGAGUAAUUUGAUUUUUCAACCACUUUCCUUUUUUGUGGUCAACUAGUCAUAACUCACAAGGCUGACAGUCACUAAAUUUAGGGUGCAUUUGGGAUUGAGGUUGGACAACUAUAGCUACAGCAGUAAAGUGUUUGGUAAACACUAGCUGUUGUAACUUGAAAGAUAUGUUAAUAUGAUUUUUCACUUAUAUAAUGGAGAAUCUAUUAUAUCUUUAAUAAUUUUGUCAAAAUUAUUAUUUAAAUUUAUAUGUACUACAUAUUAUUAAUUUUUGUUUCAUAAUUACAACUUUUUUUCACAGCAGUUGUAGCUUAAAAGUUACAAUAUCUCAAUCCAAACACACCCCAAAGUGGCUUCUUCACAACCGGCAACUAUCCACUUACCAUUGGUUGAAUGCGGGAGUGGAGUCGUGUCUUUUGAAAGUUAAAAUAAAGUUAGAAGGAAACAAAUUCUCAAUGUGGGUUCUUAGAUCAAUUUUAGGACAACCACAUGAUUUUGCUGAUGGAAUGAAUGUCAUUAACGUGCUUAUUGUUGGGAUUUAGAAAAAAAAUAAUCUGUUUAUUUUUGGGAUUUAAAAAAAAUGAGGAAUGAGCAUUAUUAAUAAUAUUUAAUUGCUAAAAAUACAAAGAAAUAUAAAUAAAUUUUGAUUGAGUCUCAUAAAUUUAGGAAUGAGAAAGAAUUUCAUUUAAUUAGAUGGAAGAGGCAGGAAUAAGAAUGGAGAAAUGAGAAUAAAGAGUAAAAAUCGUUUAUCUUUAUUAAAAAUUAAAACUUUCUUUUUACUCCAUUUUGGUAACUUACAAUCAUCUAUUCUAAUUUUAAAAACAAAGUAAACACAUCAAGUUUGGAAUAUUGUUGAUUUCGAUCUCAUUCUUGUAGUUGAAGUAGACAAUUUAUUCUUCUACAUUUUGAUUCCAAUUCAUUAUAAUUCUUGUCGAUUAGUAUUCAUUGUUAAUAAACACACUAUUAGUAUAUUUUCAAAGAGACUAUAUUUUUUAGUUUCAUUCUAAUUCAUCUCAAAUCUCUCUCAUAUUGAAUACUUUGUGGAAAUUUAUUAAAGAUAUUUCAAAAAGAAUUUAUCGACAAAUCUAGCUGCCAUCUAUAUAAAUAUAUUAGUUUUUUUUUCUAAUUAGUGCUUCUUAAAAAGAAUCUAGCUCAGCCAACCCAAAUCAAUUUUUUUCUCCCUCAGCCUCUCAUAGGAUUUGAAUUCGGGUAAUUAAUAAAAUAAAAUUAUUUAAAAAUCACUCGCCUAAGUCUUUGAGGUAGUUUAAUCUUAGAUAAACAUUAAGGACUUAGUUAUCAAUUAUCCUAUUAAAAUUAGUAUGUUUGAGCAUAUGGCUAAGGUAAGCCAAAUCAAGUACAGUUGACGUUAUAUGUGAUAGAUUAAAUGGUUUAUAGAAGUGAGUCCUCUGCGAUAUAUAUCAUACAACCUAAUGCAUUUGAAUUUGUGAAUAUUGAAUUUGAAAGUAUAUAUUUGGUAGUCUAUUUUAGAGUAAUUAAUUUUAAUUAAAAAUAACUGUUGUAGUAUUAUCUCAAAACGUCACCUAAAUUGUAAAUUUAAUUGAUAAAAUCUCACGACUAAGGUCAAGAGGUUUAGAGACUUUACCUAAAAGUAUAAUGGUAAGUAUUGGCAUUUUGCCUUUGCCCGCUUUAUCAUGGUCAAAAAUCGCCUUUUGGGCCAUGGAGUGGCUCAUGUGCUUGUUUUGCACAAUCUUUAGGAAUCCAAAGUCGAUUUUGUUUUUGGUUCACAUAUAUUUCCAUGGAAUUCAGCAGAGAGCAGAUAAUUAAGCUAAUUCGGAGUUGGGAUUCCUUUCUGUUCAGUGGUGGGACCAAAAAGGGAGGGAGAAUGGGCUGAGCUUGGACAAGCCCAGGCUCAAGUCUGAGCUCAUAAAAGCCCUUCCACGUUUGGAGGGGCUGAACAGAACCUGGCCCAUCAUGUGCCUGAGCUUCCAAAGUCUCAACCAUUUCAUUUAUUAGUUUUCGAUGGUUGUUGCAAUAAUUCCUUCAAAGUAACGUCCCCCCCUUUUGGUCUUUCUCGGUCUUAAUUCAACUCAUUUGGUGAUACAGGAUUUGACUUUAAAAUGAUAUGUCAUUAUCUCUAUUGAAUGGUAAAAUUUUUAUUUACUUAUACAAGUAAUCAUGUUCUUAGCUCAUUAGUACAACUUUUGAAUCCCAAUUAUUAUUGGACUCGAUUUCUCUUCCAAUUAAGUUGGAUAGGAGUAGAUUUCUCCUCCAUUAAUAUGAGUAGAGCAAAUAUCACUAUGGUACUUUGUGAUAAUAGAAAUUCAAACUGUGUCAUACUAGACUUAUCAAGAAUAGUUUUGAUAAAUUUUUUAUUGUAAAUAUUACUAAAAUUCUGAUGGCAAUAUGUUAACCUAUUAAAAAAAACCAAAAAAAUAAAAAGUAAAAAAUACUAUACCACCCUUAAACAUGCAUCAUGGAUUUUCUUUACUCAUGUCUAAUUGAAGAUUUAUCAUGACGCACUAUAUAAAGAGAUAAUUUUUUUCAUUUUUUUUUUUGUUGACAAAGUAAUCAAGGUUUUAUUCCAUCAAUAUAAGAAAGUACGAACAAUUUAAAAUAUUAAAUUUGAUUUUGAUUCCUCUCACCAGUUCAAUCUAAUCAUUGACAACAAAAUAGACCGGUCUGCAUCUCAAAUUUGAUUUUUAUUAAAACAUCAGUGAUUAAUGUACAAUUAAAAUAAUUAUUGAUUAUUAGCAAAGAUUGAGUAAAUUAAUUAAUGUUUAUGUUAAAUGAAAAUAAAUCAUUUUAUUGAUAAACAAUGAUAGUGACUUACUACAAUCCCAUGAUCCAAAUCACAAGCAAGAAGAAGCUCAAGCCAAUUAAACAAGUGAUAAUAGCAAGGCCUAAAGAAGGUACUAACAUUGCAUACGUUCCCGUAACGAAUGCAAUCACCAUUGCUCCCAUAGAAAAUAAGGUGAGCCAAAGGGAAGCACCAAACAGAGCCCCAUCGAAAUCUUUAGUUGCUUCAAUUUUAAGAGACAUCAAGAAGUGAGUAAAGACGGCAGAAAGAGAAAAGACCAUAGCAAUGGAAUCUGCUACUAUAAAUGCUUGAAAAGCUUUAUUUCUCCUCAGGAUUGCAGUUCCAUUUUCGCUUCUAUAACCGCCAGGAAUGGUGAAAGCUGCUGCGAAGGCUACCGUUGCUAUGAGUGCAGCCACUACCAAAUGUGAUUCUCUUGUAUCCUUGUAAUCAUCUUUGGUAUCAUCAUUUUGCCNNNNNNNNNNNNNNNNNNNNNNNNNNNNNNNNNNNNNNNNNNNNNNNNNNNNNNNNNNNNNNNNNNNNNNNNNNNNNNNNNNNNNNNNNNNNNNNNNNNNNNNNNNNNNNNNNNNNNNNNNNNNNNNNNNNNNNNNNNNNNNNNNNNNNNNNNNNNNNNNNNNNNNNNNNNNNNNNNNNNNNNNNNNNNNNNNNNNNNNNNNNNNNNNNNNNNNNNNNNNNNNNNNNNNNNNNNNNNNNNNNNNNNNNNNNNNNNNNNNNNNNNNNNNNNNNNNNNNNNNNNNNNNNNNNNNNNNNNNNNNNNNNNNNNNNNNNNNNNNNNNNNNNNNNNNNNNNNNNNNNNNNNNNNNNNNNNNNNNNNNNNNNNNNNNNNNNNNNNNNNNNNNNNNNNNNNNNNNNNNNNNNNNNNNNNNNNNNNNNNNNNNNNNNNNNNNNNNNNNNNNNNNNNNNNNNNNNNNNNNNNNNNNNNNNNNNNNNNNNNNNNNNNNNNNNNNNNNNNNNNNNNNNNNNNNNNNNNNNNNNNNNNNNNNNNNNNNNNNNNNNNNNNNNNNNNNNNNNNNNNNNNNNNNNNNNNNNNNNNNNNNNNNNNNNNNNNNNNNNNNNNNNNNNNNNNNNNNNNNNNNNNNNNNNNNNNNNNNNNNNNNNNNNNNNNNNNNNNNNNNNNNNNNNNNNNNNNNNNNNNNNNNNNNNNNNNNNNNNNNNNNNNNNNNNNNNNNNNNNNNNNNNNNNNNNNNNNNNNNNNNNNNNNNNNNNNNNNNNNNNNNNNNNNNNNNNNNNNNNNNNNNNNNNNNNNNNNNNNNNNAGAGUAGUUUAUUGUCUUAUGUUAAUAAGAGAAGAUAAAAGGGUUAGGUUAGAAGCCAUAAAAGUGAGUUAAUAUGAAAAAAAUAAAAAUUGAUGGGAUAUUCUCCCAUAAUCUAUUAAUGUAAGUUAUUAGGAAAAAACUAUUUAUUCCGACUUUAACCCCGAAUCCGCGUCCCGAAUAUUGCCAGAAACGGUGUGUUUGCUUUGCUUUUCCUUUUAAUUCCAGUUGUACGGUGCGUUUUGCUCUGGUUGCUUUCCUUUUAAUUCCAGCUGUGCAGCAUGUGAGCAUUCUCUUUGUCCUUCUUUUUGCGCCUGAACUACAACACUCCGCUCAGAACUUCCAAUCUGCAGACUACAAACUGCAAAACCCCAGAGCUUCCAAACUGCAAAAUGCCAUGGUCGUUUAAAAUGUGCAGACCUAACUACUCAAUUACGCAUGGUCUUUCCUCCCCCCGAGAAAGAGAAAUGUUAACUGCUGAAAAUUUGGAACAACAAUUUCUAGAGUUUCAAUUUCCCCCGCAAGCAUUAGUUUUGAUCUUAUUCUUCCUACAUUUAGUGAUUGUUUUUAAAAUCGUGAGCAGUUUGAUUUUAAAUUUAUAAAUCUUGAGCUAUUUCAUUUUAAUUUGUGAGCUAAAUCAUGAGCAUUUGUAAAUUUAUAUAUCAACAUCAAUUAGCUUUAAAUUUUCACAGGUAUAAAAUUGUAAAUUCUUUAGCUCAUUGCUAGAAGAAAUCUUAAUCUUUCAGGCAAACAACAGAAACUUAACAAGAGAUCCUCAAGAAAGUGUAAGUUCGAGAUAAGGUGAUAAAACUCUUCAUCAAUAAACUAUAUCGAAUUCAGCUUCACUUUUAAAAUGUGCAGACUUAACUACUCAAUUAGGCAUGGUCUUUCCUCCCCCCGGAAAGAGAAUUGUUAAUUGCUGAAAACUUAGAACAAUAAUUUCUAGAGUUUCAAUUUCCUCAACAAAUAAUCUAAUUCAUAUAACCUUGAGUUUGACAGCCCUUGAGACACACAAAUGCUUCAAGUCCCAACAAUCAUAACAAAACAAAUCUUCAAGCAAGGAGCAUUCACCAGUAAGCCAUCAGACCAUCUGAUCAUUUACACACAGUAUACACAGUAUUUUCACUUAUGACUUCAAAACCUAAAUCUUUUACCAUCUUCUCAAUGGCCAAUCCCAAUCCAUUCACCAGUCAUACGAGCUGAUACUUUAACAUCUAGAAGAGUCAGGAAUACUCUCAAUUUCGGCAAAAAAACCUUACGCUUGCAGAACUGAAGCAGGGAAUCGUCUACAUAUUCCAUAAAUUUUUCAUCUUCCUUUAUUGACCAACAAUUUCCACCAUUCAACCCACUUGACCCCCAACGAAGUAAUUCAUUUUGAAAUCCACAAUAAGAAUGGCAUAUGUAACUAAUUCCAUCUCUUUGUGAGUGUCGGCUAUCGCGUGACUGUUGGUGAUGGCAACGGAGAUCUCGAUCACGUGGCGGUGGUCCGUCGUCUGUGCCGGAUGAGUGUGUAUGAAAACAAAAACAAAAUCAGAAAUCCAAAUUGCCUAACUAAUUUGGUAGAUGGAUGUUUUCUGACCGAGUCUCCGUUUGUUCCCAUAAUGGCGGUGAGAAUCCGAUCGAGUCUCGAUGACAGCUCAUUGCUACGACUCGUGACUGUGUCCCUUGAGUCUUUAUUUGAAAAUCCAAAUGCCGACGACGACGGCUGCCUCCACGAACGGUUCUGAAAUCACACCGUGCGUUGAUGACGUGGCGGUGGCGAUUAACAACAGGAACUUCAACUCGGAGGAGAGGUUCAACGACUGUGAUUUUUUGCUGAAGCGGUCGUAUUUGUUCGGAUUCGAGCGGAGUCUUGCGUCGGAGAGGAUGGUGACGGAGGCGGUAACGGCGUCGCCAUGGAGGCACAAGAGGGGGAGUUUCUGGAGCAAACGGCUGUCUCUGUUUGGCUCAUUGACGAAGUCUAGAGCCUUCUGGAGCAAAGGAUUAUAUACGUCCUUUUUGUUUUCCUUUUACUGAGAUUGUAGCUAAAGCCGGUUACCCAUUUUCUAAGUGUUAAACCUCAGCCGUUGAUUACCUUUCUUUACGAUCUAAAGGGUCAUUUGCAAAAGGACAAAUGACUGGGGUACCAAACCUCUGACGCAAUGUAGCUGGACCCUAUUAAAAGAGAUAAAGAAAAAGUCAAUUGAUAAAACGGCAGUAAACACUACAUUGGAGUAUGUGUUUCUUCCUGUCUUUCACUUUAGUCAAGCUUUCUCAUUGGAAAGUUAUUCUAUAUUUCUAUGUCUAUUUGGCGAACCGGCAGCACUUCAUUCUAGACACAUAGAAGCAGGUGUCCUGUACCACCAACCCUGUGGCCAUCAGGAACACUGGAGUAGCAGUAGAGGAUAUUCGACAUUUCCCAGCCCCAGUCCUUCUUCCUAGAGACAAGCAUAUGCGGCCAGCAGCGGUUUAUUCUAACAUAGUGCUCCCUAAUCUUUCCUUCACCAACAACACUGGUAACUAUAGAGUAACAGCAUUCAUGCCCACCCCAUACCUUGUCACCAGGAUCUGCAGUUUGACUCCCAUCUUCAUGAAAGUAACGGUGCAUUAGAGGGCUAGUACCCUUCCAGUAGGGAUCGAGAUUAAGCCAAUACUCUGGUACCACCUGAAGGCAAAAUGGCAUUCAAAGGCAUUCAUCCGAUCAAUUGAUCAUUUCAGUUUCCAACAAAAUAGUAGAAAGCUGCACAGUAAAGUAAAGGACACACAACAAAUGCCUUGGAUGCAUGCUAAGAAAUGUUUGAAUAUAGGAUUACCAGGAUUAUCAUUUACUUGUGACCAGUCCAGGGAAUAGUUACAUGAGUGAGUGCCUGAAUUAUGAGCAAUGCCUUACAAAUAGGCAGAUUAUAAUUCAUGAGUUUCGUUCCUCAUGGUCCGAAAUUUCAUUACCAAGGCUACACAUGAUCAAACUUUUAAAGCGUCAAAACAUUAAUGUUUUAUAUGUUCACAUUUCAAACUCAUGCAAGUUCUAGUAAUUUUGGCAGCACAUCAAGGCCAGACUGAAAUCAAGAGGCGAGUCACCACUCACCAGACCUUACCAAUAAUUCAUAACGUAUAAGAAGCACUGUACUAAAUUACAUACCUCGUUAAAAUGAAACUCCCAAACAUGAUCACAAAGGUCUUCUUUCAUGAUACGAGUCUAAGAAAAUUUAAAAAAAAGAAUAGUUGGUGAUAGCUUGCUCAAACAUGCAUAUGGAGAGUGAGUGAUUCAAAAGAGAGACAGGAGAACAAAGGGAGAUUGAUCAGCACUCACGCGUUUUCCAUCCGUGACAGACAAUGAAUAUGCGGCCAGCUUUCAUAACCCCUGGACUACAGCUGAACGAGGUAUGUGCGCUUCCCCCAACCACAGUUCCUCGCACUAAAAUAGACAGGAAACUCAAGUGAAUUAUCUUUACUCAGUUACUCUUCAAAGUAGAAGCAUGACCCAUUAAGUUACCUGGAGAACUGAAAAAAAUAAAAAUAAAAAUAAAAGGUAGAUAUUCUCUUCCGGGUAGGUUUCAAAUCAAGCAGAGAAAAUAACUGAAGUUAAGUUAAAAAUAUAUUUAUCUUCACAAAUCAUGCAAUCAGAACGAAUAAGCAACUUAGGCCAUAAGGCAGUAAAAACGUGCAUUGGCAUUCACAGUUCAGUUUGGUUUUAUAUAAAAAUAUACCCCAAUCCUUUAAAUAAACCAAUAAUUUACCCAAGGUCUAGUUUCAAUCAUAAGAAAGAGCUUCCUAGGGCCCAGGAUUUUGAAAAAUAAAAUAUACCAACAAUAUACCUCAACUAAGUUACUUUACAUAGAUAUAUCCUUAAGGGGUGAACAAAGACAAAUAGAUACUAGACAAAAAAUAUUCAGCUUAAAUCAAGAAUACUCAGACGAAUUCAAGUUGGUCAAGAAAGCCAAGUCGAGUAGUAAAUUGAGUCAAAAAUAAGUUGAGUAUUCAUAUAAUGCUCCUGGCGGACAAGAAAUCCUGUAAGCUGGAUUUAGAUCCAGUACUGAGCUUGGCUGUGCUCAUCUCUUCAUAAUCAUCUACCACACAUGCAUGGAUAGCAAUUUUAGGUGAAGAUUUAAUUAAUUUUAUAUUCUUAUUGUUGAGAAGUCAAUAUUAGCCCAAAUAAGUCCACACCUAAAUUAAUUUGAUGUCAUUGCUUACAUCAAUUUAGUUAGGUGAAAAUUAGGUAUUUUUCCCAUGUUUAAUUUCAAUGGUUUAAAUUAGUUUGUGGUUAUUUUAAUGAGUGGUUUAGAUUGUUUCUUGUAAUCUAUAAAUACCUCAUUUGUAUUUGAGUUUUAUAAUUCAACAAUCAAAGCUUUAUUAUAAGCAUUUGAAAGUUUUCUUUAGAGUUCUUCUCUUUUGCAAUUUUGUGAGAUUAUUCUAAAGAGAGUUUUUCUUCUUCUUGAUCAAUUAGAGUUUUUACUCUAUUUUGAUUCAACACUUAUCUUUCUAAAAGAUUAACAAAAAUCUCAGCUCAGCGCUGAAUAAAAAUUCCUGUAAACUAGGAACAUAAAACUCAAUAAUGACAUGGAAAGCUUAUAUUCAAAUUCAAUUGUAUUCAUGAUAUGAUUAUUUCAAACAACCAACCAAAAAUACUUAAAACAAAAACCCAAUUGUGAAACUAAAAAAACCCAACUCUCAUAUUCUCCGAAGAAUGCACUAAAUUAAUUAAUUAAAUUUUUUAAAAAAGAAACAAACCUAAAUUCAGGUACGAGGCAAAAAGAUUGGGGAAAAAAAAGAAAGAAUAGGAAAGGAAAUGAACCUUGGGAGUCCAAAGCGUGUCGCUUGAAGCGACGCCGUUCCAAGCACGGGAUACAAGGAGAGUCAGUGCUACGCUGUGUGCUUUUAGGUUUUGAAGUAUCAUCAACAUUAUGUCUCUACCAAAAGCCUCCAGUGGGUCCUGCAAUAAUUCUUCAGUUUCUUCUUCUUCGAGUUUUUCUUUUCUUUCCUCUCGCUUUCUCUCCUUUAUCAGUUUCAUCUUCGUCUUCUUCUUCUUCGGUAAAACGACAUCGUUUUCCUGUUCUUCUCUUUCUCGCAGUUCCAUUCUGUGUGGUAGUAGACAGAGCAAGCGAAUCACCCGAAGCCGCGAAAACGAGGUAAUUGCAAUAAAUACGCUCCAAAUAACAUGAAAAUAUAAAAAUAUGUUAAAGCUAAAAUGCCCAUAUUUAAUUUUAAAAAAAAUUAUUUAUUGUAUGUAGAAAAAUACUGUUCGACAAAUUUACUAUUUUUUAAAUAUAAUAAAUUUUACGUGGCUCAAACUCAUUCUCUCGUAGAUAUUAUUGAACUACAGGCCUGUAGGUUAAAAAACUAGUACUUUUUGACUUAUUAUUUUACUCGAUUUUAUCGAUUAUCACUUGAUUUAUUAUUCAACUUUGUUAGUUUAUAAUGGUCCGAUAAUGCAUUCUUGCCACGCCGAGCUCCAAAACAAAAUCAUCCUUCAAUUCAAGGAUGAAAAUCGGGCGUUUGGGCUCUGACUCAAAUAUGUGGCAAGAUGCUGAGUGAUUGCUUGGAAAAACAGCAAGUCGAUGACUUUGUUGUUUAUAGAGUCUGAAACGUAGCAAAUGGGGAGCAUCCACGCGUUGCAGGAGAGAGGAAAAGUUAGCUGAUACAAGAUCAAUUUGUACUGAGCUGUUACAUACAGUCUGUAACGUAGCUUGUCUGCUCCAAAUAACAUCAAAAUAUUAAAAAGUACGUUAAUACUAUAAUGCCCCUAUUUAAUUUUUAUAAAAAACUGUUUACAAUAACCAAAAAAUAUACUAUCUGAAAUUUGAAAAAUUCUAUGAUACUAUGAUUAAAAUUACGGCAUUAUUAUCAUGAUAAAUAUAAGUUUUGUAAAUUACAUAUAAAAUUAUUAAAUAAAAGAUAAAAUUAGUAUAUUAAUAUAUGAGUGGUAAAUUAGUGUUUUCAAAUUACAAACAAAACAAACACUUAUAAAAUAACAUAAAACUUUGAAAUCAAUAUUAAUCUUUCAUUAAAUAAAAUUAGCUUAUUUAUUUAAUUUAAUUAAAUAAAGAACAAAGUGAGUCAUCAAUUAAAAAAAUUGUAUUGAAAGCAAUUAGAAUAAGUUUUAUUGAAUUGAUUUAACUAUAAAUUCUAUAUUCAUUCUAUGACAUUCAUUAUUUUUUUUUUCAUUUUUUAUCAUAGUAUUGUUUACUACAGAGGUUAAUUAAACAAAUUAUUUUUCUUGAAUGCAUUAAGUCAAAACAAAAUAAAAAGAUAUUAUGAUAUUACUAGAUAUAUAUAAUAUAUCAAUAAAAUUGUAUCUAAUUUUAUGUUUUAUAUAUAUUUUAUGUAAUUUUAAACUUUGCUUCUUACUUGUAUUUAAAGAUCAUUUGUGGUUGCUAUCAAGAAGAUUUAAAAUGAUGAAAAAUCACCUUAUCCUACGAGCAACUUUGAAAAAUAUGAAAAAGAAUAGUUUUUCAAAAUCCAAUUUUAAAAAUAAGUUUUAUCCUUAAUAAAAUUUCACUUAUAUCAUCAUAUGUAUUACAUAAACCCAAAACUAUCAUUAUUCCAUUUAGAAAAAAUAAAUCAAUAAAAAGUAAUCAUUAUUAUAAUGAGGUUGUAUAUUACAUUUUUAAAUUUUUUUAAUAAUUCUUAUUGGGGUUUGGAUAAAUCUCAUGGUUUGAAAAACCAGCCUUUAGGAAAAAUCUUUAAAAUUGCUUGAAAUGGAUCAGUAUGAUAAAAUCCGUCUUCUAUGGAUAAAAUAUUUUGGAAAUGGGUUUUAUUAAACCAAUCCGAAGUUUUCUUUGUAAGCUUUGUUUGUGAAAGAACAAUCUGAGAAGAUGAACUUUCACCAGAAAGAAUCACAUUUUGUGAAAAAGCUUUAGAAAUUUCUUUAGAAAUGGAAUUUUCUUCUUUAGGAGAAAUUUGACUUUGAGAAAAGCUUUGUAAGGCAAACAUAAGCUCAGGGGAUUUAGAAAUGGAUUUCAUGCAUUCAUUUACCUGCUCUUGGGAGCCAAGUGCUUUAGAUUGGGCUUCUUGAGCAGCUUGUUCUUCUAUUGUGUCAAUCCAAGACUUAAUUGGCAUAGCAGAAGAAAGUAAUUUUUCUUUAGGUGGAGAAGAUUGGGAGGCUUUAGAUGGUGUUUGGGACACGGGUCUGUAAGGAUCCCUUUCACUUUAUCUCUUCUUUUGGGCGGCAUUAUCUGUUUUGAAGAAAUUCCCUGGUUAGAAAAUCAGGGAGAGAAUUUGUAUCGCCUUUAAUAAACACAAUCUCAAAAUCAAAAAUAUUUAAAAUAGCUUGCCAACGUGCAAAAAUCUGUUUUGAUGUAAUGUUCUGUACAUCUUUUUCCAAAAUAUGUUUUGCAGCCUUGCAGUCAAUUUUAAGCAAAAAUUUUUUAUUUAAUAAAUCGCUUUGAAAUUUGGAAAUGCAUAGGACAAUUGAUAAAAUUUCUUUUUUAAUAGUAGAAUAGUUUUGCUGGCAUUCAUUCCAAUGUGCAUAAAUAUAUUGUACUAUUUGUUCUUUGUUACUGUCGACUUGCUUUAAUAUCCCACCAUAGCCUAAAUUGGAUGCAUCAGUUCAACAAUCUUAGGUAAUGCAGGAUUUGUAAGAAAUAAACAUGGAAUAUUUUUAACUGUGUUCUUUAUUUGUUUAACAAUUUUAGUAUGUUCUUCCGACCAUGCAACAAGGUUUUUCUUUGACCUAUCAUGCAGUGGCUUGACAAUCCUAUUGAUGUUAGGACAGAAAUCAAGAACAUAAUUUAGACUACCCAAAAAUCUCUGCAAUUGGGUUUUAUCAAGGAUUUUAUCAGGAAACUUGUCAGUAAAAGCAAGGGACCUUUCAAUGGGAGUAAUGGUUCCUUUUGAGAUGUAGUGACCAAGAAACCUGACUUUAGUUUGGAAUAAAGAAACUUUAGAACUAGAAAUGGCUAGGCCAGCUUUUCUAGUUGCCAAAUAAAAAGUCUUUAAAUGUUUGAAAUGUUGCUCAAUUGAUUGAGAAAAAAUCAGCACAUCAUCGAUAUAAACAAUGCAAAAUUCAAAAAAAGAAUUAUAAAUAUCAUUCAUAAUUCUUUGAAAUUCUGAGAGUGCAUUUUUCAAUAUUAUCAAUAAAAUUGUAUCUAAUUUUAUGUUUUAUAUAUAUUUUAUGUAAUUUUAAAAUUUGCUUCUUACUUGUAUUUAAAGAUCAUUUGUGGUUGUUAUCAAGAAUAUUUAAAAUGAUGAAAAAUCACCUUAUCCUACGAGCAACUGUCCAAAUGGAACAGUGAAAGCAUUUUUGUAACGAUCUUUAGGAUGAAUUUGGAUUUGCCAAAAAUCAGAUUUCAUAUCAAAUUUGGAAAAUAUGAAUGCAGAAUGUAGUUUUUGAAGCAAAUCUUUUUUAUUAGGUAUAGGAUACCUAAUCCAUUUUAAUGCUUUAUUAAGAGGUUUAUAAUUUAUCACCAAUCUAGGGGUUCCUUUUUCUAUUUCGGAAUUUUUAUUGACAUAGAAAGCGGCACAAGACCAAGGAGACCUAGAUUUGACAAUGAGUCCUUUAGAUUCUAAAUCUUUGAUUUCUUGUUGACAAUGUUUUUCUAGAUCCAUAUUCAUUUGAAUAGGAUGGGCUUUUAUAGGGAUUUGUCUUUCAUCAAAUCCUUCUGUAAACAAGCUAAAUCAGUUUGUUUUGUUUUGAGCAAAAUAUUUAUUUGGUUCUGGUAAAUAGAAUAGGCUUUAACAAUAUUCAAAUUCUUUGUUUUAAGUUUUUCAAUAAAAGGAAAAAUUAAUUUUUUCUUUUUUGCUUUAAAAGAUAUACUAUCGUAAUUGACAGUAUAGGGAGUAAUGAGGUUUAUGAAAGGAGUUCCUAGAAUAACAGCAUAAUGAAUAUCAUUUGUUAGAAGAAAGGAAGUCCUAAAUUCAAAACCAUCGUUAUGAAUUGAGGCAUCAACUUUGGAUUUGAUGUUCAACUUUGAAUUGUUUGCUGCAGAAAGCCUUUCAUUAGUCUUUUCAUGGAAUUUCUUUGGAACAAUAUCUGCUUUGAUACAGUUUAAAUCAGCACCAGUGUCAAAGAGAGCAAUGGUGUCAAUUUCGAAAUCUUUAGAAAAUUUUAAAGUGAUUUUAAUCAAAUAUUUUCUAGUGGUGAUUUAUUUUAAAACAAAAAGAAAAUCAUUAGGGAUUGAUUCGAUGUUUUCAAGUUGUUGUCCAUUUUCCUCACCAGAGUUUGAUUCUUGAUCAGAAUUGUCUUCGAGUUGUUUUUGUAACAAAAGCUGGAUAGUUUCUGAGUCAUUUUUCUAUUUUUCUUUUAAUUCUUUGAUUUCAAGUUUAAUUUACUUAAUUUCCUUUUAGAGAUCUUGGAUGUUUGGAGUGGCUUUCUUUGUUUUCUGUUUAUCCAAAAUUUCCGUAAGAUCAUAAGCAUUCUUUUUAAUGAUUGGAGUUUUAGAGGUUUCUGGUUUGUCUUUUAAUUCUAGAGUCUUUAAAAGUUUGUCAAGGUAUUCCUUUUGAAGGAUAGGGUCUGAAAUAUGUUUUACAAGUUCAAGAAAAGUUUCUUGUUCUUUGGUCAAAACAUUAAUCUUCUUUAAAAAGGUUUCUGAAUCAGAAUCACUUAAUACAGAUGUUUCUGAGUCAAUCAACUCAUCGACUUGUAAAGGAUCACUGUCUCCUGUCAAGGAGAAAUUUGAAUUAGAGUUAGAAGACUCAACAAGCAAAUGAGUUAUUUUGGAAAGGACGUCUUCAUCAAGAUUAAUCCAAAAACCUAAUGAUAUAGAGAAGAAUUUAGAUAGCAUUAUCCAACAGAAUAAUUUCUGCAAUGCUAAUCUAAAUACAAUCGAAAAAUAGUUGACCCGAAUAGAUAGUCAAUUCCAGAAGUCAAUCGUUAUUGUCCCUUCUACUACUCCAUCAAAGUCUGACUCCUUGAAAAAGCUUAAAGAACCUAUUUUCAAACCUUUUCAGGUUUCGAAACUUAGCCAAAAGCUUGUUCAAGAAUCCAAAUCAGAUUUUGCUAAAUCUAUUAAAGAGCAACUUGAUCGUAUAGAAGCAUCUUCUUUUGCUUCUACUUCUAAAGUCCAAAUUGCUCCUGAUAGUGCCCAAUCUAGCAAGAUUGGUGUACUAGAACAAGAUUAAUCUUCUAUAACCUCUUCUGACAUAGAAGCCUUCAAAGAUGAGUCUAUCCCUAAAGUUAAUAAAAUCCAUUGGGAACUUGCUCUCCCAACUAUAAGCUCUCCUCCAGAUCUUGCCAUCGAUAAUAGACCAAGUGCAUUAAACCAAUCUCGUUUCAAUGCAUCCUCUGUCUAUGAAUGGAAUAUUGAUGGUAUGUCUGAAUAUAAUGUCUUAGGAUUACUGCAACAGAUGACCAUGGCAGCCAAUACAUAUAAAACUCAACAAGGAACCUCUGACAAAGCCAUUGCAGAGAUUCUUAUUUCUGGUUUUACUGGUCAACUUAAAGGAUGGUGGGAUCAUCUUUUCACAAAACAGCAACAACUCGACAUUCUAAAUUCAAUCCAAACUGAAGAGGAUGGAACACCCAUCCUUGAUGAAAUCAAUAGCCCAAUUCAGGAUGUUGUUGCUACCCUGAUUCUUACCAUAUCUCUUCAUUUCAUAGGUGAUCAUUCUCUCCUAAGAGAUAAAAACGCUGAGUUACUAUAUAAUUUGAGAUGUAGGAAACUUAGUGAAUUCCAGAAUUAUAAAACCACUUUCUUUACUAGACUUUUCUUAAGGGAUGAUGCAAAUCAUAUAACUGGGAAGGAAAAAUUUCUUGCAUGUUUACCUACUCUCUUAGGAGAAAAGUCAGAAACUCCAUUAAAGCUCUUCAUGACAACCGCAUUUCUUAUGACGAACUCACCUAUGGUGAACUAGUCAGUUUUGUCAAUAAAGAAGGUUUAAAAAUCUGUCAAGAUUUGAAAUUACAGAAGCGUCUAAAAUGGGAGCUUAGGAAGUCUAAGCAAGAAUUAUGCAGUUUCUGUAAACAAUUCAAUUAUGACCCCUUUAAAACUUCCACUUCAAAAGACUGUCAUGGUAAGUGUUCCUCCAGACCUUACAAAAAACAUUACAAGUCUAAAACUCUUAGAAAGCCCUUACCAGAUUUUAGAGAACCUUUUUAUAAGAAGUCCUCGAGACCUUAUAAAAAGUCUCAUUUCUCUAAAAGAAAGGAUUUAAAACUAAACCCUCUUCCUUUUCUAAUCCAAAAACCUCUUUCAAUUAUAAAGAAGCUGCAUGUUUUAAAUGUGGCAAGAAAGGACACACUACAAAAUACUGCAGGAUAAAUAGGAGACUUCAAGAGAUUAAUCUUGAUGAAGAAGUCCUUUCCAAAAUAACUCCUUUGCUUGUUGAGUCUUCUAACUCUAAUUCAAAUUUCUCCUUGACAGGAGACAGUGAUCCUUUACAAGUCGAUGAGUUGAUUGACUCAGAAACAUCUGUAUCAAGUGAUUCUGAUUCAGAAACCUUUUUAAAGAAGAUUAAUGUUUUGACCAAAGAACAAGAAACUUUUCUUGAACUUGUAAAACAUACUUCAGACCCUAUCCUUCAAAAGGAAUACCUUGACAAACUUUUAAAGACUCUAGAAUUAAAAGACAAACCAGAAACCUCUAAAACUCCAAUCAUUAAAAAGAAUGCUUAUGAUCUUACGGAAAUUUUGGAUAAACAGAAAACAAAGAAAGCCACUCCAAACAUCCAAGAUCUCUAAAAGGAAAUUAAGUAAAUUAAACUUGAAAUCAAAGAAUUAAAAGACAAACAGAAAAAUAACUCAGAAACUAUCUAGCUUUUGUUACAAAAACAACUGGAAGACAAUUCUGAUCAAGAAUCAAACUCUGGUGAGGAAAAUGGACAACAACUUGAAAACAUCGAAUCAAUCCCCAAUGAUUUUCUUUUUGUUUUAAAACAAAUCACCACUAGAAAAUAUUUGAUUAAAAUCACUUUAAAAUUUUCUAAAGAUUUCGAAAUUGACACCAUUGCUCUCUUUGACACUGGUGCUGAUUUAAACUGUAUCAAAACAGAUAUUGUUCCAAAGAAAUUCCAUGAAAAGACUAAUGAAAGGCUUUCUGCAGCAAACAAUUCAAAGUUGAACAUCAAAUCCAAAGUUGAUGCCUCAAUUCAUAACGAUGGUUUUGAAUUUAGGACUUCCUUUCUUCUAACAAAUGAUAUUCAUUAUGCUGUUAUUCUAGGAACUCCUUUCAUAAACCUCAUUACUCCCUAUACUGUCAAUUACGAUAGUAUAUCUUUUAAAGCAAAAAAGAAAAAAUUAAUUUUUCCUUUUAUUGAAAAACCUAAAACUAGGAAUUUGAAUAUUGUUAAAGCCUGUUCUGUGUACCAGAACCAAAUAAAUGUUUUGCUCAAAACAAAACAAACUGAUUUAGCUUGUUUAUAGAAGGAUUUGAGUUUACACAGAAUUGAAAACCAAUUAAAGAAUGAGUUCAUACAAAGAAAAAUUUCUGAUUUCAAAAAUCUUAUUGAGAAAGAAAUAUGUGCUAAUUUACCAAGUGCUUUUUGGAACCGAAAACAACAUUUGGUUGAUUUGCCUUAUGAAAAUUCUUUUGAUGAAAGAAAAAUCCCUACAAAAGCCCGUCCUAUUCAAAUGAAUAUGGAUCUAGAAAAACAUUGUCAACAAGAAAUCAAAGAUUUAGAAUCUAAAGGACUCAUUGUCAAAUCUAGGUCUCCUUGGUCUUGUGCCGCUUUCUAUGUCAAUAAAAAUUCUGAAAUAGAAAGAGGAACCCUAAGAUUGGUGAUAAAUUAUAAACCUCUUAAUAAAGCAUUAAAAUGGAUUAGGUAUCUUAUACCUAAUAAAAAAGAUUUGCUUCAAAAACUAAAUUCUACAUUCAUAUUUUCCAAAUUUGAUAUGAAAUCUGGUUUUUGGCAAAUCCAAAUUCAUCCUAAAGAUCGUUACAAAACUGCUUUCACUGUUACAUUUGGACAAUACGAAUGGACAGUAAUGCCUUUUGGUUUGAAAAAUGCACCCUCCGAAUUUCAAAGAAUUAUGAAUGAUAUUUAUAAUCCUUUUUCUGAAUUUUGCAUUGUUUAUAUCGAUGAUGUGCUGAUUUUUUCUCAAUCAAUUGAGCAACAUUUCAAACAUUUAAAGACUUUUUAUUUGGCAACUAGAAAAGCUGGCCUAGCCAUUUCUAGUUCUAAAGUUUCUUUAUUCCAAACUAAAGUCAGGUUUCUUGGUCACUACAUCUCAAAAGGACCCAUUACUCCCAUUGAAAGGUCUAUUGCUUUUAUUGACAAGUUUCCUGAUAAAAUCCUUGAUGAAACUCAAUUGUAGAGUUUUUGAGUAGUCUAAAUUAUGUUCUUGAUUUCUAUCCUAACAUCAAUAGGAUUGCCAAGCCACUGCAUGAUAGGUUAAAGAAAAACCUUGUUGCAUGGUUAGAAGAACAUACUAAAAUUGUUAAACAAAUAAAGAACACAGUUAAAAACAUUCCAUGUUUAUUUCUUGCAAAUCCUGCAUUACCUAAGAUUGUUGAAACUGAUGCAUCCAAUUUAGGUUAUGGUGGGAUAUUAAAGCAAGUCGACAAUAACAAAGAACAAAUAGUACAAUAUAUUUCUGCACAUUGGAAUGAAUGCCAGCAAAACUAUUCUACUAUUAAAAAAGAUAUUUUAUCAAUUGUCCUAUGCAUUUCCAAAUUUCAAAGCGAUUUAUUAAAUCAAAAAUUUUUGCUUAGAAUUGACUGCAAGGCUGCAAAACAUGUUUUGGAAAAAGAUGGAUAGAACAUUGCAUCAAAACAGAUUUUUGCAUGUUAGCAAGCUAUUUUAAGUAUUUUUGAUUUUGAGAUUGUGUUUAUUAAAGGCGAUACAAAUUCUCUCCCUGAUUUUCUAACCAGGGAAUUUUUUCAAACCAGAUAAAGCCGCCCAAAAGAAGAGAGAAAGGGAAAAGGAUCCUCACAAACCCUGUGUCCCAAACACCAUCUAAAGCCUCCCAAUCUUCUCCACCUAAAGAAAAAUUACUUUCUUCUGCUAUGCCAAUUAAGUCUUGGAUUGACACAAUAGAAGAACAAGCUGCUCAAGAAGCCCAGUCUAAAGCACUUGCCUCCCAGGAGCAGGUAAAUGAUUGGAUGAAAUCCAUUUCUAAAUCCUCUGAGCUUAUACUUGCCUUACAAAGCUUUUCUCAAAGUCAGAUUUCUCCUAAAGAAGAAAAAUCCAUUUCUAAAGAAAUUUCUAAAGAUUCUUCACAAAAUGUGAUUCUUUCUGGUGAAAGUUCAUCUUCUCAAAUUGUUCUUUCACAAACAAAGCUUACAAAGAAAACUUCGGAUUGGUUUAAUAAAACUCAUUUCCAAAAUAUUUUAUCCAUGGAAAAUGAAUUUUAUCAUACUGAUCCAUUUCAAGUAAUUUUAAAGAUUUUCCCCAAAGGCUGGUUUUUCAAACCAUGGGAUUUAUCCAAACCCCAACCUUAUUAUCAAAGCAUUUUGGAAUUCACUGAAUCAGUAAAAUUCAAACAUUUCUUUCUCAGUGAGUCCCAUUCUGAGCCUGCCUAUUCUACGGCAACCAUUAUAAAAGUUUUGAGCCCAAAACAAUGGGGUGAUCUACUCCACAAAUCUAAAGCUUUUCCUCUAAAUUUUCAAAACAAUAUGAACCAUAGCCUAUCUUUCUCCUAUUGGGAUUACCAACAGGCUUGGUUUAAUACCUUUUUCAUACAAAACCCCAAAAAGACCCAUUCAUGGUUAUUUUUCUUCAAUUCUAAAAUAACUGUGCAAAGCCUACCAAAUUGGUUUCAACAGUGGUAGAAUUAUUUCGGGCCAUGCCCAGACAUUCUCACUUCAAAUGCCAUUCACUGUUUAAAUCUCUUCAAAGCCCAUUAUGUCCCUUCAGAAUUCGAGAAAAGGUUUCCUCCCUUUCUCUGUUUUUGUACAAAUUUCUUUCUUCCCUGGGUUUGGAUGUGGAACUUUCGAUAUCACACCCAAGAAGCCCAACUCAUCCUACAAAGAACUUUCAAAGUAAAAUGGUGGUCCAAAUUUGACGAACAGUCAAAAUUGACUGAAGCCAUCAUCCAAAAAUGGCUUUCCUCAAAAGGCCUUCUAACCCCAAGUAUUAAAGAAGUUAAAGCCCAAGGAACUUUCUUAACUAAAAAAUCUAAAGCCCAAUCUCUUUUGGCCAAUGCCAAAACAAAAGACGAGUAUUUUAAAGUCAUGCAACAGCUCCUCGCGUCCAGAUCAGAGCCUUAUGUCGCCAGCUCAUCUGAUCAUGACAGUGCCGAGCCUUUCAUUUCCCUUGGAGACGACAAUGAAGAUGACCGCUUCGGAAUCUUCCCUCCAAUAAAGCAUUAAAGCUUGUGAAAAAAAAAAGAAAAAAAAAGUCAUUUUGUUGUCAUUUCUCUGUAAUUUAUAAAUUUGUUCUAAUUACUCUGUAAUUUAUAUUUUGUAAAUUUGUUGUAAUCCUCUGUAAUUCUUAUUUACUCCUUGUAUUUUCUUUAAAGCCUUUAUUACCUCGUUCAAAAGUCAACAAAAGAAUCCUACCAGCAACUGAUCACCAUAUCUUUUGAAAACGUCUUUCGAGACACAAGUGUAGCCGCACAUGUGCCAUGUUUUCAAAAGGUAUAUCUAUUGCCCCUUAAAGCAUCCGCUCCUCGUGAUGACCUUUUGCAAAAGUCCAAGGACCCACUCACGUGAAGCAUCUUCAAAAGCAAUUUAUGCUGUCUCCGCAUGUAAAGCUAUAGAAAAAAGUGAGAGAAAAAGCCAUCCGCAUGUGAAGACCAAUUAUCGAUUUUCUUUUGUAAAGCAAUCUUGUAUAAAAGAGUGAAUGAAGACUAAGACUCAUCACUUUUUUCUUUUCCAUUCGAAGAAUUCUAUUAGCUCUCUCUCUCAAAAGGAAAAGAUGAACUGAAGACAUAGAGGAAAAAUUUCCUGUCUUCUGAUUUUCCUUUCUUCUUUUGUAAAACAUCUUCCCGUUUGUAAAGCCUUCGGAUCGAAAAAUCUCAUGUAAGCAUUCGAUAAUAUUUAUUUUAAAGAAUUUGUAAUUUAAUUUGUAGUUCAAUUUAAAGUUUCCAUUUUUAAAUUUUGUAUUUCAAAGCAUGCUCUGCAGGCUGAUCUUCUAUAUCAGAAUCCUACCAUAAAAACUGCUACGUUCUCCUCUAAGGCAUAGAGAGCGGAUCUUUGCCCUUAGUUGUAUUUGCUCUUCUCCCUCCAUUCAAUCAGAGUGCUAUUUCUGGGAUCCAUAUCUAGUACUAUCUAUGAGCCCCUGUAUGCUUGUUGGUAUAUCUAUAUUGAUCUGUUCUAAGUCAGAUCUGGUUCCAAAGGCAGAUUAAGUUCUGCAUUGAUCUGGUAGAACAACGCCACGUACCAACAGAUCUGUUUGUUUUUAAUUUGGAUUUAAUUUUAAACACGACACACACUCCACGAUCGCUGGGUCAUUCUUUUCUAAGUCAGAUCUGGUUACAAAGGCAGAUUAAGUUCUGCAUCGAUCUGGUAGAACAACGCCACGUACCAACAGAUCUGUUUGUUUUUAAUUUGGAUUUAAUUUUAAACACGACACACACUCCACGAUCGCUGGGUCAUUCUUUUCUAAGUCAGAUCUGGUUACAAAGGCAGAUUAAGUUCUGCAUCGAUCUGGUAGAACAACGCCACGUACCAACAGAUCUGUUUGUUUUUAAUUUGGAUUUAAUUUUAAACACGACACACACUCCACGAUCGCUGGGUCAUUCUUUUCUAAGUCAGAUCUGGUUACAAAGGCAGAUUAAGUUCUGCAUCGAUCUGGUAGAACAACGCCACGUACCAACAGAUCUGUUUGUUUUUAAUUUGGAUUUAAUUUUAAACACGACACACACUCCACGAUCGCUGGGUCAUUCUUUUCUAAGUCAGAUCUGGUUACAAAGGCAGAUUAAGUUCUGCAUCGAUCUGGUAGAACAACGCCACGUACCAACAGAUCUGUUUGUUUUUAAUUUGGAUUUAAUUUUAAACACGACACACACUCCACGAUCGCUGGGUCAUUCUUUUCUAAGUCAGAUCUGGUUACAAAGGCAGAUUAAGUUCUGCAUCGAUCUGGUAGAACAACGCCACGUACCAACAGAUCUGUUUGUUUUUAAUUUGGAUUUAAUUUUAAACACGACACACACUCCACGAUCGCUGGGUCAUUCUUUUCUAAGUCAGAUCUGGUUACAAAGGCAGAUUAAGUUCUGCAUCGAUCUGGUAGAACAACGCCACGUACCAACAGAUCUGUUUGUUUUUAAUUUGGAUUUAAUUUUAAACACGACACACACUCCACGAUCGCUGGGUCAUUCUUUUCUAAGUCAGAUCUGGUUACAAAGGCAGAUUAAGUUCUGCAUCGAUCUGGUAGAACAACGCCACGUACCAACAGAUCUGUUUGUUUUUAAUUUGGAUUUAAUUUUAAACACGACACACACUCCACGAUCGCUGGGUCAUUCUUUUCUAAGUCAGAUCUGGUUACAAAGGCAGAUUAAGUUCUGCAUCGAUCUGGUAGAACAACGCCACGUACCAACAGAUCUGUUUGUUUUUAAUUUGGAUUUAAUUUUAAACACGACACACACUCCACGAUCGCUGGGUCAUUCUUUUCUAAGUCAGAUCUGGUUACAAAGGCAGAUUAAGUUCUGCAUCGAUCUGGUAGAACAACGCCACGUACCAACAGAUCUGUUUGUUUUUAAUUUGGAUUUAAUUUUAAACACGACACACACUCCACGAUCGCUGGGUCAUUCUUUUCUAAGUCAGAUCUGGUUACAAAGGCAGAUUAAGUUCUGCAUCGAUCUGGUAGAACAACGCCACGUACCAACAGAUCUGUUUGUUUUUAAUUUGGAUUUAAUUUUAAACACGACACACACUCCACGAUCGCUGGGUCAUUCUUUUCUAAGUCAGAUCUGGUUACAAAGGCAGAUUAAGUUCUGCAUCGAUCUGGUAGAACAACGCCACGUACCAACAGAUCUGUUUUUGUUGACAAUAUUUUUCUAGAUCCAUAUUCAUUUGAAUAGGAUGGCUUUUGUAGGGAUUUGUCUUUCAUCAAAAGAAUUUUCAUAAGGCAGAUCAACCAAAUGUUUGAUCUGGUAGAACAACGCCACGUACCAACAGAUCUGUUUGUUUUUAAUUUGGAUUUAAUUUUAAACACGACACACACUCCACGAUCGCUGGGUCAUUCUUUUCUAAGUCAGAUCUGGUUACAAAGGCAGAUUAAGUUCUGCACCGGUUCCAAAAAUCACUUGGUAAAUCAGCACAUAUUUCUUUCUCAAUAAGAUUUUUGAAAUCGGAAAUUUUUCUUUGUAUGAACUCAUUCUUUAAUUGGUUUUCAAUUCUGUGUAAACUCAAAUCCUUCUGUAAACAAGCUAAAUCAGUUUGUUUUGUUUUGAGCAAAACAUUUAUUUGGUUCUGGUAAAUAGAACAGGCUUUAACAAUAUUCAAAUUCCUAGUUUUAGGUUUUUCAAUAAAAGGAAAAAUUAAUUUUUUCUUUUUUGCUUUAAAAGAUAUACUAUCAUAAUUGACAGUAUAAGGAGUAAUGAGGUUUAUGAAAGGCGUCCCUAGAAUAACAGCAUGCUGCUGUACCGUACAUCCGCCUUGGCCGUACAGCAGUCUUCUUUGAUACAGUUUAAAUCAGCACCAGUGUCAAAGAAAGCAAUGGUGUCAAUUUCGAAAUCUUUAGAAAAUUUUAAAGUGAUUUUAAUCAAAUAUUUUCUAGUGGUGAUUUAUUUUAAAACAAAAAGAAAAUCAUUAGGGAUUGAUUCGAUGUUUUCAAGUUGUUGUCCAUUUUCCUCACCAGAGUUUGAUUCUUGAUCAGAAUUGUCUUCGAGUUGUUUUUGUAACAAAAGCUGGAUAGUUUCUGAGUCAUUUUUCUAUUUUUCUUUUAAUUCUUUGAUUUCAAGUUUAAUUUACUUAAUUUCCUUUUAGAGAUCUUGGAUGUUUGGAGUGGCUUUCUUUGUUUUCUGUUUAUCCAAAAUUUCCGUAAGAUCAUAAGCAUUCUUUUUAAUGAUUGGAGUUUUAGAGGUUUCUGGUUUGUCUUUUAAUUCUAGAGUCUUUAAAAGUUUGUCAAGGUAUUCCUUUUGAAGGAUAGGGUCUGAAAUAUGUUUUACAAGUUCAAGAAAAGUUUCUUGUUCUUUGGUCAAAACAUUAAUCUUCUUUAAAAAGGUUUCUGAAUCAGAAUCACUUAAUACAGAUGUUUCUGAGUCAAUCAACUCAUCGACUUGUAAAGGAUCACUAUCUCCUAUCAAGGAGAAAUUUGAAUUAGAGUCAGAAGACUCAACAAGCAAAGGAGUUAUUUUGGAAAGGACUUCUUCAUCAAGAUUAAUCUCUUGAAGUCUCCUAUUUAUCCUGCAGUAUUUUACAGUGUGUCCUUUCUUGCCACAUUUAAAACAUGUAGCUUCUUUAUAAUUGAAAGAGGUUUUUGGAUUAGAAGAGGAAGAGGGUUUAGUUUUAAAAUCCUUUCUUUUAGAGAAAUGAGACUUUUUAUAAGGUCUCGAGGACUUCUUAUAAAAAGGUUAUCUAAAAUCUGAUAAGGGCUUUCUAAGAGUUUUAGACUUUAAAUGUUUUUUGUAAGGUCUGGAGGAACACUUACCAUUACAGUCUUUUGAAGUGGAAGACUAAACAUCAAAUCCAAAGUUGGUACAGAUCUGUUGGUACGCGGCGUUGUUCUACCAGAUCGAUGUAGAACUUAAUAUGCCUUUGGAACCAGAUCUGACUCAGAACAGAUCAAUAUCCCGCACGUUCUGGUUUCCAGCCUAUAUACCAACAAGCAUACAGGGGCUCAUGGAUAGUACUAGAUCUGGAUCCCAGAAAUAACACUCUGAUUGAAUGGAGGGAGAAGAGAAAUGGUGGUCCAAAUUCCCAAUUGUAAGGAAGAUCUGGUUCUAAGUCAGAUCUGGUUCCAAAGGCAGAUUAAGUUCUGCAUCGAUCUAGUAGAACAACGCCAUGUACCAACAGAUCUAUACCAACUUUGGAUUUGAUGUUUAGUCUUCCACUUCAAAAGACUGUAAUGGUAAGUGUUCCUCCAGACCUUACAAAAAACAUUUAAAGUCUAAAACUCUUAGAAAGCCCUUAUCAGAUUUUAGAUAACCUUUUUAUAAGAAGUCCUCGAGACCUUAUAAAAAGUCUCAUUUCUCUAAAAGAAAGGAUUUUAAAACUAAACCCUCUUCCUCUUCUAAUCCAAAAACCUCUUUCAAUUAUAAAGAAGCUACAUGUUUUAAAUGUGGCAAGAAAGGACACACUGUAAAAUACUGCAGGAUAAAUAGGAGACUUCAAGAGAUUAAUCUUGAUGAAGAAGUCCUUUCCAAAAUAACUCCUUUGCUUGUUGAGUCUUCUGACUCUAAUUCAAAUUUACAAAAUAUAAAUUACAGAGAAAUUAGAACAAAUUUAUAAAUUGCAGAGAAAUUACAACAAAAUGACUCUUUUUUUUCUUUUUUUUUCAUAAGCUUUAAUGCUUUAUUGGAGGGAAGAUUCCGAAGCAGUCAUCUUCGUUGUCGUCUCCAAGGGAAAUGAAAGGCUCGGCACUGUCAUGAUCAGAUGAGCUGGCGACAGAAGGCUCUGAUCUGGACACGAGGAGCUGUUGCAUGACUUUAAAAUACUCGUCUUCUGUUUUGGCAUUGGCCAAAAGAGAUUGGGCUUUGGAUUUUUGAGUUAAGAAAGUUCCUUGGGCUUUAACUUCUUUAAUACUUGGGGUUAGAAGGCCUUUUGAGGAAAGCCAUUUUUGGACGAUGGCUUCAGUCAAUUUUGACUAUUCGUCAAAUUUGGACCACCAUUUUACUUUGAAAGUUCUUUGUAGGAUGAGUUGGGCUUCUUGGGUGUGAUAUCAAAAGUUCCACAUCCAAACCCAGGGAAGAAAUAAAUUUGUACAAAAAUAGAGAAACAGAGGAAACCUUUUCUCGGAUUCUGAAGGGACAUGAUGGGCUUUGAAGAGAUUUAAACAGUGAAUGGCAUUUGAAGUGAGAAUGUCUGGGCAUGGCUCGAAAUAAUUCCACCACUGUUGAAAUCAGUUUGGUAGGCUUUGCACAGUUAUUUUAGAAUUGAAGAAAAAUAACCAUGAAUGGGUCUUUUUGGGGUUUUGUAUGAAAAAGGUAUUAAACCAAGCCUGUUGGUAAUCCCAAUAGGAGAAAGAUAGGCUAUGGUUCAUAUUGUUUUGAAAAUUUAGAGGAAAAGCUUUAGAUUUGUGGAGUAGAUCACCCCAUUGUUUUGGGCUCAAAACUUUUAUAAUGGUUGCCGUAGAAUAGGCAGGCUCAGAAUGGGACUCACUAAGGAAGAAAUGUUUGAAUUUUAGUGAUUCAGUGAAUUCCAAAAUGCUUUGAUAAUAAGGCUGGGAUUUGGAUAAAUCCCAUGGUAUGAAAAACCAACCUUUGGGGAAAAUCUUUAAAAUUGCUUGAAAUGGAUCAGUAUGAUAAAAUUAGUCUUCCAUGGAUAAAAUAUUUUAGAAAUGGGUUUUAUUAAACUAAUCCGAAGUUUUCUUUGUAAGCUUUGUUUGUGAAAGAACAAUCUGAGAAGAUGAACUUUCACCAGAAAGAAUCACAUUUUGUGAAGAAGCUUUAGAAAUUUCUUUAGAAAUGGAUUUUUCUUCUUUAGGAGAAAUCUGACUUUGAGAAAAGCUUUGUAAGGCAAGCAUAAGCUCAGGGGAUUUAGAAAUGGAUUUCAUCCAUUCAUUUAUCUGCUCCUGGGAGGCAAGUGCUUUAGACUGGGCUUCUUGAGCAGCUUGUUCUUCUAUUGUGUCAAUCCAAGACUUAAUGGGCAUAGCAGAAGAAAGCAAUUUUCCUUUAGGUGGAGAAGAUUGGGAGGCUUUAGAUGGUGUUUGGGACACAGGGUUUGUGAGGAUCCUUUUCCCUUUCUCUCUUCUUUUGGGCGGCUUUAUCUGGUUUGAAAAAAUUCCCUGGUUAGAAAAUCAGGGAGAGAAUUUGUAUCGCCUUUAAUAAACACAAUCUCAAAAUCAAAAAUACUUAAAAUAGCUUGCUAACAUGCAAAAAUCUGUUUUGAUGCAAUGUUCUAUCCAUCUUUUUCCAAAACAUGUUUUGCAGCCUUGCAGUCAAUUCUAAGCAAAAAUUUUUGAUUUAAUAAAUCGCUUUGAAAUUUGGAAAUGCAUAGGACAAUUGAUAAAAUAUCUUUUUUAAUAGUAGAAUAGUUUUGCUGGCAUUCAUUCCAAUGUGCAGAAAUAUAUUGUACUAUUUGUUCUUUGUUAUUGUCGACUUGCUUUAAUAUCCCACCAUAACCUAAAUUGGAUGCAUCAGUUUCAACAAUCUUAGGUAAUGCAGGAUUUGCAAGAAAUAAACAUGGAAUGUUUUUAACUGUGUUCUUUAUUUGUUUAACAAUUUUAGUAUGUUCUUCCGACCAUGCAACAUGAUUUUUCUUUAACCUAUCAUGCAGUGGCUUGGCAAUCCUAUUGAUGUUAGGACAGAAAUCAAGAACAUAAUUUAGACUACCCAAAAAUCUCUGCAAUUGGGUUUUAUCAAGGAUUUUAUCAGGAAACUUGUCAGUAAAAGCAAGGGACCUUUCAAUGGGAGUAAUGGUUCCUUUUGAGAUGUAGUGACCAAGAAACCUGACUUUAGUUUGGAAUAAAGAAACUUUAGAACUAGAAAUGGCUAGGCCAGCUUUUCUAGUUGCCAAAUAAAAAGUCUUUAAAUGUUUGAAAUGUUGCUCAAUUGAUUGAGAAAAAAUCAGCACAUCAUCGAUAUAAACAAUGCAAAAUUCAAAAAAAGAAUUAUAAAUAUCAUUCAUAAUUCUUUGAAAUUCUGAGAGUGCAUUUUUCAAUAUUAUCAAUAAAAUUGUAUCUAAUUUUAUGUUUUAUAUAUAUUUUAUGUAAUUUUAAAAUUUGCUUCUUACUUGUAUUUAAAGAUCAUUUGUGGUUGUUAUCAAGAAUAUUUAAAAUGAUGAAAAAUCACCUUAUCCUACGAGCAACUUUGAAAAAUAUGAAAAGAAGAGUUUUUCAAAAUCCGAUUUUAAAAUUAAGUUUUAUCCUUAAUAAAAUUUCGACAUAUAUCAUCAUAUAUAUUACAUAAACCCAAAACUAUCAUUAUUCAGUUUAAAAAAAAAUAAAUCAACAAAUGUAUAAGGUAAUCAUUAUUAAAAUGAGGUUUGAUCUUACAUUUUUUAGUUUUUAUUUUUUUCAAUAAUUCUUAUAUUAAUUUACAUGUUUACCUUCUAUUUACAGGUCCUAUAUUUUAUUUAUAUAUUUUAUUUUUAUUUUACACUUAAUAUUGAUUCAUAAGUUUUAUAUUAUAUUUGUAAGCACUAUUGAAUUAUAAGCCUACAAACCAAAAUUCGAUUUAUUAUUCAACUUUGUUAUGAAAAUUGACAAUAAAGUGGAGAAUAUUUUUACCUUUUGAGUAUAAUUAUGUAAAAUGACUUAGUGGUAUAAUUCAAUAUAUCCAUAGAUCUGUGGAUUUUUUGUUCCACGGAUAUGGCGACUGUUCCCACCACCCUCUGUGGUGGCUUGUGUUCAUUUGGCUUUGUUUGUGUUGCUGUGUUGGUUGUCUUUCAGAUUUUAUGUCUACAAGGAUCAGAUUUGGCAAAUAAGAGACCGUAAAUGAUUUUCUAUCGUUGAUCUGUUACAUUGCUGGUUGUUUUUUGAACCUAAAUUUAAUGUAUUUAAUUAGUCUUAUGGAAGCAAAUUUAUAAUUUAACUAGCAAGAAUAAAAUUUUCCUGGCGACGUUUGAAUUGAUCGUGUACGACAUUAAAAGACUGUAUCAUUACAUGAUUCUUUAGUAUACUGAUACUAUUCACAACACAUUAGAAUAAGAAAUCAAUGAUUGUUUAUCUGUUGACUGCAAUGGGUUAUCUGUACAUUAAUCCAAAUAUUUGUGUAAUUGUUCGUGAUAGACUCACUAUUAUAUUCUUAUACGUUGAAUGAAUUAAAAGUGAAGAUAUAUAUAUAUAUAUAACACUAGCAACUCACAUUUUAACAAUGAAAGGUUCUUGUUCUGUUGGUGUAAUUGGAUGGAUGGUUUUGCUUCAAUGUUCUCUGUCUCACUCUUUCAUUUAUAGUUUUACCAACUAAUUAAGAGGAAACAAAAUAAACCUUUUAGAUUCCUAGAUUAUGGGAAAAACCUCUUAAGAUAAGUCUUAUAGGUUUUAGGAGACAUGCUACCUAGAAUAAACUCUUAGGUUCUUAAGAUCCCAUGAUCAUAGGACAAUUUAUCUAGAAAAAAACCUCUUAGGACAAAUUUCCUAAAGAUAAACCUCCUUAGACAAACUUCUAGGUUGAAAACCUAUGAUAAAAACAUCUCUUCCUUUGAAAACUAAGCAUAAUGAUACCAUAUCCUCUACCAAACAAAAAGGAUGGAGAAACUUCCUCUUUUGAUAUGAGGACAAAGUUGUAUGUCCAAGUGUUACAUGGCAUGGUCGCAAGAAGACAAGUGUUGCCUGGUGUUAUAAAGACAAUGACAUUUGUCGUCAAUACAAUAAGGACUCAAGUCAAAUCAAAGUCAUUUACAAAUAUAAGUUCCCAUCUUUUUUCAAAGAUAAGCCAAAAAUCACUCAAGAGGAUAAAUAGUGACUCUCUCUAUCUAGGCAUAAUAUCUCCAAAUUUUCUCACUCUAAACUUUUCUCUCUAAAAAUUUGGUGAUCGACUUGAUCAUCAAAGGGUUUACGCUGGUGAGGCAAGCCUUUGACUAUUUUACUUAUAUUUAUAGAGCAUUAUCUAAUUAAGGUCAUCCUCGUCACAUAAGGAAGCAGGUAACUCUUAAGAGAAAAUUUAAAUGAGUACAAUUGAAUUUGAAAAUGAAAGGCACAACAUAAGAAGCCCACAUUGAGAGUUCAACAUAGUUUGAUCCAGUAAAGAGGAAGCUCAUGAAAUUGCCAUUUUAUAAAUUGGGACAAAAUUUUUAUCAACAAAAUUGGCGUUGUCUACGAGAACUCCCGACUAAAAGUCUUGGAACUGUGAGCAUGGAUUUGAGCUACGAGUAUCAUGACCCUGUGUUUGAAUCUUUGAGUUCUAGGGUUAAGGAAGCCUAUUUUCAACGAAGAAGACCACUGAUGGAUUCAUCAUUUGAAGCCAUGGUACUCGUUCAUCCUUUUCCUAAUCCACAUCAUGAUGCCUAACGACAAGGGCAAGCUUGAUCCAAAGUAAAGUGGAUUCAUUAGCUUCGAACUUUGAUAGAAUUUUUUAUUAGUUCCAAGCUCAAGUUGAGGAAAGGGAGAACUCAAGAAAUCCUAGUGACGAUGAAGUUUAUUCUGGCUCCUCUAGAGAGGUAUAGGGACUGCUUGGAAGAAAGUGACCUUAGACAAAAAGAUCUUGGGGAAGAGUGGCUAGAGAAGACUUUCUCUCUCUAGGCUUUAUUUCUCUAAAUUUUCACACUAUGAACUUUAGAUUUUUAAAAAUUCAAUGAUUAACUUGAUCGCUAGAGUGUCUACGUCCUUAAAGCUGGCCCUUUGACUGUUUUUCUUAUGUUUGUAGGGCAUUAUCUUAUCAAGAUCAUUUUCAUCACUAAAUAAGUGGACAUCUCUUUGAAGAAAUUUCAACUGAGCAAAAUUAAACUUGAAAAUGAAAGGCACAACAUGAGAAGUCCACAUCGGGAGUUCAUCCAAUAAAAAGGAAGCUCAAGCAAGUUUUAAGAGGCCAUCCUAGGUUGAAAUCAUAAUCUGAUAAUUUGGGAUAAAAUUUAUACUAAUAAACAUAAUUUUUUUUGAAUUAGCUAGUGACAAGUUGAAAUUUUUUUUAAUUUUAAUUUUAAGUUGGUGUAUACUAAAGAAAUCUUAAAACAAAAAAAUGAAAUAUUAUCAAUAUGGCUUUAGCCUAAGAAUAUUUAAAAAAUUCUACUAUCCUCGAUUCCCAUCCAAGAAAACGAAGAAUCCACGGAAUGCAUUUAACAAUGAAAUUUUUAUAUUUAAUUUCUUCCAAAAUUGCAAAUUUAUUCAUUACUAACUCUCUUUUUUAAUUAAGAUUUGCUUAAAUUCAUAUAAAUUUCAAGACAUAAAGCUGCUGUACCGUACAUCCGCCUUGGCCGUACAGCAGUUUUAAGUUUUUCAAUAAAAGGAAAAAUUAAUUUUUUCUUUUUUGCUUUAAAAGAUAUACUAUCGUAAUUGACAGUAUAGGGAGUAAUGAGGUUUAUGAAAGGCGUUCCUAGAAUAACAGCAUGAUGAAUAUCAUUUGUUAGAAGAAAGGAAGUCCUAAAUUCAAAACCAUCGUUAUGAAUUGAGGCAUCAACUUUGGAUUUGAUGUUCAACUUUGAAUUGUUUGCUGCAGAAAGCCUUUCAUUAGUCUUUUCAUGGAAUUUCUUUGGAACAAUAUCUGUUUUGAUACAGUUUAAAUCAGCACCAGUGUCAAAGAGAGCAAUGGUGUCAAUUUCGAAAUCUUUAGAAAAUUUUAAAGUGAUUUUAAUCAAAUAUUUUCUAGUGGUGAUUUGUUUUAAAUAUCUUUAUUUUAUGAAAAAAAAAACAAUUUUCUUUUUAGAAAGACCAGCUCAGCCUGAACAACAACACCCAUCAAAAACCUCAACGGUGAUGAACAAUAGCUUGACAAUAGAAUUCUUUGUUAUUUAAAAAAAAAAGUUACAAUCAUAACCUUGUGGCUGCAGCCGGAAAACCAAAUAGUUGCUUCCUACAACGAAGAAUUUGUUAUCGGACCAACAAAUACGAACUCAGAGAAAAAUCCUCAAGGCGGGUGCAAAGCAUUGUCCUAAAUGGUAAUUUUCACUAUACUACAACAUCGGACGCUGUCAUAUAUUUGUAAUCAUAUUUAGGAUCGUCAAGAUAGUCUUUUGACCAGGAAGGGUUAGAUUAUGAAUUUAUUGUAUUUAUCUGUGUGAACGUAACCAAAAAAAAAAACAAUUCAAAAGACAUUGCAACAUCAAGAAACUUGCUCAAAAGAAAGUUGGUAAAAAGACAAAUUACUAUUUUAAUAUUGAAUUUUAAAGGGUCCAAACCAGAAUAACUUAACUAUAAAUAUAUUUAAGUUAUUUUAAUAAAGAUUGAUUUAAGGACACGAAAGAAAAAGAUUUAAAAAUAAAAAUACCAUAAAAUUUAAGGGAUAUUGAAUUAUUUUUUGGGCUAACCCGGUCGAGCCACUACCCCACGUGCCACUGCAUUUGGAUCUGGUCCUAGCAAUUUAGCACUGUCGUCAUGAAUAUAGCACCAUCUUGAUAUUGUCCUCUGCCAACAUCUUUGGAAAAUUCUUCCUCCUGUAAAUUGAGUGUGAAUAUGAAUUAACAGUAAUGCUACACAUCCCAAAUUUUUUAUCUUAAAAAGUUAUCCCAAAUGAUGUGUCAUUAAUUGAGUGGUUGAUAAUUCUUUAUAAAAUUCAAGUGAAUUAAUUGUAUUAUUUCACCAACCAAUUGAUAAAUGACACAUCAUUUGGGAUAACUUAUUGGGAUAAAAAAUUUGGGAUGUGUAGCAUCACUCAUGAAUUAAUUGCAUAAACUAAAAAAAUUAAUAAUAAUAAAGUAAUGAAAAAGAAAGCUGGAUUUAUAAGUUGAAAGAAUUAACAAAUUAAUUACCUUGAGCUCAGGAUAGGAUAGCCAUAUUUCAAAAUGUGUCUAACACUAACAUUUUGCCUAUUGACAGUGUGAUAGUUAGUUCGAGUCUUCCUAAUCAUAUAGAGUUCUCCUUGGCAUCCCCCUCAUUUAUAAGACUCCUCGCUAACGGAUAUUUUAGUUGAGUUUUUAAAUCAUUAAAAAAAAAAUGACUAUUCCAUAAUGAAAAAAGUUCCAUCCCCUGUUAUCGACCAGUUCAUAACAUUCUGGUGUAAGGGAAAGAAUUCUUUCAACUGUUCUGGCAUGCCCUCGGCCCUUUGCCGAAUGAAGAGCUGUCAUCUUUCGAUCUUUGUUCAGUAAUGUUUGAAGCAGUUUGAUCAAUUUCUAAUAGCACAUGUAUCUGUUGAUAUUGAUUAUGAUAUGCAGCGUAAUGAAUUGGAGUCUACCCAUAAUGGUCUGUUUCUUUGAUCAGACUCUUCCUUUUUUCAAAUAAUUGUUGCAUCGCAUGAUAAUUCAUUUCUGAGUGUAAAGAGCCAAAAGAUAAAUAAAAUUAUAAUUCAAAUUCAAUGUUUAUCCACCACCAGUCUCUCAGGAUUUAAAUUUGGUGACCAACUAAAUAUAAUUACUUGAGAAUCAUUCUGUCAGACCCGUGGGCAUGAAAGAGCAUGAACAAAACCUGCAGGAAAAGAUCUAAAUAUUCAAAUUCGCACUGAAAGGGUAUAAUCAAACUUACGGAAAUCCAACUGCAUUACUGCAUCACGUAAAACUGUCCUUCCGUAGGGGCCUUCAUGGGACAUUGAUGUGCAGUUUUCUAAUAAGGCUAGCAUCUUAUGAGAAAAGUGCUCAUACUCAGCAGCCAUGUGGAGCGGCGUUUUGCCGCAAUUAUUUACAGAAUAUGGAUAUUCAGGUAUUUAUCUCGUCAGUAUUUUCAACACAUCCACUUUGCCAUGAAACGCUGCCUCGUGCAGACUGCAAUGCAGUAUUCUUCUUUUCAUUCGUCAUCCUAAUCAUCUGCCUGGCAGCUCCUAACCCGCUCUCUAGCUCUUCAUCUUCAUGUUGAGCUAAUUUUUCUCUUUUAAUAAGAACAUUCGCUAUAUUAAAAUGGCCGAAUUUUGCCGCAACGGGAAGUGGAGUAUCACCUUCGCCAUUAACUUGUGUUUGUAGUGAUGGGCAUAUCUCAAGUAUUUCCCCUACGAACUUGAUUGACGCAUUUUCUGUUCAUUGGCAUAUGAUGUUGCUAUGCAGGAUCGUGUUCCUGGCCGGUACUGUUAAUAAGCUCUCAAAUAUUUCUCUUGCCAUAUCUUUGUAGGAUUCAGCAUUGCCAUCAGCUGGAAACUCAAGUAAAUUAUCCGUACUCAGUUACUCUUCAAAGUAGAAGCAUGACCGAUUAAGUUACCUGGAGAACUGAAAAUAAAAAAUAAAAAAAGGUAGAUAUUCUUUCCGGUUAGGUUUCAAAUAAAGCAGAGAAAAUAAUUGAAGUUAAGUUAAAAAAAAAACUGAGAUUGUAGCUAAAGCCGGUUACCCAUUUUCUAAGUGUUAAACCUCAGCCGUUGAUUACCUUUCUUUACGAUCUAAAGGGUCAUUUGCAAAAGGACAAAUGACUGGGGUACCAAACCUCUGACGCAAUGUAGCUGGACCCUAUUAAAAGAGAUAAAGAAAAAGUCAAUUGAUAAAACGGCAGUAAACACUACAUUGGAGUAUGUGUUUCUUCCUGUCUUUCACUUUAGUCAAGCUUUCUCAUUGGAAAGUUAUUCUAUAUCUAUUUGGCGAACCCGGCAGCACUUCAUUCUAGACACAUAGAAGCAGGGGUCCUGUACCACCAACCCUGUGGCCAUCAGGAACACUGGAGUAGCAGUAGAGGAUAUUCGACAUUUCCCAGCCCCAGUCCUUCUUCCUAGAGACAAGCAUAUGCGGCCAGCAGCGGUUUAUUCUAACAUAGUGCUCCCUAAUCUUUCCUUCACCAACAACACUGGUAACUAUAGAGUAACAGCAUUCAUGCCCACCCCAUACCUUGUCACCAGGAUCUGCAGUUUGACUCCCAUCUUCAUGAAAGUAACGGUGCAUUAGAGGGCUAGUACCCUUCCAGUAGGGAUCGAGAUUAAGCCAAUACUCUGGUACCACCUGAAGGCAAAAUGGCAUUCAAAGGCAGUCAUCCGAUCAAUUGAUCAUUUCAGUUUCCAACAAAAUAGUAGAAAGCUGCAGAGUAAAGGAAAGGACACACAACAAAUGCCUUGGAUGCUUGGAUGCAUGCUAAGAAAUGUUUGAAUAUAGGAUUACCAGGAUUAUCAUUUACUUGUGACCAGUCCAGGGAAUAGUUACAUUAGUGAGUGCCUGAAUUAUGAGCAAUGCCUUACAAAUAGGCAGAUUAUAAUUCAUGAGUUUCGUUCCUCAUGGACCGAAAUUUCAUUACCAAGGCUACACAUGAUCAAACUUUUAAAGCGUCAAAACAUUAAUGUUUUAUAUGUUCACAUUUCAAACUCAUGCAAGUUCUAGUAAUUUUGGCACCACGUCAAGGCCAGACUGAAAUCAAGAGGCGAGUCACCACUCACCAGACCUUACUAAUAAUUAAUAACGUAUGAGAAGCACUGCAAUAAAAUUACAUACCUUGUUAAAAUGAAACUCCCAAACAUGAUCACAAAGGUCUUCUUUCAUGAUACGAGUCUAAGAAAAUUAAAAAAAAAAAGAACAGAAUAGUUGGUGAUAGAUUGCUCAAACGUGCAUAUGGAAAGCGAGUGAUUCAAAAGAGAGACAGGAGAACAAAGGGAGAUUGAUCAGCACUCACGCGUUUGCCAUCCGUGACAGACUACGAAUAUGCGGCCAGCUUUGGUAACCCCUGGACUACAGCUGAACGAGGUAUGUGCGCUUUCCCCAACCACAGUUCCUCGCACUAAAAUAGACAAGAAACUCAAGUAAAUUAUCCUUACUCAGUUACUCUUCAAAGUAGAAGCAUGACCCAUUAUGUUACCUGGAGAACUGAAAAAAAAAAAAAAAGGAAGAUAUUCUCUUCCGGUUAGGUUUCAAAUAAAGCAGAGAAAAUAAUUGAAGUUAAAAAAAAAAAAAUUCUUCACAUCAUGCAAUCAGAACGAAUAAGCAACUUAGGCCAUAAGGCAGUAAAAACGGCAUUCACAAUUCAGUUUGGUUUUAUAUAAAAAUAUACCCCAAUCCUUUAAAUAAACCAAUAAUUUACCCAAGGUCUAGUUUCAAUGAUAAGAAAGGGCUUCCUAGGGCCCAGGAUUUUGAAAAAUAAAAUAUACCAACAAUAUACCUCAACUAAGUUACUUUACAUAGAUACACCCUUAAGGGGUGAACAAAGACAAAUAGAUACUAGACAAGAAAUAUUCAGCUUAAAUCAAGAAUACUCAGACGAAUUCAAGUUGGUCAAGAAAGCCAAGUCGAGUAGUAAAUUGAGUCAAACAAUAAGUCGAGUAUUCAUAUAAUGCUCCUGGCGGACAAGAAAUCCUGUAAGCUGGAUUUAGAUCCAGUACUGAGCUUAGCUGUGCUCAUCUCUUCGUAAACAUCUACCACACAUGCAUGGAUAACAAUUUAAGAUGAAUAUUUAAUUAAUUUUAUAUUCUUAUCUUUCUAAAAGAUUAACAAAAACCUCAGCUCAGCGCUGAAUACAAAUUCCUGUAAACUAGGAACAUAAAACUCGAUGAUCACAUGAAAAGCUUAAAUUCAAAUUCAAUUGUAUUCAUGAUAUGAUUAUUUCAAACAACCAAAAAUACUUAAAACAAAAACCCAAUUGUGAAACUAAAAAAACCCAAUUCUCAUGUUCUCCGAAGAAAGCACUAAAUUAAUUAAUUAAUUUUAAAAAAGGAAACAAACCUAAAUUCAGGUACCAGGCAAAAAGAUUGGGGAAGAAAAAAGAAUAGGAAAGGAAAUGAACCUUGGGAGUCCAAAGCGUGUCGCUUGAAGCAACGCCGUUCCAAGCACGGGAUACAAGGAGAGUCGGUGCUACGCUGCGUGCCUUUAGGUUUUGAAGUAUCUUCAACAUUAUGUCUCCACCAAAAGCCUCCAGUGGAUCCUGCAAUAAUUCUUCAGUUUCUUCUUCUUUGAGUUGUUCUUUUCUUUCCUCUCGAUUUCUCUUCUUUCUCAGUUUCAUCUUCGUCUUCUUCUUCUUCGGUAAAACGACAUCGUUUUCCUGUUCUUCUAUUUCUCGCAGUUCCAUUCUGCAUGGUAGUAGCUAUUACUACAGAGCAAGCGAAUGAAAGGAAUCACCCGAAGCCGCAAUUGCAAUAACUCCAAAAAACAUCAAAAUAUAAAAAUAAGUUAAUGCUAAAAUGCCCAUAUUUAAUUUUUAAAAAAAAUUAUUUACUGUAUGUAGAAAUAUACAAUCGACAAAUUUACUAUUUUUUAAAUAUAAUAAAUUUUACGUGGCUCAAACUCAUUCUCUUGUAGAUAUUAUUGAACUACAAGCCUAUAAGUUAAAAUGCUAAUACUUUUGAAUUAUUAUUUUACUCGAUUUUUUUAUAUCACUUGAUUUAUUAUUCAACUUUGUUAUUAAGAUUGGGGUCCAACUAUCUUACUACAGUCGUAACAUACCACAUUCUUUUGUCUUUUCCUAAUCCACCGUUAGAUUUUAUUCAGAACAAGGGUAAUGGCUAAGAUGUUUUUGUUGGGUUAUUAACGUUAUACUCCCCAAUGUUUGCUACAAAAUUACAAAAGUAAUAAAGUUUAAAAUAUUAACACAUAAGUCCAUAAAUUUACAAUUUAUUAUUCAAUAAUAUUAAAAUAUUUUAAUUAUAUUAUAAUUUUAAUUAAAUAAUGUAUUACUUAAUUAUAUUAUAACAUUUAAUAAGUAAAAAUUAUGGCCAUGUAAGAACACAGACCUGCCCAUAACAAGAAGUGCCAAAGAGCCUUCGAUCCGCAUCCAAACCCGGACCAGAUGCAUGAAACUAUCUUCAAGGUUGGUUGCACUUUUCACUAUGUGAUAGAUGAGAACUCCAAUUGGGGUCAUUAUGUCAUUUGCGACAUAACCCCUCAAGCUUACUACAUCACAUGGUACUGGCUCAACAUAUACCCCGUGGCAAUACUGUUCGAACCAAACCUGAUCCAUACCAGCCGAAGAUACGGUAAAGGAAGAUGGUUCGAUCGAAUGUUCGCCCCCAUCUUUGAAGAUGUCCUCACACUAAAGCUCAUCAACGGUUAUCACAUCACCCACUCUACAAUAGUGAUCGUGAAACUCACAGAUAUUUGGGGACGGUACAAAGAGCCUUUCAUACAGGUAGUCCAACAUGACCACUCCCAUGAAGAAAUCGAUUCCAUGUGGACUGGUUGCUGGAACGCUAGGCAGGCCUUAGCAGAGGUAUACAAAGUAAAGGAGUGAGUUGUAAAGUAGAUUCCUUUGUGAUAAGGUUUAGUGUGAGUGUGAUAUAAAGUAAAGGAGUGAGUUGUAAAGUAGAUUCCUUUGUGAUAAGGUUUAGUGUGAGUGUGAUAUAAAGUAAAGGAGUGAGUUGUAAAGUAGAUUCCUUUGUGAUAAGGUUUAGUGUGAGUGUGAUAUAAAGUAAAGGAGUGAGUUGUAAAGUAGAUUCCUUUGUGAUAAGGUUUAGUGUGAGUGUGAUAUAAAGUAAAGGAGUGAGUUGUAAAGUAGAUUCCUUUGUGAUAAGGUUUAAUAAUGUCUACAGUAUGUAAUAGUGGUUCCCUUGUGCCUAUAAAAGGGAACCCUUGGUUUGUUGAUAGGCAUCGAGUCUUGGAGUGCAAUAUUGUAUUUUAAAUCUCUCAUUCCUCUUAAUGAAAGUAACCUUCCUCUGUUUGCUCCAAAACAGAUUUAUUGGUAUCAGAGCCAUAUUUCCCAAAAGGAAACCCCUGGGUGUGCAACAAUACUAUGCUCUGUGGUUGCCGAAAUAGUUCGGAUCCUCCACAUCAGAAAGUUGUUGGAUACUAGUCUGCCUGUCUAAACUUUCCAUACUAAAACACUACAGAGUAAAUUCUGUAAGGUGUGGCGCCCCCUUGAGAAGGCCAAGAAGUGCCGUGUUUUAGGGCUUAUCACCCCAAAGAAAACCCUCUGAUUUCUUUUAGCCAUGGAAACCCAAAACAGUAACAGAUCCAGUAACCAAUCAAUUUCUGACCAACCAUCUACUUCGGCCAUCAGAGUACCAACAGAUAGUUCACCCUCUGUAAACUUCCAUUAUGAAACCCAAGAGGAUGAAAACAGUGAGAGAGCGGUUCAGUCCUUCAGACUUGAUCCGUUAGAUCCUUACAGAUACUACCAUAUUAGCCCUACUCUUAACCACCUAAGAGCCAUAAUCCCCAUAAGACAACCUAAGCUUAAAACCAUCUACAAAUCCUCUGAAAUCACUGUCCAGUCAAUCUCCUCAAGCUCAAAAGAAACAUACCUUCCCAUAAUCUCUUCUAGCGAGAUUACAAGGUAUAAACUUCAGGGAUACAAGGGAUUACACCUUGGAGCAAUCCAGAUAGGGAUACAACCUUUAUUCCUAGCUGGAAAAGAUAUCACAUGUUUCAUUGUCAUUUUAGACACUAGAUGGCAAACUUUUGAAAAGGCUUUAAUUACUGCUGUUGAAGCAGGACUCAACCAAGGCCAUGUUGUUCUCCAAGUUGAGCCAAAUUUUACCCUUGAUAUACACAAGCCAUCCCUCACAGAUGCCAUUAAGGUAUUAAUUCAGGUCAAUGGUCUAACCAUGAAACCUGAUGAAUCUGCCUUGGCAAUCCACCACACUAUGACCUAUAAAGUCCAAACCCAUCUGUUCUCUAUGAGUAGCUCUGGCAGGCCUAUUACCAGAUUUCUUGCUGGUGAUGGCAGAGUCUUUCAACCUAGGACUUAUAGGCAAAAUCAACUCAUGUUUCCUCCUCAAUGGAUUAAUGAGUAUGAGAAAAACAACAGGCCUCAACAAAUCCAUGAGGUCCCAAAAAUAAGCAGGCUACAAGAAGGAAGAGUAUCAAUCUCUUUCCCCACAGAGACUAAAGCUCUAUAUCCAUGUGAAAAAUGCCAGCUUGAAGGAAAGCAUCUCUCCUUGUGCACACAUAUGCCAAGAAGAACUACCUCCUGCAGAAUCAUGGGUCCAGUAAACAUGAUUACCACUCCGGAUCUUGAUAAUGAGUUCAUUAAAGAUAUCCCCGGAGGAAUGUAUGCUGCCAAAUGGGUAAUACAGAAAACUAACCCAACAGAGUUCGGCCCAAUUGAGAAGGCAAUCAACUGGUCAAACAUCAAUGCUGUGGAACAAAACCAAGCCUUGGGAGACAUCAUGGUCACUCAACAACAGAUUCUUGCUGACUUAGCUGUAAUCAGAAAACAGCUAAAGAAAAACAAGAAACAACAUAAGAUGACCACCCAACAGUUCUCUCAACUACAUGAUAGUGCCUCCAGGUCAGUCAACAUGAUUGUGAUGACUGGAGCAGCAGACGAAGAUGAAAUGAGAAGGACAAAGGAGAGUUAUCAACGACCAAAGGUGUCCAGGCACUGGAAAAGCAAGCCUACAAAACCAGGGCACAUCUAGGAGGAAAAUGCAUAUGGGAAUUGCCAGAAAGCAUUUUGGAGAAGCUAUGCUCCUCCUCCUCAAUACCCAUGGCCCCAGAAGGCUACUGGGUGGGACGAGGAAACAGAAACUGAUGAUAGCUCAAGCAUCUCUUCUAUGGAGAACCCUCCAAUUCCUAUUCUAAUGCAGAGAGCUAAUCCUACAAAUCCAUUUUAUGUGGAUACACGUACCAGAUUUGCAGCUUCAACAACAACACCUGGCCAAACCUCUGAUCCUACAAGGCAAACUCAAAACCCAUCAGGGACAACACAAUUCACUGCCCCUGAAUUCACAGAACCAGCAGCUACAGAAGCCUCCUCCAAUCCGGCGUGCACCUACUGAUCGUGCCCCGCCAAACCUCUGAUCCUACAAGGCAAACUCAAAACCCAUCAGGGACAACACAAUUCACUGCCCCUGAAUUCACAGAACCAGCAGCUACAGAAGCCUCCUCCAAUCCGGCUGGUGCACCUACUGAUCGUGCCCCUCAUAUAGAUGAAGUCAGUCAAGGAGAAGAAUGGGAAACCCGAGUACAACUCGGACAUUCCACAACCGGAAAGAUGUUCUGGAACAUUGAUGGAAUGAAGCCUAAAGAAAGGCUGGCUUAUUUUGAAAAAAUGGUAGCUUGGUACGAAGGAGAAUGUCAAAGAGCCCCCCAGUUGAGUAGAAGAUCAGCCGCAUUACGGCUGGUAGCAGGAUUUGUUAGAUCGCUAAGACGAUGGUGGGGACGAAAGCUUACUAGUGAGCAACGACAAUUCAUUUUCAGCAGAGAAGAUCCUUGUGGAAGCCUAGUUGAAAAUCUAUCCUUGGAUUUUCUAGGCCAUUUCACAAGAGAAGAAGAGGUUGCUGAAAAGCAAUUUCUCCAAAACAAGUGUUGUGAUGUUCGGAAAAUGGAAGAGUACUACCUGGAGCAGGAAAGGUUGUACUACAUCUUUGACAAACAAUCCGAUACCAUACACAGGACAUUUGUGCUAAACAUGCCAGGCCCAGUUGCAGAAAUGAUGGAGGCUAAAUUCAAAGCUGAUGCAAUUACUGAUUUAGCACAGCUCAGCCUUGCCCAGCUCUACCAGAUUGCAAUGGAGCUUAUUCAAAGCCACUGCAGAUCUCAAGAUUUACGAAGACACAUGAAGCAGAUUGAGAAAUCCUCUCUGCAAAAAUUCUGUAAUGAGGAACCAAACAAAUUUGGUUGCCAACAUACAGACAAAAUGUGCUCUUGUAAUCCUGGCAGACAAAAGAAAGCAAAACGCCCCUGGAAACCAUACAAAGGGAAAAAAUACCGUUUCAUCAAAAAACGAAAACACAAGAAAGGCUCUGGCAGAUGUUUCAUCUGUGGCAAGAAAGGCCACUAUGCUAAACAAUGUAAAUCCAAAAAGAAACUCCCAGCCAAACUCAUCCAGCUGAUCCAGCAAGAUGAUUUUGAUGACGACAUUUAUACCUGGUCCGAUAGCCCCUUUGGUGCUGUCUAUACUCUUGAUGAAUACUGCUGUACGGCCAAGGCGGAUGUACGGUACAGCAGCAGUACUCUCACACUCUUGAAGAAAUUUUUUUACCUAAGACACAUAUUCUCUCACAUCUCUAUAAAUAGUACAGAACCCGGUUACGCACCUCAGGAGACGCUCUCCCAAACUUUCUAAGGGCUCACUUGUAGAAACCCUCAUUUUUUGGACCAUCUCAUAGAGACUCUUUUUGAACUUCUUCAAAGAGCUCUUCAUAUGAGCUUUCUGCAGUUUGUGAUGUAUUCAAAUAAAUGAGGUGCCUUCAAUUUAUAGGCAAAAAUAGUUGUAUUAUUGCACCAAAUCUAAGCAAUUUGUCAAUUAAUUCAAUGUUUAACCUUAUCAAUUUGUCCAAUUUAGCCAACAUUUGCCAAUUUGUCAAAAGCUUGUUGUGCUCUGAAUUCGGUGCACAAUAACUUUGACUUUUCAAAAAAUGUAGCUUCCACACACUAAACAUUUUCAGUAAUGGUUUCGCGGAGAUUGAUGUAAUAAAAAUAUAUUAAGUUUUGUCCCACAUCUCUAGUGGUCGAGCAUUAUAGCUUUAAAGCUAAUGACAGAGAAUGUAAGCCACAACCACAUAAGACAUUCCUCAAGAUUUUCAUUAAACAAUAUUUUAGAAGAUCGUCUACCUAGUUCGGCGGCAACAUAAGAAAAUUUAGAGGUUCAGUCGCCUCGUUGUCUAGUAAUGAUUCAAUUAUCUUGCAAAAUGUUGAUGAAUUAUAAUUUUUUUAAAGGGAAAAACUAUGAUGUGAUUUGAAUGGUAAGAGGUGACUAUCAACCUUUUUAAGGUGAGAAAGUUACUAUUUACCCCUUACAAAAUGCAUAUUAUAGUUUUAUUGUGUAGGUUGUUAGGUAGAGAUUUUUUUGAAAAAUUUGAGUUUAUAUGCACCCUUGGUUUUAACUUAAGCUAAUAUUUCAUUUUUCCUAUUUAUUGGCAUUUAAUAAUAGUAAUCUCUCAAUUUUGAUAAGUACAACGGUCUUCCCACUUCCGGCCACACAUCAAAGUCAUCCUCAAUCCCUCUGAAGAUAGCCAGGUAGCUCUUACUGCUCUCAUUGACACAGGAGCUAUGUGCUCAUUUAUCCGAGAAGCCUGUGUUCCCCGACAGUUCUAUGUUCCUACUAAGGUUUCUUUCGGAUCCGCCAGCGGCAGGGACUUCUACAGCAAAAAGGUUACUCGUCCUAUCGAGAUCCAACCUUUUAUGAUCCAUCAAAACCCAUCAGGGACAACACAAUUCACUGCCCCUGAAUUCACAGAACCAGCAGCUACAGAAGCCUCCUCCAAUCCGGCUGGUGCACCUACUGAUCGUGCCCCUCAUAUAGAUGAAGUCAGUCAAGGAGAAGAAUGGGAAACCCGAGUACAACUCGGACAUUCCACAACCGGAAAGAUGUUCUGGAACAUUGAUGGAAUGAAGCCUAAAGAAAGGCUGGCUUAUUUUGAAAAAAUGGUAGCAUGGUACGAAGGAGAAUGUCAACGAGCCCCCCAGUUGAGCAGAAGAUCAGCCGCAUUACGGCUGGUAGCAGGAUUUGUUGGAUCGCUAAGACGAUGGUGGGGACGAAAGCUUACUAGUGAGCAACGACAAUUCAUUCUCAGCAGAGAAGAUCCUUGUGGAAGCCUAGUUGAAAAUCUAUCCUUGGAUUUUCUAGGCCAUUUCACAAGAGAAGAAGAGGUUGCUGAAAAGCAAUUUCUCCAAAACAAGUGUUGUGAUGUUCGGAAAAUGGAAGAGUACUACCUGGAGCAGGAAAGGUUGUACUACAUCUUUGACAAACAAUCCGAUACCAUACACAGGACAUUUGUGCUAAACAUGCCAGGCCCAGUUGCAGAAAUGAUGGAGGCCAAAUUCAAAGCUGAUGCAAUUACUGAUUUAGCACAGCUCAGCCUUGCACAGCUCUACCAGAUUGCAAUAGAGCUUAUUCAAAGUCACUGCAGAUCUCAAGAUUUACGAAGACACGUGAAGCAGAUUGAGAAAUCCUCUCUGCAAAAAUUCUGUAAUGAGGAACCAAACAAAUUUGGUUGCCAACAUACAGACAAAAUGUGCUCUUGUAAUCCUGGCAGACAAAAGAAAGCAAAACGCCCCUGGAAACCAUACAAAGGGAAAAAAUACCGUUUCAUCAAAAAACGAAAACACAAGAAAGGCUCUGGCAGAUGUUUCAUCUGUGGCAAGAAAGGCCACUAUGCUAAACAAUGUAAAUCCAAAAAGAAACUCCCAGCCAAACUCAUCCAGCUGAUCCAGCAAGAUGAUUUUGAUGACGACAUUUAUACCUGGUCCGAUAGCCCCUUUGGUGCUGUCUAUACUCUUGAUGAAUAUCCUCUUUCUGAUUCUGAGGAUACUGCUUCUACAACAGACGGUGAUUCCCCCGAUGAUGAUGAUGAUGACACUGUUCUCACUGUUCGAGAACCUCUACAAGUUACUUCUGCCAUACAACGGUCUUCCCACUUCCGACCACACAUCAAAGUCAUCCUCAAUCCCUCUGAAGAUAGCCAGGUAGCUCUUACUGCUCUCAUCGACACAGGAGCUAUGUGCUCAUUUAUCCGAGAAGUCUGUGUUCCCCGACAAUUCUAUGUUCCUACUAAGGUUUCUUUCGGAUCCGCCAGUGGCAGGGACUUCUACAGCAAAAAGGUUACUCGUCCUAUCGAGAUCCAACCUUUUAUGAUCCAGCAUGGAUUCUUUGCCUUUGAUUACUCCGGCGAAGAUAUCCUCCUUGGCACCGACUUUCUCCGUCUGGUUGCCCCUUAUCACACUUUCUCAAAGAUCUCAAUACUUUUAUUGCAUGGCUUCAAUGGACCAUGCCUCACCAGACAACCUCUCAUCCAGGCAUGCCCCAUGACGAAGAAUUGUGCAAAUCAGAGAUCCAGGCCCUUAUGGAUCUAAAGCUCAUCAGGCCCUCUAAGUCUCAUUGGGCCAGCCCAGCAUUCUAUGUCAACAAGCAUUCAGAACAAAUACGUGGAAAGAAGCGAUUGGUGAUAGACUAAGAAAAUCAUCUCUCACAAGAGAGAUCCGGAAGAUCAGGCUCUGCAAGAACACAGACCUGCCCAUAACAAGAAGUGCCAAAGAGCCUUCGAUCCGCAUCCAAACCCGGACCAGAUGCAUGAAACUAUCUUCAAGGUUGGUUGCACUUUUCACUAUGUGAUAGAUGAGAACUCCAAUUGGGGUCAUUAUGUCAUUUGCGACAUAACCCCUCAAGCUUACUACAUCACAUGGUACUGGCUCAACAUAUACCCCGUGGCAAUACUAUUCGAACCAAACCUGAUCCAUACCAGCCGAAGAUACGGUAAAGGAAGAUGGUUCGAUCGAAUGUUCGCCCCCAUCUUUGAAGAUGUCCUCACACUAAAGCUCAUCAACGGUUAUCACAUCACCCACUCUACAAUAGUGAUCGUGAAACUCACAGAUAUUUGGGGACGGUACAAAGAGCCUUUCAUACAGGUAGUCCAACAUGACCACUCCCAUGAAGAAAUCGAUUCCAUGUGGACUGGUUGCUGGAACGCUAGGCAAGCCUUAGCAGAGGUAUACGGGACUGUUCCCAUGUACAACACCCACAGUCCAGUAUCCCCACAAGUCUGCAGUACUCCAGACCUUUACUACAGAGAGGAGAUACGAAAUCUCAAACUACAUGGAGACGAAGACGAGGCAGCCGACAUGCAGCAUAAGUAUAAUGACUACCUUUCCCGACAUGGUAGGCCACAAGACAUCACCUAUCUGGAUACCCCAGAUAUUGACAGAUGGAGGAACGAACUUGAAGAUAUGGCCAACUGGCUAGACCUCCAAGAAUGGCCCCAGCCAGAACUAAACCCACAGCCAGACCCGAUUUGGCCCAAUAUGGGAGAAGACAUGGACGCCGCAUCUGAAGAACGAUGGAACCAUCGGUCAGGACGUAGCACGCCAACCAGUGGCAACUCUGGACUGUAGCGGAAGCUUAGUGGACCCUACAGUGGAAGCAUUGGUGAUAAUAAUAUAGUGUAUUUGUAUUCGUAUGUAUUAUGUACCAUCCUUAGAGAUAAGGAUAAGAGUGUGAGUGUGACAUAAAGUAAAGGAGUGAGUUGUAAAGUAGAUUCCUUUGUGAUAAGGUUUAAUAAUGUCUACAGUAUGUAAUAGUGGUUCCCUUGUGCCUAUAAAAGGGAACCCUUGGUUUGUUAAUAGGCAUCGAGUCUUGGAGUGCAAUAUUGUAUUUUAAAUCUCUCAUUCCUCUUAAUGAAAGUAACCUUCCUCUGUUUGCUCCAAAACAGACUGACAGAUGGAGGAACGAACUUGAAGAUAUGGCCAACUGCCAAAUGGGUAAUACAGAAAACUAACCCAACAGUAACCUUCCUCUGUUUGCUCUAAAACAGAUUAUUACAUUAAUGUAUAACAUUUAAUAAGCUAAUAUAACUAAUAAUAAGUACUUAAAUGUUAUAUAAAAAAUUAUAACAUAAUAUUAUAUUAUUUAAUUAUAUUAUAAUAAUUAAUAAAUAAAAUUGAUUAUUAUUUAAAAUUUUAGUAUAACUAACAAUAAAUACUUAAAUAAUAUAUAAAGAUCUGCUGUACGGCCAUUAAUUAAACAAAUUAUUUUUCUUGAAUGCAUUAAGUCAAAACAAAAUAAAAAGAUAUAUAUAUAUAUAUAUUAUCAAUAAAAUUGUAUCUAAUUUUAUGUUUUAUAUAUAUUUUAUGUAAUUUUAAAAUUUGCUUCUUACUUGUAUUUAAAGAUCAUUUGUGGUUGCUAUCAAGAAGAUUUAAAAUGAUGAAAAAUCACCUUAUCCUACGAGCAACUUUGAAAAAUAUGAAAAGAAGAGUUUUUCAAAAUCCGAUUUUAAAAUUAAGUUUUAUCCUUAAUAAAAUUUCUACAUAUAUCAUCAUAUAUAUUACAUAAACCCAAAACUAUCAUUCUUCAGUUUAGAAAAAAAAAUAAAUCAACAAAUGUAUAAGGUAAUCAUUAUUAAAAUGAGGUUUGAUCUUACAUUUUUUAGUUUUUAUUUUUUUCAAUAAUUCUUAUAUUAAUUCUGCUGUACGGCCAAGGCGGAUGUACGGUACAGCAGCUUUCUUAUUAAUUAAUUAGUUUAAUAUAUAGUAAAACCAUGUAUUAAUUACAAACAAUAUUUUAUGAUAAAUAUAGUAUGAAUUUGAUCUCUUGUUCUUAAUUUGUAGUUAAUAUUUUUUUCAUAAUACUUAUUCAAUAUAUAGUAAAUAAUUUCAAUAUGCAAUAAAAAUAUAUUAAUUUACCAAUUAAUAAUUUUUUAUUGUUUAAUAAGAAGGUAUCAAAAAGUGUGAGGGAGGGUGGCAACUUUCUCGUCGUUUAUUCUUACAUCUACGAGCUUAAUAAAUAAGUUUAGAAUCUUUUAAAAGAAUUUGAAGGCAAAGUUAUUUUAUACUCCACAUUUAUUUGAGAACCUUUUUUUCACAUCUCAUGGUUGAUAAUCUUGAGUUAGUGAUAAAAUUUAGUUGCUAAUUGCUAGAGAUAUGGAAUUGAAACUAGUGGGCAUGUAAAUAAUUCAAUCAUUUUUUUAUAUCAUUUUAAUUAAUUAAUUUAGUAAAAAUAUGAAAUUAGUUUUAACAAGGAUAUAUUUGACAUUUAAGUAGGUGUAUGGAGUAAAUUUUCUUUUUACAACUUUGAUGAUGGGUGUGUGAAUUAAUAAUUAAAAAAUACCCUCACAUUUUGAUUUAAGUUUCAAAAAAUCAAAACAAGUAGGGCUAAUGAGUCAAAAUUUAAGAUUAUCGAUUUUUUUUCUAAUUUUAGCAUAAAACAGGGAUUGUAGUGUAAUUAAUUUAAAAGAACAAAAAAGUGCGGUAUGUUACCGCUGUGGUAACAUAGCAUGAUCGCUGAAGAUUGAUAAUAAAGUUGAGAAUAUUUUUUUAUUUAGUGAGAAUAUUUUUUUAUUUAGGAUAUUUUGGCCUUUUUAGAGUAUGAUUAUGUAAUAUGAGACAGUCCGGGUGUUAUUGGUCUUUUAAAAGAAAUAAAUAUAUAUUUUAUUAAAAAAAUUGCGGUGGGAGAUCACGUGGUUCAGGUACUGCUCUGUAAUGAUGAUAUGUAAUAAUGGUUCGAUAAUGCAUUCUUGCCACGCCGAGCUCCAAAACAAAAUCAUCCUUCAAUUCAAGGAUGAAAAUCGGGCGUUUGGGCUCUGACUCAAAUAUGCGGCAAGAUGCUGAGUGAUUGCUUGGAAAAACAGCAAGUCGAUGACUUUGUUGUUUAUAGAGUCUGAAACGUAGCAAAUGGGGAGCAUCCACGUGUUGCAGGAGAGGGAAAAGUUAGCUGAUACAAGAUCAAUUUGUACUGAGCUGUUACAUACAGUCUGUAACGUAGCUUGUUUGCUCCAAAUAACAUCAAAAUAUAAAAAAGUACGUUAAUACUAUAAUGCCCCUAUUUAAUUUUUAUAAAAAAUUGUUUACAAUAACCAAAAAAUAUACUAUCUGAAAUUUGAAAAAUUCUAUGAUACUAUGAUUAAAAUUACGGCAUUAUUAUCAUGAUAAAUAUAAGUUUUGUAAAUUACAUAUAAAAUUAUUAAAUAAAAGAUAAAAUUAGUAUAUUAAUAUAUGAGUGGUAAAUUAGUGUUUUCAAAUUACAAACAAAACAAACACUUAUAAAAUAACAUAAAACUUUGAAAUCAAUAUUAAUCUUUCAUUAAAUAAAAUUAGCUUAUUUAUUUAACUUAAUUAAAUAAAGAACAAAGUGAGUCAUCAAUUAAAAAAAAUUGUAUUGAAAACAAUUAGAAUAAGUUUUAUUGAAUUGAUUUAACUAUAAAUUCUAGAUUCAUUCUAUGACAUUCAUUAUUUUUUUUUAUUUUUUAUCAUAGUAUUGUUUACUACAGAGGUUAAUUAAACAAAUUAUUUUUCUUGAAUGCAUUAAGUCAAAACAAAAUAAAAAGAUAUAUAUAUAUAUAUAUUAUCAAUAAAAUUGUAUCUAAUUUUAUGUUUUAUAUAUAUUUUAUGUAAUUUUAAACUUUGCUUCUUACUUGUAUUUAAAGAUCAUUUGUGGUUGCUAUCAAGAAGAUUUAAAAUGAUGAAAAAUCACCUUAUCCUACGAGCAACUUUGAAAAAUAUGAAAAGAAGAGUUUUUCAAAAUCCGAUUUUAAAAUUAAGUUUUAUCCUUAAUAAAAUUUCUACAUAUAUCAUCAUAUAUAUUACAUAAACCCAAAACUAUCAUUCUUCAGUUUAGAAAAAAAAAUAAAUCAACAAAUGUAUAAGGUAAUCAUUAUUAAAAUGAGGUUUGAUCUUACAUUUUUUAGUUUUUAUUUUUUUCAAUAAUUCUUAUAUUAAUUUACAUGUUUUACCUUCUAUUUACAAGUCCUAUAUUUUAUUUUUAUUUUACACUUAAUAUUGAUUCAUAAGUUUUAUAUUAUAUUUGCAAGCACUAUUGAAUUAUAAGCCUACAAACUUAAAUUCGAUUUAUUAUUCAACUUUGUUAUGAAAAUUGACAAUAAAGUGGAGAAUAUUUUUACCUUUUGAGUAUAAUUAUGUAAAAUGACUUAGGGCCAGUUUGGGAAUGCUGUAGCUUUUAAAAUAAUUGCUGUUAGCUGUGCUGUAGAAAUAAUCAACUGUGAAGAGAAUCAGUUAAGUGUUUGGUAAAUUUUGUUUUAAAAAGUACUGUGAGUUUUGAAAGCAAUUAUGGACGUUUGGUAAAUUUUACUGUUAAACUGUUACGAGAAAAUAAAUGACUAAAAUAUACAUAAUAUAAGAUAAAAUUUAUUUAUAUAUAUAAAAUAUGUACAUAUAAUAUUUUUAAUUGUGUAUUAUAAUAAUUUUUAUUAAAAAUAAAAUUUAUAAUAUAUUGAUUUUACUUUUUUAUUUUUUAUCUUAAAACAAUUGAUAAUUAAAUUAAUAAUAUAGUGAAACAAAUUCAAUAAUAAUUCGACCAACAAAUUGAUAGUAAUAAAUUUAUAUUGAUGAAUUAUAAUACAAAUUUAUUAAAAUAUUUAUUUUGUUUCCAAUUUGAAUAAGGAUAAUUUUGGGUUUAGGUAAUAAUUUUAAGGAUAUUUAUGGAAUUGUAUUUAGUGGUAUAAUUCAAUAUAUCCAUAGAUCUAGGUCUGUGGAUUUUUGGUUCCACGGAUAUGGCGACUGUGUUCCCACCACCCUCUGUGGUGACUUGUGUUCAUUUGGCUUUGUUUGUGUUGCUGUGUUGGUUGUCUUUCAGAUUUUAUGUCUACAAGGAUCAGAUUUGACAAUAAGAGAUUGUAAAUGAUUUUCUAUCAUUGAUCUGUUACAUUGUUGGUUGUUUUUUGGACCUAAAUUUAAUGUAUUUAAUUAGUCUUAUGGAAACAAAUUUAUAAUUUAACUAGCAAGAAUAAAAUUUUCCUGGCGACGUUUGAAUUGAUCGUGUACGACAUUAAAAGACUGUAUCAUUACAUGAUUCUUUAGUAUAUUGAUACUAUUCACAACACAUUAGAAUAAGAAAUCAAUGAUUGUUUAUCUGUUGACUGCAAUGGGUUAUCUGUACAUUAAUCCAAAUAUUUGUGUAAUUGUUCGUGAUAGACUCACUAUUAUAUUCUUAUACGUUGAAUGAAUUAAAAGUGAAGAUAUAUAUAUAUAUAUAACACUAGCAACUCACAUUUUAACAAUGAAAGGUUCUUGUUCUGUUGGUGUAAUUGGAUGGAUGGUUUUGCUUCAAUGUUCUCUGUCUCACUCUUUCAUUUAUAGUUUUACCAACUAAUUAAGAGGAAACAAAAUAAACCUUUUAGAUUCCUAGAUUAUGGGAAAAACCUCUUAAGAUAAGUCUUAUAGGUUUUAGGAGACAUGCUACCUAGAAUAAACUCUUAGGUUCUUAAGAUCCCAUGAUCAUAGGACAAUUUAUCUAGAAAAAAACUUCUUAGGACAAAUUUCCUAAAGAUAAACCUCCUUAGACAAACUUCUAGGUUGAAAACCUAUGAUAAAAACAUAUCUUCCUUUGAAAACUAAGCAUAAUGAUACUAUAUCCUCUACCAAACAAAAAGGAUGGAGAAACUUCCUCUUUUGAUCUGAGGACAAAGUUGUAUGUCCAAGUGUUACUUGGCAUGGUCGCAAGAAGACAAGUGUUGCCCGGUGUUAUAAAGACAAUGACGUUUGUCGUCAAUACAAUAAGGACUCAAGUCAAAUCAAAGUCAUUUACAAAUAUAAGUUCCCAUCUUUUUUCAAAGAUAAGCCAAAAAUCACUCAAGAGGAUAAAUAGUGACUCUCUCUAUCUAGGCUUUAUAUCUCCAAAUUUUCUCACUCUAAACUUUUCUCUCUAAAAAUUUGGUGAUCGACUUGAUCAUCAAAGGGUUUACGCUGGUGAGGCAAGCCUUUGACUAUUUUACUUAUAUUUAUAGAGCAUUAUCUAAUUAAGGUCAUCCUCGUCACAUAAGGAAGCAGGUAACUCUUAAGAGAAAAUUUAAAUGAGUACAAUUGAAUUUGAAAAUGAAAGGCACAACAUAAGAAGCCCACAUUGAGAGUUCAACAUAGUUUGAUCCAAUAAAGAGGAAGCUCAUGAAAUUAUCAUUUUAUAAAUUGGGACAAAAUUUUUACCAACAAAAUUGGCGUUGUCUACGAGAACUCCCGACUAAAAGUCUUGGAACUGUGAGCAUGGAUUUGAGCUACGAGUAUCAUGACCCUGUGUUUGAAUCUUUGAGUUCUAGGGUUAAGGAAGCCUAUUUUCAACGAAGAAGACCACUGAUGGAUUCAUCAUUUGAAGCCAUGGUACUCGUUUAUCCUUUUCCUAAUCCACAUCAUGAUGCCUAACGACAAGGGCAAGCUUGAUCCAAAGUAAAGUGGAUUCAUUAGCUUCGAACUUUGAUAGAAUUUUUUAUUAGUUCCAAGCUCAAGUUGAGGAAAGGGAGAACUCAAGCGAUCCUAGUGACGAUGAAGUUGAUCCUAGUGACGAUGAAGUUGAUUCUGGCUCCUCUAGAGAGGUAUAGGGACUGCUUGGAAGAAAAUGACCUUAGACAAAAAGAUCUUGGGGGAGAGUGGCUAGAGAAGACUUUCUCUCUCUAGGCUUUAUUUCUCUAAAUUUUCACACUCUGAACAUUAGAUUUUUAAAAAUUCGAUGAUUAACUUGAUCGCUAGAGUGUCCACGUCGUUAAAGCUGGCCCUUUGACUGUUUUUCUUAUGUUUGUAGGGCAUUAUCUUAUCAAGAUCAUUUUCAUCACUAAAUAAGUGGACAUCUCUUUGAAGAAAUUUCAACUGAGCAAAAUUAAACUUGAAAAUGAAAGGCACAACAUGAGAAGUCCACAUCGGGAGUUCAUCCAAUAAAAAGGAAGCUCAAGCAAGUUUUAAGAGGCCAUCCUAGGUUGAAAUCAUAAUCUGAUAAUUUGGGAUAAAAUUUAUACUAAUAAACAUAAUUUUUUUUGAAUUAGCUAGUGACAAGUUGAAAUUUUUUUUAAUUUUAAUUUUAAGUUGGUGUAUACUAAAGAAAUCUUAAAACAAAAAAAUGAAAUAUUAUCAAUAUGGCUUUAGCCUAAGAAUAUUUAAAAAAUUCUACUAUCCUCGAUUCCCAUCCAAGAAAACGAAGAAUCCACGGAAUGCAUUUAACAAUGAAAUUUUUAUAUUUAAUUUCUUCCAAAAUUGCAAAUUUAUUCAUUACUAACUCUCUUUUUUAAUUAAGAUUUGCUUAAAUUCAUAUAAAUUUCAAGACAUAAAGCUGCUGUACCGUACAUCCGCCUUGGCCGUACAGCUAAUAUCUUUAUUUUAUGAAAAAGAAGCAAUUUUCUUUUUAGCGAUUUCUUACAGAUAUAUCUUCUGAUAAAGCAAAACACAAGGAAGAAUAAUCUCAACACAAUUAAACAAGUGAUAAUGGGAAAUUGGGAAGGCCUAAGGAAGGUGCUAACAUUAGUAAGUUUAUUAUUCCACCAAAGCAACAUCCGAUGAGGAGUAGCCUCCCUAAAACUUAGGUCCCGACUUCAAACCUUACUAAAAAGACGGUGUAAAUCUUCUUUCAGCAACAGUUUCCUACCCAUGAUUUUUCACUGAAAUAUCUUUGAUGACCAAAAACGCAAGGACGAAAUAGUUUAAGCCAAUUAAACAAGUAAUAAUGGCAAGGGCUAGAGAAGGUGCCAACAUCGCAUAUGUGCCCGUAACAAAUGCAAUCACCAUUGCUGCCAUGGACAAUAAGGCGAACCAAACGGAAACGCUGAACAGAACCUCAUCGAAAUCUUUAGUUAGUUCAGUCAUACGAGACAACCAGAAGUGAGUAAAGACGGCAGAAAGAGAAAGGAUCAUGGCAAUGGUAUCUGUUACCAUAAAUUCUUGAAAAGCUGUAUUUCUCCUCAGGAUUGCAGUGCCAUUUUCGCUUUUGUAACCACCAGGAAUAGUGAAAGCUGCUGCGAAGGCUACCAUUGCUAUGAGUGUAGCCACUGCCAGAUGUGACGCUCUGGCAUCAUUGAAAUCAUCUUCAGGAAACACAGGCUCUUGAAAUACAUGUGGUUUUCUUAUCGAUACAACAGCAUCUGAGUAUUGUCCUCUGCCAACAUCUUUGCAUAAUUUUUGAAUUUCUUGUUGGGUGCAAGCGGAAGUGCAGAGAAUUUUUUAUUUAAGAACAGAGUAUUUUGCUGGAAAUUACUGAAACUUUAUUGCUUAAUUCAUUUUUUCGUUUCUCUCUUUCUUUUCAUACAACCAGAGUUCUAUAUUUAUAUGCAUUAUAGACAACUCUAGAGAUUACAUUAAUCAUGCUUUACAUUUCCAAAGCCACAUUGCAAACAUCAAUUCUACCCUUUACUUCACGUUGAAAAACAAACCAAAUAACCCUUCAAACUUCUUGCUUAAUUUACGAGAUUACUAAUUAUAUCUCAACACCCCCUCUUAAUUAGUAAUCUUCAAUUGCUUCUUGAAUUUUUCAAACUUCUCAAUGAUGAUUGCUUUGGUCAGAAAAUCUGCUGGCUGCUCAUUAGUGCUGAUAAACUCCAUAUUAACUUCUCCUUUGCUUACUAAGUCACGGAUGUAGUGAAAGACGGGGUUUUUUGUUAGAGCUAUGGCUGACAUGUUGUCACAAUAAAUUGUUGUUGCAGCAUCUUGAUUGAACUGCAAAUCCUUGAGAAUUCUUCUAAGCCAAACGGCUUCACAAGCUGAUUCAGUUGCUGCAAUAUACUCUGCCUCGGUUGAGGAUAAAGCUACUGACUUCUGCUUCCUUGAGCUCCAUGAAAUCACAUUUGUAGGGCAAAACAAAACGGGGGUGUGAAACCCCAAUACAAUCAUGACGAAUCCAAAACCCAGCCCCUAAAGGAAGAGAAUUGAAAAGGUGCAAUUCAACAGGUAGUGAAAGAGCAGAGUUUGCAGGAAAGUCAGCUGCAAAAUUUGAUUCUCUGUAAACAUGCUUGACCUGCACUUGCCAGGUUCUGUUAAGCAAUUCCUUAAUACCCCUGACAAGAGAAGCAUGUGCAUUUGGCCUCUGCUGUACGGCCAAGGCGGAUGUACGGUACAGCAGCAAAUCUUCUACGUAUUUUUCUUGACAAAAGAAGAUUUUUCCUCUGGCUUGCUUCACUUGAAUGCCAAGAAAAUACUUCAUUAAGCCCAAGUCAGUCAUCUCAAAUUCAUCUAGCAUGCUUUUUUUAAACUCUUCCACCAUUUUCAGAUUAGUGCCACAAUAAAUUAGAUCAUCAACAUAAAGGCAAACAAUAAGGAAAUCAGUACCUUCCUUUUUGACAUAAAGAGAAGGUUCACUUGAGCUUCUGUCAAAUCCAUUUUUAACGAAAUAUCUAUCAAUUCUGCUAUUCCAUGCUCGAGGGGCUUGCUUCAAGCCAUACAAGGCUUUUCGGAGUCGAUAAACUUUGUUUUCUUCACCUUUCACUUCAUAUCCUUUAGGCUGCUCAACAUAAACCUCUUCUUCAAUUUCACCAUUUAGAAAUGCCGAUUUUACAUCUAGCUGAAACACAUUUAAUUCCAUUUGGGCUGCCAAGGCAAGAACAGUUCGAAUAGUCUCCAUUCGAGCUACGGGAGCAAACGUUUCUGUAAAAUCAACUCCAGGCAUUUGAGAGUAUCCUUUGGCAACGAGCCGCGCCUUAUAUUUUUGAACUGAACCAUCUUCAUUGUACUUGAUUUUGAAGAUCCAUUUCAGCCCAAUUGUUUCUUUUCCAUUUGGCAAAUUAACCAUCUCCCAAGUUUUAUUUUUCACAAUGGUGGCCAUUUCCUCGUUCAUUGCUUUGAUCCAAUCUUCAUUUCUUGAGGCCUCCUCAAAGUCUUGAGGCUCACAAGAAAAUAAAGCAAGUUCACAUGACUCAUAAAUUUCUCUCAUUGACUUUAUCUUCCUUGGAGGGCUUUCAUCAUCCGAAGAACUUUCUGCUGCUGAAUUUGGAGAAUUUUGUGGAGAUACAGGAGCUUCAAAAAAGCUAGAUGCCUGAGAUUGAUUGUUUUCCCACUGCCAAGCUGAUGCCUCAUCAAAUACAACAUCUCUUGAGAUAACAAGCUUAUUUGUUGUAGGAUUCAACAACCGAUACCCUUUAGACUCAUCACUAUAGCCAAUAAACAAAUAUUUUUCACCUUUUUCAUCAAACUUCUCCCUGUUUUGAGCUGGAAUAAGAGCAUAAGCAAUACUCCCAAAAAUCUUCAAGUGAUCAACAGUUGGCUUUCGGUUGUGCCAAGCUUCAAAUGGAGUUUUGUCUCUAACAGCUUUUGUAGGAGACCUGUUGAGGAUGUACACAGCUGUAUGACAUGCUUCUGCCCAUAAGUUGUUAGGAAUGCCUUUGCCUUUUAACAUGCUUCUUGCCAUUUCUACAAUGGUACGAUUCUUCCGUUCUACGACUCCGUUUUGUUGUGGACUUCAGCUGACAGUAAGUUGUCUUUGAAUUCCAUUAUCCCUGCAAUAAUUCAUGAAUGGAGUGUAGAUAAAUUCACCACCACGAUCAGUUCUCAAGGUCUUCAUUUUGCAUCCACUUUGCCUUUCUGCAAGAGCUUUAAACUGAAGAAAAGUUGAGAAAGCUUCUGAUUUUUCAUUCAAAAAAUAAAUCCACAUCAUCCUUGUAUAGUCAUCAACAAAAAGAAUGAAAUAUCUCCUGUUAUUGAGAGAGAGAGUCCUUGUAGGACCACAAAUAUCAGCAUACACCAACUCCAACGGGGCUUUGGCUCUCCAUGAAUUUUUAGGAAAUGGAAGUCUAUGCAUUUUUCCAUAUAUACAGCCCUCGCAAACUUUUUCAUAUCUUCCAACAUCAGGUAAGCCAAUCACCAUGUUCUUUUGCUUGAGCAAAUUCAGCCCUUUAUAGUUUAAAUGGCCAUAUCUAAGAUGCCAUAAAUUUGACAAAUCUGAAUUUUCAGUUUUGAGAGCAACAUUCUCAUCAAGUGGCAUAACAAGAGGAAAAACUUUGUUCUUUGACAUUUCAACAACGGCCACUGUGUGAUUAUUAGUUUUAUCAAUAAUUUUGCAUUUUUCAUCAUCAAAAUAAAUUGAAAAACCCUUUUGAAUUAGCUGCCCCACACUCAAGAGGUUUUGAGUUAAAUUUGGAACAUAAAGAACGUCAGAAAUGAGCUUUUUGUUACCUCCCUUUGUAUGGACAGCAAUAGUGCCUUUUCCCACAGCUUUCUGCAUCUUUCCAUCUCCAAGCUUCACUUGCGAAUUAAAACUUUGGUCAAGGCUGAUGAAAAUUUCACGUUCUCCAGUCAUGUGGUUGCUGCAGCCGCUAUCCAAGUACCACAAAUUAUAUGAUUCACGUUCAGCACCUUUACUUGAAUAAAACAAGUAAUCUCCAUCACCUUCUUUUGUAAAAUUUGCCUCAUUUUUGCCUGUCUUAUUUUGAUACCAGCAAUCCCUUUGCGAAUGGUUAGGAAUGCGACACCUUGUGCAUUUAUAACGACAAUCUUUUUAUUCAUGAUUAGACCGAUUACAAAUGAUGCACUGAGAAUCUGAAUUUUUCUGUGAAUUCCCGCUGUCAUUUUUCCACUUGUUGGGGUUGUCGUUCUGUUCUCUUUGCCCUUUGCCACGCUGUCCAUUUCUUUGAGACGAGCCUCCAUUCUUCUGGUCUUUCUUGCUGCUUUUAUUCUGAUCUGAAUUAUUAAUCUUUGACUGAAAAGCUUGCUCUGUAGGCUGACUUGAAGGUCGAUUGAUUCUUUGCUCAUGAGACCGUAAUGAUCCUGACAAAUCUGAAAAAGUCAUCUUGGACAAAUCCCUUGAUUCUUCAAUGGCUGCUGCUACAUGAUCAAACUUUGAAGGAAGACAUCUCAGCACCUUUUCAUUCACCUUCUUGUCUUCAAUGGAGUCCCCGCAACCUUUAAUCUGGUUCACAAUCUCAGUAACUCUACUGCAAAAAUCUUGAACUCCUUCACUGUCUUUCAUUGAUAAAUUAUCGAACUCUUUCCACAAAGUCUGUAACUUGAUGGUGACUGCCUUUUCGGUGCCGUGGCAUUUCUCUGUAUGUUUUCUUUGUACUGCUGUUGAUGUGCUGGAGUCCAAUCUGAAGAACUUGCAGAUUCUGGUGGUUCAGCAUAUCCAUCUUCAACAACAUCCCAUAAAUUUUGAGAGAGGAAAAAUGUUUCCAUUUGAUUACUCCAAUAUUCAUAAUGUACCCCUUCAAAUAUUGGAACUUGACUGGGAGCAUAUGAAAAUAAUGUGGGUAGGGUAUUUGAUGUCAUUUUGAGGGUGUUUUGGAAAAGCUCUGAUACCAAAUUUGUUGGGUGCAAGCGGAAGUGCAGAGAAUUUUUUAUUUAAGAACAGAGUAUUUUGCUGGAAAUUACCUGAAACUUUAUUGCUUAAUUCAUUUUUUCUUUUCUCUCUUUCUUUUCAUACAACCAGAGUUCUAUAUUUAUAUGCAUUAUAGACAACUCUAGAGAUUACAUUAAUCAUGCUUUACAUUUCCAAAGCCACAUUGCAAACAUCAAUUCUACCCUUUACUUCACGUUGAAAAACAAACCAAAUAACCCUUCAAACUUCUUGCUCAAUUUACUAGAUUACUAAUUAUAUCUCAACAUUUCUUCCUGCAAUUUACAUUUGAAUAUUAAUUAAUAAAUCAAUAUAUACAAUUUGAAACCAAAAAUAAUAAUAAUAAUAAUUACCUUGAGCUCAAGAUAGCCAUGGUGCAACAUUUUGCAACGCUAACAUUUUGCUUGUUGAUGGCCUCAUAGUUGGCUUUACUCUUCCAGAUAAAUCGUCAAAGAAUUAUUUUCGACGGACAGCAGCAAAAAAAUGGACAUUAGAUUUCCCCUUGGCAUCCCCCUCAUUCAUAAGACUACUUGCUAACAUAUUAUCUACAAGAUUUCUUAAUUCUUCAACUUCAAAACUAAACACAGCAUAAUGAAGAAAAUUCCAUCCCCAGUUAUCGACCAGUUCAUAACAUUCUGGAUUUCUGGAAAUAAUUGCUUCAACUACUCUGGCAUCCCUUCGGCCCGCUGCCAAAUGAAGAGCUCUCAUCUUUCGAUCUUUGUCAGCAAUCUUUGCUUAUACUCAGCAGCCAUGCAAAGUGGCGUUUUGCUGUAAUUAUUUGCAGAAUAUGGAUAAUCAGGGUCUUCUCUCGUCAGUAUUUUCACCACAUCGACAGUUAUAUGAAAUACUGCCUGGUGAAGAGCCGUAUGCUUCACUUGAUUCGUCAUCCUAAUCGUCUGCCUGGAGGCUCCUACCCCGCUCUCGAGCUCUUCAUCUUCAUGCUCAACUAAUUUUGCUCUUUCAAUAAGAACACUCGCUAUAUCACAAUGGCCGAAUUUUGUCGCAUUGAGAAGUGAUCGAGAAUCGCCUUUGGCAUUAACUUGCAGUAGCAGCGAUGGGCAUAUCUCAAGUAUUUCUCCUACAAACUUGGUUGACACAUUUUCUUUCUUCUGCAAUUUGAUGUUGAUAUGCCGGAUUGUGUUCUUGGUCUUGCUGUUAAUAGGCUCUUAAUUACCUCUCUUGCCAUAUCUUUGAAGGGCUCCGAAUUGCCCGCAGCUGUGGCUUUGAACAAAUUUGGGUCUAUUUGCGACUGACUGAUCUCGCCAUUGUUGUCUAAUAAUGAAGCUUCCUCAGUCUCAAUGGAAACAUAAUUCAUGUUGGCGAAGUUGAUCCAUUAGGCAAGGGUGAAUAGUAUCUCGGAUGCACAGUACGCUUAAUUUUGAAGUGACGAAAAAGAGAAGCAAUAAUUCUAUGAAUGGGACGUACGAGUAGUAUAAUUUUGCUUUGGACCUUUUUUUUUUCCCUUUUGAAGAUGGGGAUUUACAACCACUCCUUUGGAAUUUUCUGAUGAACAAAAGAUCAGUAGACUAACAAUGGAGUGAUAUUUUAUUAAUAAUAAUUAUAUUUAUAAUUUCAAUAAAUUGUUCAUUUAAAAUAUGAAUGAGAAUACAAAGUUGUAUAAUGGUUUUUUUUAAAUAUCUCAUUAAUUUAUUAAAAUCACUAAAUUCGUCUAUUAGUCAAAAUUAGAAUGAUAAAAAAAUCAUUAUCUAAUAAAAAUUCUUAAUUUAUCUGUUAUUGUUUAUAGCAGUUGUGGUACAUAUAUUAAUUAAAAUUUAUUAUCACCGUAAUUUUCAGUAUUUCACGAAUCCCCCUCUCUAUUUCUUUUCUUUUAUUGUGGGUUUUGGUUAUUUUUUAGGGAGAUAGGCCCCUUGAUGCGACUUACAGUUACAUGUCUUUCUUUUCUUUUAUUGUGCGUUUUGGUUAUUUGCUAGGGAGAUUGGCUCCCCUUAUACAACUUACAGUUACAGGUGACAUUUCUAAUAAUGAGAGAAUCUAACUCACAAUGAGUAGAUACAAGAGAGUCUACAGUCAAAAUUCUUUUUUUUUUUUUUUUGUCUGAACCACGAGGUGGUCCUGAGUGGACCCCAACUGUGGAAGGCACCUUUAAGCUCGUACCACAACUUAGACUAAUCCCCGCUCGCACCGGAUCGGCCCGUAAGAGGUAAAGUGCUAGCCAAAGUGGUGACUACAUACGAGAGCAGGGAUUGAACCCCUAACCUCUCUUAAGGAGUGAGAGUGUCAAAUCACUCACACUAACCAACUUUGGUUUUUUUUUUUUUUAAGAAAGAGUAAUUUGCUUUUUAAGCCACUUCCCAUUUUGGUGGUCAUAACUAAUAAGGGUGACUAUCACCAAAUCCAAAGUGGCUUCCUCACAACCAGCAACUAUCCACUUUUCAUUGGUUGAAUGCGGGAGUGAAGUCGUGUCUUUUGAAAGUCAAAAUAAAGUUAGAAGGAAACAAAUUCUCAAUGUGGGUUCUUAGAUCAAUUUUAGGAUAGCCACGUGAUUUUUUCGAUGCAAUGAAUGUCAUUAAUAUGUUUAUUUUUAGGAUUUAGAAAAAAAAUGAGGAAUGAGAAUUACUAAUAAUAUUUAUUUGUUAAAAAUACAAAGAAAUAUAAAUAAAAUUUGAGUGAAUCUCAUAAAUUUGGGAAUGAGUAGGAAUUUCAUUUAGAUAGAAGAGACGUGAAUAAGAAUGGAGAAAUGAGAAUAAAGAGUAAAAUUAUUUAUCUUUAUUGAAAAUUAAUUUUUUUAACUCUAUUUUUGUAACUUACAAUCAUCUAUUCUAAUUUUAAGAUAAAAUAAACACAUCAAAUUUGAAAAUACUAUUGUUUUUUAUCUCGAUUCUUGUAGUUGAAGUAGACAAUUUAUUAUUCUACAUUUUGAUUCCAACCCAUUAUGAUCCUUGCCUAUUAGGAUUCAUAGUUAAUAAACGCACUAUUAAUAUAUUGUCAAAGAGACUCUGUUUUUUAGUUUCAAUCUAAUUCAUCUCAAACCUCUCACAUAUUGAAUACCUUGUUGAAAUUUAUUAAAGAUAUUUCAAUAAGAAUUUACCGACAAAACUAGCUGCAAUCUACAUAAAUAUAUUAAAUUUUUUUUUCUAAUUAGAGCUUCUUAAAAAGAAUCUACCUCAGCUAGCCCAAUUCAAUUUUUUCUUCCUCAACCUCCUAUUGGAUUUGAAUUCGGGUAAUUAAUAAAGUAAAAUUAUUUAAAAAUUACUCAGCUAAGUCUUUGAGGUAGUUUAAUUAAAUAAACAUUGAGGAUUUAGUGAUCGAUUAUCCUAUUAAAAUUAGUAUGUAUAAGCAGAUGGCAAAGGCAAACCAAAUCAAGUGCAAUUGACACGAUAUGUGAUAGAUUAAAUGGUUUAUAGAAAUGAUUUGUUUGUGAUAUAUAUCAUACAACCUAAUUCAUUUGAAUUUGUGAAUAUUGAAUUUGUAAGCAUAUAUUUGGUAGUUUUUGAGAAUAAUUAAUUUCAAUUAAAAAUAACUGUUGUAAUAUUAUCUCAAAAUGUCACCUAAAUUAUAAUUUUAAUUGAUCAAAUCUCACGACCAAGGUCGAGACAUACUGAGACUUUACCUCAAUUCUACUGAUAAGAAUUGGCAUUUUGCCUUGCCCGCUUUAUCAUCGUCCAAAAAUCGCCUUUUGGGCCAUGGAUCGGCUCACGUGCGUGUUUUGCACAGUCUUUAGGAAUCCAAAGUCGAUUUUGUUUUUGGUUCACACAUAUUUCCACGGAAUUCAGCAGAUAGCAGAUGAUUAGGCUAAUUCGGAGUUGGGAUUCCUUUCUGUUCAGUGGUGGGACCAAAAGGGGAUGGAAAAUGGGCUGAACUUGGACAAGUCCAGGCUCCAGCCUAAUCUCAUAAAAGCCCUUCCAAGUAUGGACGGGCUGAACAGAACCUAGCCCAUCAUGUGCCUGAGCUUCCGAAGCCUCAAUCAUUUCAUUUAUUAGUUUUCAAUGGUUGCAAUAAUUCCUUCAAAGUAACGUCCCCCUGUCUUUCUCGGUCUUGAUUCAACUCAUUUGGUGAUAUAGGAUUUAGGAUAGAAUCUGUAAGCUACAGACUGCAGCAUCAGCCGUUGGAUGUAGUUGGAUGUGGAGUGAGAAACUAAACAAUAGAAGAUCGGAUGGUGGGAUGACGGGAGAUGUUUGUUACAGAAUUUGUACCAUAGACAGGUCCUAGGAUUUAACUUUAAAGUGAUGUGUCAUUAUCUCUGUUGAAUGGUAAAAUUUUAUUUACCUAUAUAAGUAAUCAUGAGCCCAUUAGUACAACCUUUGAGUCUUAACUAUUAUUGGACUUGGUUUCCUUCUAAUUAAAUUAGAUAGGAGUAGAUUUUUCCUCUAUUAAUAUUAGUAGAGCAAAUAUCCCUUUGAUAUUAUGUGAGGGUAGAAAUUCAAAUUGUGCCGUACUAGACUUAUUAAGAAUAAUUUCGAUAGAUUUUUUAUUGUAAAUAUUAAUAAAAUUCCGAUGGCAAUAUAUUAACCUAUAAAAAAAACAAAUAUAUACUCUUAAACAUGCAUCAUGGAUUUUCUUUACUCAUGUCUAAUUGAAGAUUUCUAAUGACGCAUUAUACAAAGAGAUAAAUUUUUUCAAUUUUUUUUGACAAAGUAAUCAAGAUUUUAUUCCAUCAACAUAAGAAAAUACAAACAAUUUGAAAUAUUAAAUUUGAUUUUGACUCCCUCUCACCAAUUCAAUCUAAUCAUUAACAAUAAAGUAGAUCGGCCUGGAUCUCAAAUUUUAUUUUCAUUAAAAACAUCAGUGAUCAAUGUACAAUUAAAGUAAUUAUUCAUUAUUAGCAAAGAUUGAGUAAAUUAAUUAAUGUUUAUGUUAAACUGAAAAUCAAUCAUUUUAUUGAUAAACAAAGAUGGUGACUUACUACAAUCAAUUACUUUUGUCCUACUUAAAAAAAUAGACAAUUUGAUGAGCCAAAACGCAAGGAAGAAAAAGCUCAAGCCAAUUAAACAAGUGAUAAUAGCAAGGCCUAAAGAAGGUACUAACAUUGCAAACGUUCCCGUAACGAAUGCAAUCACCAUUGCUCCCAUGGAAAAUAAGGUGAACCAAAUGGAAGCAGCAAACAGAGCCUCAUCGAAAUCUUUAGUUGCUUCAAUUUUAAGAGCCAUCAAGAAGUGAGUAAAGACGGCAGAAAGAGAAAAGACCAUGGCAAUGGAAUCUGCUACUAUAAAUGCUUGAAAAGCUGUAUUUCUCCUCAGGAUUGCAGUUCCAUUUUCGCUUCUAUAACCGCCUGGAAUGGUGAAAGCUGCUGCGAAGGCUACUGUUGCUAUGAGUGCAGCCACUACCAAAUGUGAUGCUCUCGUAUCCUUGUAAUCAUCUUUGGUAUCAUCAUUUUGCCCUACAAGGUAUUUUGGUCCCCUUAUAACACCAUCUGAAUAUUGUCCUCUGCCAACAUCUUUGGAUAAUUUUUGGAUUUCUUCCUGUAAUUAAUUUACAUUUGAAUAUUAAUUAAUUGCAUAAAUUUUUUUUUAAUAAUUUAGUUGAAAGAACAAAUAAAAUAAUUACCUUGAGCUCAGGAUAGCCAUUAAGUAAAAUGUUUGUAACACUAACAUUUUGUUUGUUGACAGCGUCAAAGUUGGCUUGCAUCUUCCUAAUCAUACGGACAUCGAAUUCAUCUGGACGUACAGCAGCCAGCACAUGAAGAGGAGUGUUUCCCUUGACAUCCCCCUCAAUUAUAAGACUCCUCACUAACGGAUUAUUUUCAAGAAGAUUUCCUAAUUCUUCAACAUAAAAACUAACCAUAGCAUAAUGGAGAAAAUUCCAUCCCCUGUUAUCGACCAGCUCGUAACAUUCUAGAUUUUUGGAAAUAAUUGCUUUAACUAUUCCGACAUACCCUCGGUCCGCUGCCAAAUGAAGGGCUGUCAUCUUUCGAUCUUUGUCAGCAAUAUUCGAAGCAGAUUGAUCCGUUUCUAAUAAUAAAUUUACCGUCCCGUAAUUUCCAUAAUACACAGCGUAAUGAAUUGGAGUCCACCCAUAUUUAUCUGUUUCUUUGAUCAGAUUCUUCUUUUUCUCAAGUAAUUUUCGUAAUGCAGCAUCAACUGAGAAUACAGAAGAUAAAUCAAAUAAUAAUGAAAACUUUUAAUAUAGGUAAAUAUUCAGAAAUGGCCUAUAUUUGGCCUAUAAUCAAAUAUAAUCAAAUAACAAUUUUUGCAAAAUUCAUUAAGACACGUUUGAAGCACUAUUCUAAGGACUAAUUUGGUAAAUCUAAUUAUCCUAAAACCAACUUUCCCUAUCUUAGUUAUCCAAAAGACCAAUUUUCAUUACAUUUACAAUUCUAAAGACUAAUUUUUUUUUUUAGGAAGAUUUCACAGUAAAAAAAUUAAUGCCUUCAUAACAACGCUUAAUUUCUUCAUAAAUUAAGAGUAUUUUUGCCAUUAAUCCGAAAAUUAAUUCUCCUAAAGCUAUUCAGUCAUUAACCGGAUUAACUGAAUUAAGUGAGAGAUAGAAUGUGCGCGAUCAGGUCAGAGGAGAGAGAAACGGGUCGGGUCAACCUGUUCACUAAACCUGAAUCGCUGCUUCCGAUUCCGGCCACAUCUCCGCCGAUGGAGGGUAUCAACCGAACUCUUAGACGACGCCGGUCAUUUCCCCAUCAUCGUUGUUGCCGGAAAACAGCCUAUGACCACCCCACGAAGCCGUGUUAAGUCAUGGAGGACGACGACUCAAAUCGGUGAGUUUUUACCGGAUGGGUCAUGUCGUCACCGGGGAUUUGUUCUUUAUGGCAGUUACUUCAAUUUCUGACCAUCAAACAGAGUAGCCGAUUUGUCGCCGAUCAGCCGUUGAAGUUUCACGGCUGUCGAAGCUCGAUCCGGCACCAUGGCUGCGCGUUGGAGCACACCGCUUCCACCGUUGGAUUCAGAGCGAGCUGAAGUUCCUGCUUUGACUUUUUCGAUCAUCGCCGCUUGAAUUCCGGUCACCGUUCACCGACGAGGGCAUUUUGGUAAUUUAUGAUUUUCAAGGGUAAUUUGGUAAUUUAAAAUUUUGGGAUAUUUUAGUAACUUACAAAUAAGGACAUAAUGAUAUCUUUAUGAGAGUUUUCUUAUUAGUUUUAGACCGAUAAUAUUAGGGGUGGGCAAAAAAAUCGUGGUCUUAAAAACACCGAACCGAACCGGUGGUUUUUUCUAAUUCGGAUCGGUUUUUAUUUAAAAAAAAAACCGAAAUAUAUCAUUUGUAAAAAAAAUCGAAAUGUCGGUUCGGUAUUCGGUUCACUCAGCUGAACCGAAAAACCGAACCAAAAAAUCGAAUUAAUUUUAGAUUUUAUUUAAAUUGACAUGUGUUAAAUUUUUUUUUAUAGAUCCAAAUAUUGAGUUGGAAAAUGCCUAAAGUUGAUGUUGAUAUUGAUGAAGAUGGGAGAAUGUUGUUGGCGUUUGUUUGUAAUUUUUUUUUUUUUUGGUGAAGAUAGGAGAAUGUCGUUGGCGUUUGUUUCUAAAUUUUCUUUUUAUUUUGUGUUGUAAGUUGUAAUUGUUGUUAUUUUUAUUUGUCUUUACAACAUUAUGAUUAUGUUUAUGUAGAUGAAGUAUUGGAGUUUGGUUAUGUAUUUUGAAAUUUUAAUAUUUCAUAUUUUGUGAGUACCUUAUUAGUAGUUAGUAAGAUAUUAGUGAUAANNNNNNNNNNNNNNNNNNNNNNNNNNNNNNNNNNNNNNNNNNNNNNNNNNNNNNNNNNNNNNNNNNNNNNNNNNNNNNNNNNNNNNNNNNNNNNNNNNNNNNNNNNNNNNNNNNNNNNNNNNNNNNNNNNNNNNNNNNNNNNNNNNNNNNNNNNNNNNNNNNNNNNNNNNNNNNNNNNNNNNNNNNNNNNNNNNNNNNNNNNNNNNNNNNNNNNNNNNNNNNNNNNNNNNNNNNNNNNNNNNNNNNNNNNNNNNNNNNNNNNNNNNNNNNNNNNNNNNNNNNNNNNNNNNNNNNNNNNNNNNNNNNNNNNNNNNNNNNNNNNNNNNNNNNNNNNNNNNNNNNNNNNNNNNNNNNNNNNNNNNNNNNNNNNNNNNNNNNNNNNNNNNNNNNNNNNNNNNNNNNNNNNNNNNNNNNNNNNNNNNNNNNNNNNNNNNNNNNNNNNNNNNNNNNNNNNNNNNNNNNNNNNNNNNNNNNNNNNNNNNNNNNNNNNNNNNNNNNNNNNNNNNNNNNNNNNNNNNNNNNNNNNNNNNNNNNNNNNNNNNNNNNNNNNNNNNNNNNNNNNNNNNNNNNNNNNNNNNNNNNNNNNNNNNNNNNNNNNNNNNNNNNNNNNNNNNNNNNNNNNNNNNNNNNNNNNNNNNNNNNNNNNNNNNNNNNNNNNNNNNNNNNNNNNNNNNNNNNNNNNNNNNNNNNNNNNNNNNNNNNNNNNNNNNNNNNNNNNNNNNNNNNNNNNNNNNNNNNNNNNNNNNNNNNNNNNNNNNNNNNNNNNNNNNNNNNNNNNNNNNNNNNNNNNNNNNNNNNNNNNNNNNNNNNNNNNNNNNNNNNNNNNNNNNNNNNNNNNNNNNNNNNNNNNNNNNNNNNNNNNNNNNNNNNNNNNNNNNNNNNNNNNNNNNNNNNNNNNNNNNNNNNNNNNNNNNNNNNNNNNNNNNNNNNNNNNNNNNNNNNNNNNNNNNNNNNNNNNNNNNNNNNNNNNNNNNNNNNNNNNNNNNNNNNNNNNNNNNNNNNNNNNNNNNNNNNNNNNNNNNNNNNNNNNNNNNNNNNNNNNNNNNNNNNNNNNNNNNNNNNNNNNNNNNNNNNNNNNNNNNNNNNNNNNNNNNNNNNNNNNNNNNNNNNNNNNNNNNNNNNNNNNNNNNNNNNNNNNNNNNNNNNNNNNNNNNNNNNNNNNNNNNNNNNNNNNNNNNNNNNNNNNNNNNNNNNNNNNNNNNNNNNNNNNNNNNNNNNNNNNNNNNNNNNNNNNNNNNNNNNNNNNNNNNNNNNNNNNNNNNNNNNNNNNNNNNNNNNNNNNNNNNNNNNNNNNNNNNNNNNNNNNNNNNNNNNNNNNNNNNNNNNNNNNNNNNNNNNNNNNNNNNNNNNNNNNNNNNNNNNNNNNNNNNNNNNNNNNNNNNNNNNNNNNNNNNNNNNNNNNNNNNNNNNNNNNNNNNNNNNNNNNNNNNNNNNNNNNNNNNNNNNNNNNNNNNNNNNNNNNNNNNNNNNNNNNNNNNNNNNNNNNNNNNNNNNNNNNNNNNNNNNNNNNNNNNNNNNNNNNNNNNNNNNNNNNNNNNNNNNNNNNNNNNNNNNNNNNNNNNNNNNNNNNNNNNNNNNNNNNNNNNNNNNNNNNNNNNNNNNNNNNNNNNNNNNNNNNNNNNNNNNNNNNNNNNNNNNNNNNNNNNNNNNNNNNNNNNNNNNNNNNNNNNNNNNNNNNNNNNNNNNNNNNNNNNNNNNNNNNNNNNNNNNNNNNNNNNNNNNNNNNNNNNNNNNNNNNNNNNNNNNNNNNNNNNNNNNNNNNNNNNNNNNNNNNNNNNNNNNNNNNNNNNNNNNNNNNNNNNNNNNNNNNNNNNNNNNNNNNNNNNNNNNNNNNNNNNNNNNNNNNNNNNNNNNNNNNNNNNNNNNNNNNNNNNNNNNNNNNNNNNNNNNNNNNNNNNNNNNNNNNNNNNNNNNNNNNNNNNNNNNNNNNNNNNNNNNNNNNNNNNNNNNNNNNNNNNNNNNNNNNNNNNNNNNNNNNNNNNNNNNNNNNNNNNNNNNNNNNNNNNNNNNNNNNNNNNNNNNNNNNNNNNNNNNNNNNNNNNNNNNNNNNNNNNNNNNNNNNNNNNNNNNNNNNNNNNNNNNNNNNNNNNNNNNNNNNNNNNNNNNNNNNNNNNNNNNNNNNNNNNNNNNNNNNNNNNNNNNNNNNNNNNNNNNNNNNNNNNNNNNNNNNNNNNNNNNNNNNNNNNNNNNNNNNNNNNNNNNNNNNNNNNNNNNNNNNNNNNNNNNNNNNNNNNNNNNNNNNNNNNNNNNNNNNNNNNNNNNNNNNNNNNNNNNNNNNNNNNNNNNNNNNNNNNNNNNNNNNNNNNNNNNNNNNNNNNNNNNNNNNNNNNNNNNNNNNNNNNNNNNNNNNNNNNNNNNNNNNNNNNNNNNNNNNNNNNNNNNNNNNNNNNNNNNNNNNNNNNNNNNNNNNNNNNNNNNNNNNNNNNNNNNNNNNNNNNNNNNNNNNNNNNNNNNNNNNNNNNNNNNNNNNNNNNNNNNNNNNNNNNNNNNNNNNNNNNNNNNNNNNNNNNNNNNNNNNNNNNNNNNNNNNNNNNNNNNNNNNNNNNNNNNNNNNNNNNNNNNNNNNNNNNNNNNNNNNNNNNNNNNNNNNNNNNNNNNNNNNNNNNNNNNNNNNNNNNNNNNNNNNNNNNNNNNNNNNNNNNNNNNNNNNNNNNNNNNNNNNNNNNNNNNNNNNNNNNNNNNNNNNNNNNNNNNNNNNNNNNNNNNNNNNNNNNNNNNNNNNNNNNNNNNNNNNNNNNNNNNNNNNNNNNNNNNNNNNNNNNNNNNNNNNNNNNNNNNNNNNNNNNNNNNNNNNNNNNNNNNNNNNNNNNNNNNNNNNNNNNNNNNNNNNNNNNNNNNNNNNNNNNNNNNNNNNNNNNNNNNNNNNNNNNNNNNNNNNNNNNNNNNNNNNNNNNNNNNNNNNNNNNNNNNNNNNNNNNNNNNNNNNNNNNNNNNNNNNNNNNNNNNNNNNNNNNNNNNNNNNNNNNNNNNNNNNNNNNNNNNNNNNNNNNNNNNNNNNNNNNNNNNNNNNNNNNNNNNNNNNNNNNNNNNNNNNNNNNNNNNNNNNNNNNNNNNNNNNNNNNNNNNNNNNNNNNNNNNNNNNNNNNNNNNNNNNNNNNNNNNNNNNNNNNNNNNNNNNNNNNNNNNNNNNNNNNNNNNNNNNNNNNNNNNNNNNNNNNNNNNNNNNNNNNNNNNNNNNNNNNNNNNNNNNNNNNNNNNNNNNNNNNNNNNNNNNNNNNNNNNNNNNNNNNNNNNNNNNNNNNNNNNNNNNNNNNNNNNNNNNNNNNNNNNNNNNNNNNNNNNNNNNNNNNNNNNNNNNNNNNNNNNNNNNNNNNNNNNNNNNNNNNNNNNNNNNNNNNNNNNNNNNNNNNNNNNNNNNNNNNNNNNNNNNNNNNNNNNNNNNNNNNNNNNNNNNNNNNNNNNNNNNNNNNNNNNNNNNNNNNNNNNNNNNNNNNNNNNNNNNNNNNNNNNNNNNNNNNNNNNNNNNNNNNNNNNNNNNNNNNNNNNNNNNNNNNNNNNNNNNNNNNNNNNNNNNNNNNNNNNNNNNNNNNNNNNNNNNNNNNNNNNNNNNNNNNNNNNNNNNNNNNNNNNNNNNNNNNNNNNNNNNNNNNNNNNNNNNNNNNNNNNNNNNNNNNNNNNNNNNNNNNNNNNNNNNNNNNNNNNNNNNNNNNNNNNNNNNNNNNNNNNNNNNNNNNNNNNNNNNNNNNNNNNNNNUUUUUAUUUAAAAAAAAAACCGAAAUAUCUGCUGUACGGCCAAGGCGGAUGUACGGUACAGCAGCAAUCACCAUUGCUCCCAUGGAAAAUAAGGUGAACCAAAUGGAAGCAGCAAACAGAGCCUCAUCGAAAUCUUUAGUUGCUUCAAUUUUAAGAGCCAUCAAGAAGUGAGUAAAGACGGCAGAAAGAGAAAAGACCAUGGCAAUGGAAUCUGCUACUAUAAAUGCUUGAAAAGCUGUAUUUCUCCUCAGGAUUGCAGUUCCAUUUUCGCUUCUAUAACCGCCUGGAAUGGUGAAAGCUGCUGCGAAGGCUACUGUUGCUAUGAGUGCAGCCACUACCAAAUGUGAUGCUCUCGUAUCCUUGUAAUCAUCUUUGGUAUCAUCAUUUUGCCCUACAAGGUAUUUUGGUCCCCUUAUAACACCAUCUGAAUAUUGUCCUCUGCCAACAUCUUUGGAUAAUUUUUGGAUUUCUUCCUGUAAUUAAUUUACAUUUGAAUAUUAAUUAAUUGCAUAAAUUUUUUUUUAAUAAUUUAGUUGAAAGAACAAAUAAAAUAAUUACCUUGAGCUCAGGAUAGCCAUUAAGUAAAAUGUUUGUAACACUAACAUUUUGUUUGUUGACAGCGUCAAAGUUGGCUUGCAUCUUCCUAAUCAUACGGACAUCGAAUUCAUCUGGACGUACAGCAGCCAGCACAUGAAGAGGAGUGUUUCCCUUGACAUCCCCCUCAAUUAUAAGACUCCUCACUAACGGAUUAUUUUCAAGAAGAUUUCCUAAUUCUUCAACAUAAAAACUAACCAUAGCAUAAUGGAGAAAAUUCCAUCCCCUGUUAUCGACCAGCUCGUAACAUUCUAGAUUUUUGGAAAUAAUUGCUUUAACUAUUCCGACAUACCCUCGGUCCGCUGCCAAAUGAAGGGCUGUCAUCUUUCGAUCUUUGUCAGCAAUAUUCGAAGCAGAUUGAUCCGUUUCUAAUAAUAAAUUUACCGUCCCGUAAUUUCCAUAAUACACAGCGUAAUGAAUUGGAGUCCACCCAUAUUUAUCUGUUUCUUUGAUCAGAUUCUUCUUUUUCUCAAGUAAUUUUCGUAAUGCAGCAUCAACUGAGAAUACAGAAGAUAAAUCAAAUAAUAAUGAAAACUUUUAAUAUAGGUAAAUAUUCAGAAAUGGCCUAUAUUUGGCCUAUAAUCAAAUAUAAUCAAAUAACAAUUUUUGCAAAAUUCAUUAAGACACGUUUGAAGCACUAUUCUAAGGACUAAUUUGGUAAAUCUAAUUAUCCUAAAACCAACUUUCCCUAUCUUAGUUAUCCAAAAGACCAAUUUUCAUUACAUUUACAAUUCUAAAGACUAAUUUUUUUUUUUAGGAAGAUUUCACAGUAAAAAAAUUAAUGCCUUCAUAACAACGCUUAAUUUCUUCAUAAAUUAAGAGUAUUUUUGCCAUUAAUCCGAAAAUUAAUUCUCCUAAAGCUAUUCAGUCAUUAACCGGAUUAACUGAAUUAAGUGAGAGAUAGAAUGUGCGCGAUCAGGUCAGAGGAGAGAGAAACGGGUCGGGUCAACCUGUUCACUAAACCUGAAUCGCUGCUUCCGAUUCCGGCCACAUCUCCGCCGAUGGAGGGUAUCAACCGAACUCUUAGACGACGCCGGUCAUUUCCCCAUCAUCGUUGUUGCCGGAAAACAGCCUAUGACCACCCCACGAAGCCGUGUUAAGUCAUGGAGGACGACGACUCAAAUCGGUGAGUUUUUACCGGAUGGGUCAUGUCGUCACCGGGGAUUUGUUCUUUAUGGCAGUUACUUCAAUUUCUGACCAUCAAACAGAGUAGCCGAUUUGUCGCCGAUCAGCCGUUGAAGUUUCACGGCUGUCGAAGCUCGAUCCGGCACCAUGGCUGCGCGUUGGAGCACACCGCUUCCACCGUUGGAUUCAGAGCGAGCUGAAGUUCCUGCUUUGACUUUUUCGAUCAUCGCCGCUUGAAUUCCGGUCACCGUUCACCGACGAGGGCAUUUUGGUAAUUUAUGAUUUUCAAGGGUAAUUUGGUAAUUUAAAAUUUUGGGAUAUUUUAGUAACUUACAAAUAAGGACAUAAUGAUAUCUUUAUGAGAGUUUUCUUAUUAGUUUUAGACCGAUAAUAUUAGGGGUGGGCAAAAAAAUCGUGGUCUUAAAAACACCGAACCGAACCGGUGGUUUUUUCUAAUUCGGAUCGGUUUUUAUUUAAAAAAAAAACCGAAAUAUAUCAUUUGUAAAAAAAAUCGAAAUGUCGGUUCGGUAUUCGGUUCACUCAGCUGAACCGAAAAACCGAACCAAAAAAUCGAAUUAAUUUUAGAUUUUAUUUAAAUUGACAUGUGUUAAAUUUUUUUUUAUAGAUCCAAAUAUUGAGUUGGAAAAUGCCUAAAGUUGAUGUUGAUAUUGAUGAAGAUGGGAGAAUGUUGUUGGCGUUUGUUUGUAAUUUUUUUUUUUUUUGGUGAAGAUAGGAGAAUGUCGUUGGCGUUUGUUUCUAAAUUUUCUUUUUAUUUUGUGUUGUAAGUUGUAAUUGUUGUUAUUUUUAUUUGUCUUUACAACAUUAUGAUUAUGUUUAUGUAGAUGAAGUAUUGGAGUUUGGUUAUGUAUUUUGAAAUUUUAAUAUUUCAUAUUUUGUGAGUACCUUAUUAGUAGUUAGUAAGAUAUUAGUGAUAAAAUAUGUUUUGAAUACUUUGUAUUUAUUGUUAAUAUUUGUAAUAUAAAAUAACCGAUUUAAAUUGGUUCUACUUAAUUUCGAUCCGAACCGAACCGUGCCCACCCAUAGAUAAUAUCAAUACACUUUUGUUACUUGAGGAAGUCCUAAAUAAGUAAAUUACAAUAAAAAACAAGUAUAUAUUUGACGUGUUUGAAAAGCUUAUUUUAAUAUGUACGGAUGUUAAUUUAUAUGAUUUGCCCAUAUAUUUAUGUGAUGUGCUAUUAUGUGUCAAGUAUGAUUUAUGCAUGGAUAUAUGUAUGUGUGAAAGUUCAUUGGCAUAAAUAUGAAUAUGCAUCAUGUUUUCUAGAAAAUAAGAAAGUGAAUUUUAGCAAAUUGAUUUUGAAGAAAGAAAGUAAAUUUUUCGAUUUUGGUUAGUUUCUUGAAUUCAUUACUCGCUUAGUGGACACUGUAAAUGUAAUGUUUAAGAGAUAUGUGAGUGAAGGACGUUUACAUGAAGACCAAAAUUAUGAAUGUUAAGUGAGAGUUCUACUGAGUAGUAAUUGAAUUAAGAUAAUUGAAAUACGUGAUUUGAAAGGAAAUGUGAAGUUUGAAUGUGGCAAAAGAAAUUUUAAUGAAUUUGUUUUACAAUAUUUUUAAAAUACCAUGGCAUGUUAUUGGUUUGCAUUAUAUAUAACCAAGUAUGUAAUUUCGUAUAUGAAAAAUAAGUUUGUUUACUAUGUUCAAUAUAAUUUAUUGUGAUUCCCGAAAAGAAGGAUUGAUUCAUGAUGAGUGAGGAGAAAAAUUGAAAUUGAAGAUAGUAGAUGAUUUGACAAAAUUUUAAAUUUCUUCCGAUGCAGUUUAAUAAUUCUUUUUGAGAAUUGAGUUUUUAUCGAUUGUAAAGAGAUAUCUAAGUUUAUAUGUCAGCCGUAGUUAGAUUCACCUUUGGAAUUCGGGGCAGGUGGUUACAUGCACUCAAGGGCAACAAUUCAGAAUAGUAAAAGAAAAUAAAUUGGUGAAGAAAGAUGAGAUAGCGGUAAAGAACAUUAUUAAAAAAAUUGAACUAUCUAACCCACCUUAAAGGCUUCACAUGUAUCAAAACUGUUUAACUUUUUCCUAACUCAAAUAUGGACUUAUUAUCUACUUUUUUUAUUUAAUUUAAAUUAGUCAUCAUGAGUCUCACAAUUUGAUUCAAUCAUAAAUAGAAUUGAAUUAUUCAAUUCUAAUUUGUAAGCAAUUCAACCAAAUAAUUAAUUCAAACCAAAUUCAACUGCUCUUACUUCUCCUUAAUGUGGGAUAUUAUAGUAUUUUAAAAUACUAAUUUAUAUCCGACAAUUUAUCCUGAUUAAAUUUAUGGCAAUUAAUAAUUUAUUAAUGAAUUAAAAGGGUGUAUUUACUUAAACAUUAUGAAAGAAUCUAUUAAUAGAAAGAUAUCAAUAUUGAAAUGGUAUAACUAAACUUACCGAAAUAAGAUUUCAUUGCUGCAGCAUGCAAAGCCGUCUUUCCGUUGGGGCCUUCAUGAGACGCUGAUGUGCUGUUUUCCAAUAAGGCAAGCACCAUAUCAGAAGACCCAUAAUCAGCAGCCAUGUAGAGUGGCGUUUUGCCGUCAUUAUUUGCAGAAUAUGGAUAAUCAGGGUCUUCUUUCGUCAGUAUUUUCACCACAUCGACGUUCCGGUGACACACUGCCUCGUGAAGUGCUGUAUUCUUCUCAUUAUUUGUCAUCCUAAUCAUAUACCUGGCAGUUCUUAUCCCGCUCUCUAGCUCUUCAUUUUCAUGUUGAAGUAAUUUUGCUCUUUCGACAAGAACCCUCACUAUAUCAGAAUGGCCGAAUUUUGCCGCAACGUGAAGUGGAGUAUCGCCUUUGGCAUUGACUUGUAGUAGCAGCGAUGGGCAUUUCUCAAGUAUUUCUUCUGCGAACUUCGUUGACGCGUUUUCUCUUUCUUGGGAUAUGAUGUUGAUAUGUAGGAUUGUGUUUUUGGUCUUUGCUGUAAACAAGAUCCCAAUUACCUCUCUUGGCAUGUCUUUGAACGGUUCCGAAUUGCCCACAGCUGCAGCGUUGAAAAAAAUUGGGUCCAUUUGCUGCUUAAUUUCACCAUUGCUGUCCAAUAACGGAGCUUCCUCAGUCUCAAUGGAAACAGGAUUCAUUUUGGCGAAGUUGAUCUAUUAGAUAAGGGUGAGGUACUCAUAGAUCUUCCUCUAAACCUUACAUGUAUGUAUAUAUGACUUGAAAAGUGUAGUAUUUUUCACACGUCUUAAAUUCUUGCUUUUUUGACAGGGUAACGACUAACGACACCGAAAAAAUACGGGUCGGGCCCAUCCGGAUGAGAGUGGAGGUGGUUCCGAGCCAAGCCAAAUUAAUAUGGGGAUUUGCUCAAUUAAUUAACUAAUUAUAGACGUUUAUACGUUUUGUAUGACAGAAAAACAUCUAAAUGAUUUAAAAUGAUUUAAUUAAUUAACUAUUAUUUAUGUAUAUGAAAAUUCUUACCUUAGUUUAACAUAUGUUCUUUAUUCCUCCACGAACCUUUAAUUGAUUCACACUAUUGGUGCGUAGGCAAUGGUGACUUUUGAGAUGCAACGAUGAAUUUUAAAAUAGACAUAAUAAUUGCCACUAUCCCCACUUCAUUUAUUUUCUUCCUACCGACACCGACAACUCUUUUUCAUUUAUUUUCCUCCUAUUUUUUUUCUUCUUUCUUUCUUCUUUUUCUUCUUUCUCUUUUGUUUCUUUCUUUGGGCGGCUGUUAUUGACAGCCACCUCUCUUUUGUUUCUUUCUUUGGCGGCUGUCAUUGACAGCCACCGGCUUUGACAUGUAUUUAUAUCAUCGUAAAAUAGACAAUAAAGAAUAAAUGAAAAUCAUUUUUUUUCUUCCCUUUAGCUUUUUAAUACGAGCAUCACAAUGGUUCCAGUGGGACAAUCUUAUUAUGCAAUUCCCAUCGGACAACUUCAAAGUUUUACAAUUGUUUAGUUUGUGCAAAAAAUAUUUACACAUUCAGCUGUGUCAAGUCCACUGACGCCUCUAGUUCAAAGUUACAUCUCUUCCCAUAUCCUUGAAAGGUUCAGUAUUUUAACUGCAGCUUUGAAAUCAGGGUCCAUUUGAUAUGAUUCAAUAUAGUUUCGUUAAAAGCUUCAAUCAGUCAGAACAAUGGUAACAAUUAGCAAACACAAUGGUGUUGAACAAACGACUUGGAAGCAGUAACUUUAUUAUUUAAGGGUUGCAUCUAAAUGCUACAAGUUUAUGUGGAGGCGAAUAGAGUUUUUGCUGACCUGGAUAAUUUUUUAAUUAUUGUUUACUUACUCUUUUAAUUGGUGAGAGAAAUGUAAAAUCAAUCGUGGGGUGAGAGCCCGCUGAGAAAAACAAAGGCAAAACGUUGUAGUGUUUUCAAUGGAAAAAAUAAAUAAAUUAUUAACUCAAUCCCCAUGGCCAAGAGUAUUUACUAGCUCAACUCGCCCGGCAUGGGCCAAAAUACAACCCUUGAAAAUUGGAACUCCAAGAUAAACAAAAGGAAAAGAGCCUUCCGAGAAACCUAAGAUAUCAGCGACAGUAUUUUUUCGAGAAGCAGCUGCCUUGACCAGAAAAAAAAAUGUUAGAUCUUCUUUUUCUCCGGUUAAUUUUUUUAACAUAUCAACUAAGACAGAAAGAUAAGUCGCACAAUUAUGAAACGUAUUCAUAUUAAUAAAUAUACAGAAUGACAGAAAUUUGUUGGGCCAUUUACGUUGGAAAUAUGAGGCAAAAUAACUUUUUGAAGGAUCAGCUCAGCCGGAACAACAACAUCCAUCAAAAAACUCAACGGUGAUGGACAAUAGCUUGACAACAGUAUUCUUUGUUAUUUAAAAAAGAAAGUUACAAUCAUAACCUUGUGGCUGCAGCCGGAAACCAAAUAGUUGCUUCCUACAACUAAGAAUUUGUUAUCCGACCAACGAAUACGAACUCAGAGAAAAUUCCUCAAGCGGGGUGCAAAGCAUUGUCCUAAAGGGUAAUUUUCACUAUACUACAACAUUGGACGCUGUCAUAUCUUUGUAAUCAUAUUUAGGAUCGUCAAGAUAAUCUUUUGACCAGGCAGGGUUAGAUUAUGAAUUUAUGAAUUUAUUGUAUAUGUCUGUGUGAACGUAACAAAAAAAUAUAUUCAAAAGAUAUCAAAAGAUAUUGCAACAUCGAGAAACUUGCUCUAAAGAAAAUUAAAAAGAUAAAUUACUAUUUUAAUUUUGAAUUUUAAAGGUUCCAAAAAAGAAUAACUUAACUAUAAAUAUUAUUUUAUUUAUUUUAAUAAAGAUUGAUUUAAGGACAUACUUGAGAAAAAAAGAUUUAAAAAAUAAAAAAAACCAUAAAAUUUUAAGGCAUGUUGAAUAAUUAUUCGGACUAGCCCUGUCAAGUAAACACAGCACGUGCCACUGCAUUUGGAUCUGGUCUUAGCAAUAAAGCACUGUUCUUAUGAAUAUGGCACUGUCUAGAUAUUGUCCUCUGCCAACAUCUUUGGGCAACAUUUGGAUUUCCUCCUGUAAUUUGAAUUUGAAUAUGAAUUAAUUGUAUAAACUGAAAGAAAAAAAAAAAAAAAAAAGAGUAGGACUAUUAGCACCCCUCCAAAUAGCUCUUAAAAUCCUUUAAUUAUUUUACAAUUUUAACAUUUAUUAAAAUUACAUAAUAGGCCAAUUUCUAAGAAAAUCUCCACUCAAAAAUCAAAUAAUUUUUUUUCCUUAUAAAAUCUAACAUUUUAGAAAUUAAAAAAGGUUGCUUUUUCCUUUAAUUUUCGAGUAAGGAAUUUACCACCGAUAGCUACUAUGGAGAGAAUGAAAACCUAUUAUUUUUUCUUUAAAUAGGAGAGACCCUAUUAUUGAAAUGAUGUUUAAUAAUAAAAAUUAGAGAAUGGGGUUUACACAAUAAGUUUUAAUUAAGGGUAUUUUUAUUAUUAAUGGAGGUGUUCAAAGAAUUAUUUAAUUUGUUUAACACAUUUUAAUGGGGUUAAUUAAGAAAAUGGGUGUUAAGAGAUAUUUAGAGGGGUGCUAAUAGUACCCCUCAAAAAAAGAAAAAAAAAAGUAAUGAAAAAGAAAGUUGGAUUAAAAGGGGUGUUAAGAGAUAUUUAAAGGGGUGCUAAUAGUCCCACUCAAAAAAAGAAAAAAAAAGUAAUGAAAAAGAAAGCUGGAUUAUAAGUUGAAAGAAUUAACAAAUUAAUUAUCUUAGAGCGUAGGAUAGCCAUAUUUCAAAAGAUGUCUAACACUAACAUUUUGCUCGUUGACAGUGUGAUCGUUGGCUUGAGUCUUCCUAAUGAUAUAGAGUUCUCCUUGGCAUCCCCCUCAUUUAUAAGACUCCCCGCUAACGGGAUUUUUUAGGAAAGUUUUUAAAUAAAAAAAAAUGACCAUUGCAUAAUGAAAAAAAUUCCAUCCCCUGUCAUCGACUAGUUCAUAACAUUUUGCUGCGAGAGAAAUAAUUCUUUCAUUUGCUCUGGCAAGCCCUCGGGCCGCUGCCAAAUGAAGAGCUGUCAUCUUUUGAUCUUUGUCAACAAUGUUUGAAGCAGUUGGAUCAAUUUCUAAUAGCACAUAUAUCUGUUGAUAUUGAUUAUGAUAUGCAGCGUAAUAAAUUGGAGUCCACAAAUAUUGGUCUGUUUCUUUGAUCAGACUUCCUUUUUUUAAAAAAAUUUUGAAUCGCACGAUAAUCCAUUUCUGAGUGUACAGAGCCAAAAGAUAAACAAAAUUAUAAUUCAAAUUGAGUUUUUAUCCACCACCACCCUCUAGGAUUUGAAUUUAGUGACCAACUAAAUAUAAUUAUUUGAAAAUUAUUAUGGCAGAAAAUAAUAAUUAUUAUUUCUAUCAUUUUAAUCCAAUUGAAUAGAACAAAUUAAUAAUUAUAGACUAAAUAAUACUAAUAUUUGGAAGCAGAAAAAUCAAGAGGACUACUUGUAUAAAAUCUGAAGAUUGCACAGAUUCACUUUCCCAUACAUUCAACAAUCCCAUAUCUUCUACCAAAUUUGUAGCUAUUUAUUACCUUCUCACUCACAACGUAAUACUACCAAUUCUGAAUUACAAUCCAAACCAAAUGCAUGGUCAUUCAACAGACAAUAAUUUACAGAACGUCAUAUGUUGGUUAAAUGUCGGUAUGCUAAAUUCGUGGUGAUGAUACCCAUAUGGUCAUCCAAGAGCCGGCAAUUUAGUAGGAACCUAAUUGAAAUUUAGACUACAAAACUGAUUGGAUUCCUAUUAAGACUAGGAUGGGACUAUUUGCACUCUAAAAAAUAUAAGACUAGGAUGGGACUAUUUGCACUCUAAAAAAUAUUCUGAGCACUCUAUUACUUUAUACACUCAUAUACUAAAUUUAAAAAAUUAAAUUUUACUUUUUAAACUCUUUAAAAUACUAAAAAAGAUCUGAAUUAAAUUAAUUAAACUAAUUUACUCAAAACACCAAUCAAAUACUUAACAAGCUUAAUCAAGACUUUCUCAAAACACAUGCCAAAUUAGACAAACAUUUACAUUAAAUAACCAUUGCAAUUUUCCCAAAACAAAAACCCAUUUGUGAAAUUAGAGCAACCCAAUGAUCAAAAUUCUCCGAGGAAAGCACUAAAUCAAUACAAAAUAAACUAAUCCCAAGUUCAAAUACAAAUUACAAGCCAAAGGGUUAAAAAAGAAAGAAGAAAUUUAACCUUGGCUGACCAAAUCGAAUCGCUGGAAGCGACACCGUGCCAAGCACCGGACACGAGGGGAAAUAGUGCCACGCUGCGUGCGUCGAGGUUCUUAAGUAUCAUCAACAUUAUGUCUCUACCCAAAACCUCAAGUGGGUCCUGCGAUAAUUCAACUUCUUCUUCUUCUUCUUCUUCUUCACCUCAAGUAAAACGUCCCCGUUUUGCAGUUUUUCUUCUAUUUCUUGCAGCUCCAUUCAGUGAUACUGAGACAGAGACAGCGAGAGAGUGACUGGAAGAGGAUGGGGAAUAGAGC